rnacentral:lncRNA from 1 species
CCAAUCAUACAUUCAUAAUGGCAUCAACAACCAUUAUAUACAUAUAUAGAUUAACAAAUGAAUCUUAACAUUUCACAUCAAGUAUUCAUAUACACCUAAUUGGACCUUGACCAUCAGCGGAGUGACUCUGGGCAAGGUUGCUAACAUCUAAUGUCAUGGUAAACCUACCGAGCAAUGGAUGGGGAGGAACACCUCAUCCUAGGAUCCAAUCACCUUUGACUCAGAAGAAAAAACCUAAAACAUGAAGUUUAAAAACAUGAGUAUAAACUCAGUGAGUGAACAUAGGAAGGGAACAAGCAACGUUAAGGAAAGUUUAGAAAUCAUGAUGCAUUUAAGUUUGAAAACAAUGCAACUUAGUUCAAGUUCUUAUUAAAAAUACCUCCAUUUAACCCCUAGUUAUUAAAUCCUUUAAUGAUGAAGGAACCAUAUUCAACAUGAAAUUGGAAAUAAAGGAAAUUUCCAGCAAUCAUCCAAGCAAGGCAGUAUAAACAGAAUGUUUCUCGCUGUAAUAAAAUGAAUUCACAAGUAAAUGGGAAGUUUUCAAGAUUCAUCAUGCCAUAUAAUCACAUAUUAUAAUCAUGAUCUUUCUAUUGCAUAUACAUAUACUUAAGCAUAUAUCAAUUAGUAUACCACCACAUCUCAUCCAGCUCAUGUGCAUCCCCCCACAUCGUGCACAUAGCUAAACACCCCAUCUCACCCAGCUCAUGUGCAUCCCCCCACAUCGUGUACAUAGUUGGACACCCCAUCUCACCUAGCUCAUGUGCAUCCCCCCACAUCGUGCACAUAGCCAGAGUCAUCGUGUCUCACCCAGCUCAUGUGCAUCCCCCCACAUCAUGCACAUAGUCGGAGUCAUCGUAUGCAUCCCCCUACAUCGUGCACAGAUAAUGCCAUCAUGUACAUCCCCCCACAUCAUGCACACGAGCAGUAUCACCAUCCAUCUCUCUCACCACCGUCAUCACCGGCAAGUGCACACUCACCCCGCACAUGCACGAUUGCAUUUGUCAUACAAUGGUACCAUUUAUGACAUAGUAUAUACAUAUCAACAUUAUACAGAAACAUAUGAAUUCAUCACACUAUCCAUUUCAUAACAUAAAAACAUUUCAUAAAGGUUUGUUCCCAUGCAAGCUUUUGAAGAAAAACCAAUAAAACGUUUUAGGAGAUUCAAUCAAACAUAAAUGUGUAUAUCGCAAAACAUUUUAAUGCAAGUUCACUCACUUGGCAAAAUUAACAUUGACAAGGUUCUAAUCCAAGUAGUCCCGAAAUACCAUCAAAACCUAUAUUUAUCAAUAACCAAUAACAACCUCAAGUAAGUCAUAAAUUUAAAUCUAAUAAUUUUAAUAAAUUUACACUAGGUAAUCUACCCUCUAACCAAACAUUUAACUUAAAUUUCUAGUCUAAUUCUCAAACCCAUCAUACCAACUAUUUCCAAAUGUAAAGAUUCUUUACCUUGGUGAGCUCGGAGGCAUGAAAAUCAAUGGAAAACCUAAUCUUUCCAAGAAAAAUGAUUUGAAGAAAUUAGGAAAUAAAUCUGAAAAUAUAACCAUAAAUUCAAAAAUUUCAAAAGUUGGAAAUAUAUACCUUUCAACCUUGAAAAUGAAGAUUUGAAGCCAAAAAUCUAAGUGUUGUUGAAAGUGAAGUAGAAAUAGAAAAUAAAGGAAAGAAAGAGAGAUUUUUCUUUCUCUCUCCUUGGGUUUAGAAGUGCUGGAAAUUGGGGUUAGAAGUUGUAACUUUGGUGCACAAGGAGUUGGGAGAAGAAAAAAGCAAAAAAAGAAAGGAAAUGAAAAGAAAACAACGAAAGAAAAUGAAAGAAAAUUAACUUUCCAUGGAAGAAUGAGAGAAUGGUGUUGGAAGCUUCAAGAAUGAAGAAGAAACAUCUUGCUGGAGGAGAUAAGGACGGCUUUGGGCUGAUAAGGAUGAGAGUCAAAGCUUUCUUUGGAAGCUUUGACCAAACUUUGUGUAAAAUUAUCGUUUUACCCUCCAAGUUUCUUCCCUUUUUAAUUUAGUCCUCCCAACACUUAUUUAACUCCAAUUUCCUUCUAUUAUCUUCUUCUACAAAUGUACAAAUAAAGUAUAAAGUUUGUACUCCAACGCGGUGUCUCCAUAAUAUUUAAAAUAUUUAUUUACCCGCACUAUCUUUACUUAAUAAAGACAUGCAGCCCCAUUAAUGUCAUUGCUCUCCAAAAUUUUCUCAUUCCUCUUCUCCCCCAAUUAGAUUGACCAUAUACUCCUCCUUCAUGAAAAGCUUCGAUAUUGAAUAAAAUAUUAAUAUUUUAAUAUUAUUUUAUUCUAAAAAUUUUCUCUUGUCUACUUGGUACCCAAAAUACCUUAUUAUGCCUCAAUUCACUUUCGAAUCACUUUUUAUUUAGCAAAUUCUUUUCUGAUAAAAAUAUUAUUAUUUUAUUAUUAUUUUCUCGCGUGCGAAAUAUUUUAUCCCAAACUAUUCCUUUCAUCUUUCAUCACUUCUAAACAUUAUAAUUAACCUCAAUUGGCGUCCGAUAAGCUUUAUUAGUCACCAUAUCAAAGUACGAGGCAUUACACAUUCACACACGCAAGAAGUCCAUUCGAAAAAUAAGUUUUCACUUGAAUUGAUGCAUGAAUUUAAGGAUUAGCUGUAUGUUACCUUAUGCUUGAAUUAGAGUUAAUUUUUGAGGAAAAUUUGGAAAAUCAUGAUUUGGUACUUCUAUCUCUUGUUCAAAGAUUUUUUUUAUUGAUUCAGUUUUCUUUUUGUGAUUUUCUUUUGCUAGAGGACUAGCAAAAUCUCAAGUUUGGGGGUGUGAUAAUUCUAUUUUAUAGAAUUAUUUUAGUCCAAUUUUGUUAUGAAAUAUUAUCUAAGUCCUUAGUUUUUAAUUAUAAUUUAUUUAUUUUUAGUUGUUUUUAUAAUUAGGUUACUUUUAAGUUAGUUAUUUUAAUUUUAUGUUAUUCUUUUUAUUUUGGUUAUUAUUUAUUAGUUUUUAUAUUUUUUGUAGGAUUAAAAGUGAUUGGGCUUAAUUUUGGAAAGUAAGGUGUUGAAAGACCUAGAAUCUGCUUGUAUAUAUGCUUCAGUAUUUUGGCCAUAUCUGAAGCUACAGAACUCCAAAUGAUACGAUUCUUGUACCAUUGGAAAGCUAAGUGAUAUAGUUAUAACUUUUAUGAAUAUCACUUUGCCCAGUUAUGCCUCAAAGAUAGAGAAAAUCGCAUCGAAAAAUGGCUAGACGUACUAUGCCUGGAAUGGAAAUUUGUAAAGACUAAUAAUUGAUUUUUGGGCCUUUUAUUACACUUUUAAGCCCAAUUAAACCCUAGGUCAACUUAAAAAACUUUAGGUUAAGUCUAUUAGCAUAAAUAGGAUAUGUUUAACAACAUGGGACAUAACUUUUGAGAGAUUCAAGAAGUUAGAAGUUGAGGCUGAAACUUGGAGAUCAAGACGGCAAUUAUUGUUUUGUUUUCUUCCUUGGCUUUUAAUUUUCUUGUUACUUUCAAUGGUUAAAUUUAUUAUAAUGUUAUUUGUUUUUGCAAUUAUGAGUGGUUAAUUUUCUUUUUCUAGGUUUGCAAUUGAACUCACAUGAAGUCUAAAUUUUUAAUUUCUUUCUUACUUAUCUUUUAUGGGAUUUGAAUUGUUUAUUUCAAUUUGUUCUUAAUGCUUUUAAUUACUUGGCCACCAAUUAAAUUGAUAUAGGAACCUAAACAAACUUGGGAGAGGGAGUUUAGAGUAGACUAAAAUUAGGAUAGCAUAUGAUCAUAUUAAUUGAUUUGCAUAUAGGAUAGGGAUAUACCUAUAGGCCAUACGUAGCCAAAUUAGAGCCUGAACUUAAUGAGUUUGUUUUAAUUUCAAUUCAUAUAGGGAUAUGGUGUUUUGGUUAAAAUAUAAAUUUUUAUAGGUUGAGUCGGGAGACCCUUAUAAAUAAUUUAGGAGUCUAGGUUAGCAAUUCAACCCAUUGAAAUAAGUUAAGUAAGAGAGGUAAGAUUUAGAUGAAGUGUGAGGGAUAUUGUAAUCCUAGACUUGUUUGAUUUGAUUUUUACCCAAUUAUAUUGUUGCUUUGAUUUUUCUUUUUAGUAUAAAUUUUGGUUAAUUAGAUUUAGUUAAUUAAUUUAGUUAUUCGAAUUUGAUUGUUUGGAUAAGAUUAAACUGUUAUAAUUUUAGUACUUAGUAAUUUUAAAUCAAUUCCCUGAGGGAUCGAUACUCUGCUUGCUAUUAUAAUAUCUACUCGAUACGUAUACUUGCGUAGUGGAAUUUUAACUGAUAGCUAGGGUUUUUGCUCUUUGUGGUGUUCGCGGGAUUGCUUCAGGGAGUGCUAGUGCAAUUACGAAAUUACCUGGAGCAAUUUAACUUUUAGAAUAAUAAUUUAUUUUGUGCUUUUAUGUGUUAAGUAUCACCAAGGUGAUCCAUGGGUGGAGGCAUGUUUUGGUUGUUUAGUUAUAAGUUAUAAUUUUUUUUCUGCUAUGUUUUUUGAGCAUGCCAUCCCUAGCCAAACCCAUCAUAAAAUUCCCUUACCAGUUGAAUAACAACUGCUUUGGGAUUGGUACAAAAUUUCUACCAAAUGUUUUCCUUAAUUUAGGCUUGAAUGCCAAGUUGUCGAAUUAAGGUGGCGUUUGGUAUUUUGCAAGGAAUGUGAUUGUUGGGAGUGUGAUUGCUAUGAAGAUAACUUUGCAAUGUUUGGUAUAACAUGGAAAAGUGAUAAUUGUAGGGAAUGUGAUUGUUGGGAAGAUUACAUUGUAGUUAGAUCUGGCAAUUUUGGAUACGACACGUUAACACGACACUAGAAGACACGGGUUAAACAGGUUUUGUGUUUACCCUUAACGUGUUUCGUGUCUAAUCAUGUCUGACAUGUUAAGACAUGAAAAUUUUCAUGUCUUAAUGUGUCAGACACAACAAACACGUUUAAAACACGUUUAAACACGUUUACUUAAUCGUGUUAUCGUGUUUAAAUGUGUAUACGUGUUUAAACGUGUAUACAUGACACGUUUAUUAACCUAUUAAACAUUACUAGUUAAAAACUAUUUUAACUUUAUAUAAAUAAUUUUUAAUACUUAUUUGAUGUGUAUUUUAACCUUAUAUAUAAUAAUGAAUUUGAUGUGUGUUAUUUAUAUUAAAUUUUAUUAUAUAUGAUGUUAUUAUUGUUAUUUUUUUGUUAUAAUUAUUUUUAUAACUAUGGAUUUUAAAUUUAAAUAAUAAAAUUAUAUUUAAUUAUAAAUAUUUUUAUUUAAUCGUGUUAAACGUGUUAAUUGUGUUAAUCGUGUUAAACGUGUUAAUCGUGUUAAAUGUAUUAUUAAUCAUGUCGUGUCGUAUAUUGACACGUUUAAUAAACGUGUAAAACAUGUUAAUCGUGUCGCGUCGUGUUACACGUGUAUUAAACGUAUACGUGUAUGUGUUUUAAAUUUAAGACACGAAUAUUAAACGUGUCGUGUUCGUGUUUAAUCUUAACGUGUUUCGUGUCUAAACGUGUCUGACACGUUUAAGACACGAAAACACGAAUUGCCAGGUCUAAUUGUAGUGUUUGGUUUAAAUGCAGUUUACUAGGAAUGUAGUGUAAAUUUACAAAGCUAUCCUUUUGUAUAAAAAUAUAAAGUUGAAUAAACUUACAUUUUUUUAAGUUUUCAAAUUUUAUCUUUUAAAAUAAUAAAUAAUAACAUGAAAAAAUUACAUAAUAUUUGAAUACUAAUUAUUUAAAUAUUAAGAUAUGAGAAGUUACUAAAUUUUUAUUUUUAUAAUUACUUAUCAAAUAUCUUAUUUCCUCCUUUAUCCUUAAAGUUGAUGUUGAAUGGAUCAGGUUUUUCAGAUCUCAUUGUUCUAGAUGGUGUUGCUAGAGCUUUUCCUUUUUCUUCUCUUGACCUUUCUUGAGCCAUUUUCUCUAAAGGUUUGAGUGAAGAAUGAAGGUUUUGAGAAUGGGGGUGUUGAUUCUUUCAUACGGAGAACCAAUUCCACUAUCGGAUAACUCAUAGUUGCAAAUGGGUCAACUCAAAUUUAAAAGAAUUUGAAGUUGAAAAGCUUUUGGGAAAGUUUUAGUCUUUUGAUUCUUAAAAAUCUGCUUUUAGAAGAAGAGAAAAUUUCUUGAGAGAGACAGGAUUGUGAGAUUUUGCUUUAGAAGAGCUUUAAAAAUUGAAAAAUGAGAGUUUAAAGCUUAAAUACUUUCUUAACCUAAGGCAUAAAAGUCGGUUCUUAAAAGAUAAGAAUUGAUUCUUUGUGCCCUAGUGCUCUAAGACUUUUGAAAUUCUUUUUGCGAAUUGAUUCUUGAAAUUUUGAAUGUCAAUCUUUGAAUUCCCGAGGCAUUCUGGAAAUCAAUUUGUUUUUGAAGGAUAGAUUCUUUAAAAAUCAAAAGUCGAUUCUUAACCUUUGUAGACUUGAAAACCAAAGAAUUUUUUUUCUAAAUCAAAUACAAUAGAUCUUACAAGUAGAAUUAAGUAAAGUGCAUAUGGUUCUUGGUUUGGAAUGAUGCAUAUGUAUGGAAUGAUAUCCAAAUUUUAUUUCAACAACUAUUAUGUAGGCAAGAUUAUCAAAACAAUAUUCAUUCAAAUUAUGAAUUCAAGAAACUAAUCUUUACUUUAACAAUAAUCAACCAACCAGAGGGUAUCAAACAAUUAACAAAUUAGUUUCUAUAAGCUAGUCAUUCAUGGAAUAGAUAUCACUUGACUUUGUAGUAAACUCAAUCCAUGCAUUCUUGCCUUGAUCUUUCCUACAAAACAAAACCAAUUUUUGAUCUUGGUACCCAAGCUUUCUUGGGUCCUUGAGAGUUAGUUCUUCUAAGUUUGUUUUUGUCACGACCCGGAACUCCCCAUUGGGCCCGUGACAACAGUCGUGAAGCCUCGACAGACAUUCUUCACCCCGAAUGCCGAUCGAAACCUCACACGGCUCUCGUAUCAGCUUUCGCACUUCCCCAGUGAGCAAUAGUUAUCAAAUAUCGUAAUUCGAAGGAUUACGAGUCAUUUCCAAAUCAGAACAUAACAUAUUGUUUUCUAGCUCACAGGGGCAUUUUUGUCAUUUUUCGUCGAAAAUCUCAAAACUUGCUAAAAAUGUAGUAGGUAAGCAGAAAAUAUAUAUUUAGUGAUUUAAAAACAAAUUAAGUAUCUAAAAUGUUCAUUUGAAGUGAAAAUUUGGCCAUUUGAAUAUAAUAAAAAUAUUCAAUAAAAUAAACUAUUUUCUUGUAAAAUAAUUUUUAUAAAGCUAUCGGUAAAUAAUUCUUAUAGCGUAAAAGUUAAUUAUUUUCAUAUAUACUAUAAAGCAAAUAACCAAAGCAUAAACUUACUUUUACAGCGACACGUGGGCCCACAUCUAACCAAAAUGUAUCGAAAGCUGAAAACCUACAGCUUUUGCUGAUUCAAGUCUAAAUGAAGGUCCUUGUCAAAGUCAGCUAACUAUGGAAUUCUCUAAGCCUGAAAUGUGAGCAAAUGAGGGUGGUGAGAUUAUAAAAUCCCAGUGAAUAAACAGACACCAUCUAAACUAUCCAAAGGCGAGUAAAUGGAGAAGAAUUAAAAUAUUCUUUUCCAAUAUAUGUUUCAUAACAUGAAUAUUCAGUUUACUCAAUUUAUUAACAUGGCUUAUAUAUCUCACAAAACUUGGCUCCUGCCAAAAAUCAUUCCCGGGGAUGCCUUGCCCUAAGCAUCUGACCGAGACCACCAAGGCUGUUAAAUGUCUUUACAUCCGAAAUUCUAGCCAUGCCUUGGCGUUGGCUGAGUCUCACUCUCACGCAAUGGUCCACGUGAAGUGCACUCAAAUCUUUACCUCUAGAGAAACCCUCCACACGGCUCUCUAAUCGAGUUUAGGUAUAUCUGAUUCUGUGCCCCCUCUUUUAGGCUGGUCCACAAAACCUCCACUGCAGGGAUUAUGGAUUAUUUUACCUACCACCUGAUUUAUAAAAUCUUUAUCUGCAUGACAUAGCAAUUUAUCGCAAUCUAGCCUGUCAAGGCUAAAUACAUAAUAUAUAUAAUUUUGAUAUAAAUACCGACUUUGCCAUUCAUGCUCACAUAUUACUAUAAGCCAUAUAAUUUAAAACACAAUUUAUAACACAAGUAGGCAGUCUCCAAUUACUCUAUUUUCAAAACCAGUAUUCAAUUUUCCAAAAAAUUUAUAAAAUCAUUUUAUAAAAUCACAAUUUCUCCUAAAACAUAACAAUUUUCCAUUUAAACCCAUUUUCUAUAAAAUCACACAAUUGUAUAAAACUACUCUAGAUAAUUAAGACGAUAAUAAUUUUACUCACAAUUCUAGGAGUCGAUGUACUCCUAAUCCCAAUCUUCAAGCAUAAUCUCUAUACUUUUACCAGUGUAAUUUGCUCACCACCUAUCCACAAUGUACAAUACAUAAUUCACCACAUUAAUGCUUGACCAUUAUAAAAUCAAUUUAGGCUCUGUGUAUAUGCAUGAUAUGAUAUGCAACUUAUACGACUACCGCUUAAAUGCGGUGCUGACCUAAUUCGGCCUAUUACCCGAUUAAAUGACAAUUGUGUCCGAUUUAGCUCCAAAUUACUCCAUUUCAUUUCUAAUAUUUCAAUUCACUAAAUACAAUUCCAAUAAUCUAAAAUUCAUCCUAACAACCCUCACAAUUCUUCUUGAAAAUUUCGGCCAUGGCGGUGCACUAUCACUAAAAAUUUUCCCAUUCCAUUUUCUCACCAUAAAUCAUCAUUUCAUCAAUUUUUCAACCAAAUCACUUGAUCAAAAAAUCAAUUCAUUACUUCUACACUUCACGUAGGGUUCGGCCAUUGAAGGUUCAUGGGAAAAUGGAUUCUUUUCUUGUUAUUUUGUUUCUAAACAUGCUUAACUAACUCUAAACACCAACAUAACUCAAAAUCAAACAAUUCCAACAUCAUUUCUCUCACCAAACCCAUUUCGCCAGCCAUGAUUUCCCCAUGAAAACAACAAUCCAACCAUGGAAAUUAAGGAGAAAUGCAUGGGUAAGGUAAAUCACUAGCAAAAUCAAAGAAAUUUUACCUUUGCUUGAUCAAAUCCUUGAAUUCCAACACUUUCUUUUUGAUUUUCCCCACCUAGGGUUUGUUCUUCCUUGGUUUCUCUUCUCUUCUGGUUUGGCAGACCACUAUGGGAGAAAUGGACUGGUUUUUAUGCCUUUUUAUAAAGAAACAAUAAAAUAAUAAAAGCAUGACACAUGGCAUUUCCUUAUUGGUUCAAAUUUUAAAUAUUUCACUUUUAAUUCUUUAAUUCUCCACCACACAUUUCUUAUGUUUAUCCAUUUCCAUGAUGAAUAAAAUCCCUUGGUCUUGACAAGUGUCAGGAGUGAAAAUUUAUCGAUUUGCCCCUAAGGCGAUAAAAUUAUUGUUUUGCCCCUAUACUCUAAAAAUAUCAAAAUUAUGACUUUUUCACUUAUCAACCUCAAAUUAUACUCCAAUGAGUCAAAUGUGAUCAAUCUUGAUCAAAAACUUCUUCCAAUAUUCCAAUUUUAUCCUCAGGUGGCAAAAUUACCAUUUUACUCCUAGAUAGUGAAAAUUUCGAUUUUACUCCAAAUUAAUCCUCGAACUCCGAAUUACCAUUUUGAGUGAUCCCUGGACUGUGAAACUCUUAAUUUCACCUUAAAAUUCCUAUUUGAACUAGUUCGAGGCUUAAUAGACCUAAUGGUACCAUUAGCGGCAAUAUCGUCUUUUAACGAUUUCUCGAACUUCCUAAAUUUGCAAACAUUCUAUUGAGCAUGUAAAUGGCGUCGUAAUUAUUUUAUAGAACAAGGUUUGACAGUUUUUACUUGGGACCUCAAAAAUUUCUACAAUUCUUCCCCAUGUACGUUUGGUCUCUUUUAGGACCCAUAUCUUUUUGACAGUUUUUUUAGAGAUGUUUUUCUAAAAAGAUAGAAAUAUAUAGAAUGUCCUUUCAUGUGACAACAGACACAAACAUGUGAUGCAUCAUGCUUUUCAUUUUCUUUUUCAAAUAAAGCUUUUGUCUUUUUCUUAUCAUAUCCUAAGCCAUUUCUAUCAAAGAAUGCUUUUUGAGUCUGAAGCAUUUCAUUAAGUUUCUAUGAGCUCAUGUUCCAUUAAGAAUAUGAUUCAAUUAAUUGCUCAUUUCUCUUCUUUAAGAUAUUCACUUCAUUCCCUAAGAUUUUUACUUUGUUUUUCAGCUCAAACUUAAUGUUAGUCAUGCAAUCGUUUUCUGUCUUGAGCUUAGAGAUUACCUUUUUGUAUUUUAAAUUCAUAUGUUCAAACUCAAAUGCCAAGUCAUCAUAUGCAUCUUGAAGUUCAUCAAAAGUAUAUGCAUCAUCAUUAUAAUCAUAAGAACAAGAAGCAAUGCUUGAAGAACAUACCUUGGAUUUUUCAACUCCCAUGAAGCACAGAUUUGCAAUUCUCCCUUCUUGCUCUUCUUAGGAUUCAUCACUAUCACUCCAUACAGCUACCAUAGCUUUUCUCUUGAAGUUUCUUCGAUGAUUCUUUUUAAGUUCUGGACAUUCAUAUCUAGUGUGACCAGCCUUCUUGCAUUCAUAGCGAAUAAUGUGAUUCUUUUCAAGAUCAUCUUGUUGAAUGUCUUUCAUAAGAUUUCUUCUUGGUUCCUUUCUUUUGAAGAACUUUUGACUUCCUUGUUUGUUCCUCAAAAAUUUCUUAAACCUUUUUGUUAAAAGAGCUAUUGCUUCAUCACUACAUUCAACAUUCUUUACAUUUUUUCCUCAAUUACUUUGAGAGCAAUACUUUUCUUUUUGCUUCUCCUUUAAUUGCUUCAUCCCUUUCUUCCUCAUGUUUGAGAGCCAUCUCAUAAGUAAGCAAAGAUCUUAAGAACUCAUCAAGCUUAAGUACAUUCAAGUUUUUUUCUUCUUCAAUGGUAGUGACCUUAGGUCUCCAUGACUUGGAUAAACAAUAAAGGAUUUUCUUCACUAGCUGAGCAUUGGGAAACUCUCUUCCUAAAGCUUUUAAUCUUCCAAUAAUCUUAGUGAAUCUUUCAAACAUUCCUUUGAUAGACUGCUCAUUCUUCAUCUUAAAUAACUCAUAAUCAAGUAUCAACAUACUAAUUUUUGAUUCCUUAAAUUGACUAGUGCUCUUUUAAUAGUUUUCUAAAGUAUUCCAAAUCUCUUUUACUGUAGAGUACAUAGCUACCCUAUUGAAUUCAUCUUCACUAAGAGCACAUAAAAUAGAUGUUGCAGCUUUGUCAUUUAGCUGUAUCAACUUUUUGUCUUUAUCAUCCCAUUCAGCUCUAAUUUUAAGGUGUUUCACACCAUCAAUAGUUUUGGUAGGAAUAUGAGGCCCAUCAACAAUAAUAUCCCAAAGAUCGAAAUCAAUAGAUUGUAUAAAAUUUUCAAACCUUAUUCUUUAGAACGGGUAGCUCUUCCCUUUGAACAACGAAGGCCUCAUCUUAAAUUGUCCUUCACCAAUGAAGCUCGAGGAUGAUGAUGGUGCCAUGGUUGUUACUUUAAGCUCUUUGGUUAGGAUCUCUCAAUGGUGUUUAAACCUGCAAAGACUUGAGAACCUAUUCUGAUAUCACUUGUUAGAAAAGAUAAGCUUAAAGUAAAAGAAUGAAUAUGAGGGUGAAUUGGUUGUUAGGUAAAAAUUACCCCUUUUUUAAAAAUCAAUUUAAUUGUGAAAGAAUAAAACAAUAAAACAAAGAAUAAACUUAAUGAGUAAAGAGUAACAAAGUAAGAAAGGACCAAGAAGAUUUUUAUAGAGGUUUGCCCUUCCAAUGCCUACAUUCAGUUCCUUGAUAGCAUAAGGAGUUUGAAUCCACUAUCACUUUGCCUGUUGAAUAGGAUCAAGCGUAACUUUUACCAAGAGACUAUCUUUUUCAAGUUAAAAUACAACCUUUACAUAAUAAUAAGCCAUUUAAAAGAUUAGGUAAAACCUUUAUACCUUUUGUAACGACCGCUCCUCGAUUGCUACCGACGUUCGAGUCUUACGGGAAAACCCACUAAGUCCCGAACAAGCCUUAAUUGAAACUUUAGUUAUUACUUUAUAUUCAUGCCAUUAAUCUAUGAAAUUACUUUGAUCCGUAUAACUCUUUCUAAUAAGAUUUGAACAAAAGUCGUAAUAAGUCAUCUUAACCUUUAUUCACCAUAAUUGUAAGAAUACAUUAUAGUCUAAAAUCUCCAAUUGUACAUUUAUGUUAACACUAUUUACAAAUAAUUAUGCCAUAAACAACUUGACCUUUAGCAGUGGAGUGACUCAGAAUAAAGUGCUAUGAGAUGCCUUUACCUAUCCGUGGUAGACAAUAUGUGCCAAUGAAUGCACGCUAGGCCAAUCACUAUCUGCAAAAGGGAGAUGAGGGGUGUAAGUGUCACAGCCUAACUUUCGGGCUAUGACUGGCGCAUGGGCCCAAUGAGCAUAGCCCUUUAAGCCCAAGCAAGCCUAUUUAUACAAUUCUGAUCAUUAAUCCCAACCAUCAUUUCUAAAAUCACAUAUUGUAAUUCUCAACCAAAAUAUUUCAGUAACAUUUUAUAGUGACCCAAUACUCAUCAUUUUAUUAUGUCAAAAUAAUGUCACCCGUUUGCCAACUCAUAGUUGCAUCAGUAAUCAAAUAUACAUUUUUGACUUAUAACAUGAAUUCUAGCGAAUUACAUUACAUAUAUGUGUUCACAGGUAACAAACUCUUGACCAUUAGCGGAGUGACCAUGGGUGAAGGUACAGCUACUGAGAUGCUAUAAUACCUACCGAGAGGAUGAGCAUACGUGGACACUCAAUCUAGGUCCCAACUAUCUUCGAAUCUAAAAACAUAAAGUUUAAAAACAUGAGUAUAAAACUCAGUGAGUGAACAUAAGAAGGGCACAAGCAAUCGAUAGGAAGAAUUUGGAAACCAUGAUGCACUCGUUUCAAAAAUAAUGCAAUCGAUUUAAUUUCUUACUGAAAACCCCUCAUUUCAAACUUUGAUUAAUAACUUCAUAGUGUUGGAAAAACCCAUGAUCUAUCCAUGAAGUUAAAUGGGUGAAAAAUAUGUCAAAAUCAAGUGAGGUAGCAAGCAUGGCAGCAAGUUUCUUGCUGUAGAGAGAAAUAGUCUUAGUUUGCAUAUGUUUCACUUUUUCUAUCAUAUCUCCCACUACAUAAGUCGAAUUGACCUGAUAUUUGGACUAUUAGAAAGCUAAGAGAAAGGGCUACAACUUUUGUGUUUACCAUAUUGCCCAUUUCUAAAUGGAAGGUGAUCAAAAUUGUUGUCAAAUUUGAAGCACUACAUCAAAAUUUUGGGUCUACCCGAGAGUUUCUUGCUACAACAAGAAUCCAAUUUCGCUGCAGCGAGAAUUCUUUUUCGUUGCAGUGAGAAACGGGGCUGGUUUGUUCCCCCACCACUCGAGAGCUUCUCACUACAGCGAGAAUGCGAGAUUUAGGGCAGAUGACAAAUUAAGGGAUUUUCACAUGCCACUAAAUCCAUUCCUACCAUAUUGCACAUCAAAGUGAACACAUUGACAAUAAUCAAGUUUCACGUUAUUCAUUUCAAUCACAUAUUAUAAUCAUAAAUUUUCUAUCACAUAUACAUAUAUAAACAUACAUAAACAUGUGCACCACCCCACUUCAUUCAUCGUCAUAGCCGGGUCAUCAUCAUCGGCUUAUGAGCACUCCCUACUCGAACAUAACCCGGUCAUCAUCGGCUUAUGCGCACUUCCUACUCGUACAUAGCCGGGUCAUCAUCGGCUUAUGUGCACUCCCUACUCGCACAUAGUCGGGUCAUCAUCAGCUCAUGUGCACUCCCACAUCGCACAUAGCUAGGUCAUCAUUAUCACACAACAUUAUUCAUCAAUGCAUAACACAUAUUCAUAUAUAUACAUACCAACAUAAUAUAGGAGCACAUGGAUUUAUCUUUUUACACAUUUCACAUUUUCACAACAUCAAAACAUUUUAUCAAGGGCUUGUUCCAUUGCAUAAUUUAAUGAAAACCAAGUAAAAUCAUUUAAAUGCUUCAUCCCAACACAUAUGUAUUUCCCAAAAACACUUUGAUGCAAGUUCACUCACCGGUCUUAUUGAUUCUUUUGCUUGACUCUAACCUCAACUAAUGCUCCAAAUGGACAUGUGAGGCCUUGUUGGAACCUAUAUACACACCACUCUAAUCAUCAACCAUUAUCAACAACUUGAAAAUUAAACCUAAUUCAUUACUCACCUUGGUGGGUUUUUGUAGUUGAAUUCUUUUUCAAAAGCUUCCAAGCUACUGUGGACAAUCUCCCUCUCUCUCUCCACCUGUCUAGCUAGUGAGAAAAUAUACCAAGGAAAGACCUUUAAGGGCUUUUGAGGUGUAGAAGAGAAAGAGUAUGAAAAACCCUAUGAAAAGGUGGAGAAAAACACAAGGUUUAGGGUUACCUGGGAGGCUUCUAUGGAAGAUGAAGAAAACAUGAAAUAGAGAGAAAAGAGGGGAGGAAGAAGAAGAUUUGCUGGAAGCUACUGGAAAUUUGCUAGAGCUUUAGAUAUUUAUAUCUAAAGUUUAUCCAUUUCUCACAUAAAUUACCAAAAUGCCUUUAACAUGGUGACUUUGUCUUCCUCUCAUCCUUUGUGCAACUUUUUACUCUUUUGACACUGGGGUAAGGUCCAUAAUAGUCUAGAAAUACUCGGGUUCAUGAAAACAUAAAGAUUUAGAUUUGAGAUGUAAAAUGACCAUUUUGCCCUUAUCGUGGAAGUUAUCAUUAUUUUUAUCUUCUUCAUUUAUUUUAGCAUCAUAAACAUCAUUCAUUCAUUCCUUAGGCUGAUUUAGACCUUUAUAGCAUUAAAAAAACCCACUCGUAGGAGCUCACCAAGAAAAAUUACGAAAUUACCCCUAGUCUGCAUUAUCGCAUCUACUUCUAGUUAUGUGUCUAUGGAGAUCCAGAUUACAUAGGUUCACUUCUGAAUUACCCUUUUUAACUUAGUAAUUAACCUCAAUUGACAUCCAUAAACUUUAUUAGCCACCGUAUCAAAAUACGGGGUACUACAGUCUCCCCCGCUUAAAAUGAAUUUGUCCUCAAAUUCAAAUGGGUGUAACGUGAAUAAUCAAUGUUCUAAAGUUCUACCACAUCACUUUUGUCUGGCAUUCUUAACAUAGAAUCUUGGUUUAUGCAUCAUAUUGACUUCCAAUCUUAUAGAAAACUCGACAAUGUCAUACUAUAUAGUUAUGUGUACUACUCUUAUUGUAUCAAAACAAUAUCAUCCUUCAUCUUAUGAAGAUAAUUCAAAUAAGCUAUUAAUUCUGGUCACACCUCAAUCAAAUCAUCCUUAAAUCAUCAAUGAUGCAAGUUUACUUAACCAUCCGUAACUCCUCUACCUUACUCCUUUAUCAAACCUUCCAAUAUUCAAGCAUCUAUUCCACCAUUGACUAUGGGUCUAAUUUGUCAACCAAUCUCUGUUUCAUUUUUCAUUCUCCCAUACAAUUUCCAUUUAAGCAUUUCAUAAUACAUAAGGAUCAAAACAAGCUUUAUUUAUUUCAGAUAUAUUUAACAUCAUGGAUGAUUCAAAUCUAGUAACUAUUAGUAACCAUAUUCCGAAAAACAAAACUCCAGUACUUUCAUGAUCAAGUGCUUACUAGAUAAAUCUUAAUUUAUACCACGAAGCAUUUCAAUAAGUCAUGAUAUUCGCAUACCUCCUAUGAUCUUAACCAAUCCCUUUAAUCAAUAACUCAACUUCUCAAGGUUAAAGUUGCUCAAAAUUUUUCUUUAAGGUUCCUUUCCAAGUCUCAUCUUGAUUACUAAUCAUUUCUAUAUUUCCAAUGUCGUAACUAAUUUGUUCAUCAUCAACCACAUAAAGCAUAUCUAACUUGAAAUUCUUCAAAUUUACUCCAAAUGCUAAAUCUUGUGAACUUAUUAGUUUAUUCGUCCGAAGAUGAAAUUUGACACUUACCUCUCCUUAAGUGUACUUUAAAAUCAAGGAAUCAUUUACUAAGACCUUUCCGAAAUCAACUUCUUUAGCCCUUUUUCCUUAAAAAAUUAAAUUCAUAAUCCUUCAUUUUGAAUCAUGGGCUCUAUGCCAAUCAAAGCAGAUUUUACACUUUUAAUUACACGAAUUCAAAUGCACACCUUUGCGCAUAAGCUAUAAAUUUUUACCCAAACCUCCAUAAGUCAAAACCUUAUAUUGAAGUUAUACCAGUACUCAUACAUUCUAUUCCAUUAGCCUUUAGAGAAUUAAAUCUAUGGCAUACUUCUCUAUUUGGGUACUUCAUAACAGCCUAACAAAUUCUAGCUUACAAUUAACCUAGUUCAUAUGCCAAGCCUCUCAGGCUGUAUCAAAACACCAAAUUUGAUCACGAUAUAAUAAAAAUUGAGGAACUUAUACCAAAAGUAUAAACACUUACUUUUAAGCUAACAACAUUAUAAUCAACUUGUUCACUACCAAAAUCACCGAUAAAUCAUCUUAAUCACUAUCUAGCGCUAUAACCAUUGAUAGAAUUUUAUCAUUGAAUCAAAUUAUAACCAACUCCAUAUGAGUUUUUUUUUUUUACCAAUAUGCAACAUAUAUAUCCAUACAUAUAUAUUUUUCCAAAAAUUUUAACUUUCGGUAGCCUUAGGCAUAUCAAGCACAAUAAGCCAUCUGUAAAACCAAAAUAACCAACAAUCAAGUUUAGAAUGAAUUCUUCUCAUAGUUGGUUAGAUCAUGCUCAUCAUUUGUGGUGAAUACACAAAGCUGAUUCCAAUAUUCUAAUCUCAUACGAGAAUUGACCACUAAUUCGCACCAUCCCCGAAGCACCAUGUGUCUUAAAAAUCAAUUUUUCAUAGCCAAAAUUCAUAUUCUAAUAUCAUGCUUCUAGAUCGUAGCUCAUUACCAAAGUCUUUACUCAUAUAUAAAUACUCGAAUCAUCAUCUCUUUUCUAAGUAGAUUUCUAUAAUUUUCGUAACGUAUUUCUAUUCCCUUACCAAGGGUAGUAUCAUUUAAUCAAACCAUGUCACCUUCCUUCUCUAAACAUUUGAAGCAUAAUUCAACCUUUGCCUAUCCCUAUCAAGCACUUUACCUUGAUAAUUACUCAAAAUAAAUUGGAACUUGUGGGGGAAGCACAUCUCACAAUUUAUGCCUUAUGUCUACAAUUAUGUCGAGACCAGAACCUCAACGAGUCCACAAAAUGGUAGGAUAAUCAUUGCCUCAAACCAACAUUUCCAAAUAUACUUAUGCUUGUAUCAUAUCUUCAUACUUAUGUGACAUAUCAGUCACGAGCCCAACUUGACUAUAUAAUUAUUUGCUCUUUGAGCUUUAAUGCUUUGUCAUUGUGAAAAAUCUUUCAAAUUUAUCUCAUCAGGGUAUUCACAAGGUGGAUACAUGUCCAUAACUUACAGUUCAAGGCCUAAAGCAUUGAACACAAUCUCAUCAUUGAUGUUCUACUCUAUAUCAUAUAAUUGAAAUAUAUAAUCUAAUAACUAUGACAAUGAAAUUCUAAAGUUCCACCUUUAUCUACUAAUCAUAGCUCCCUUUAUAAGCACGUACUUUACACUACUUGAUUAUUCACAAGCCACUCAUGGCCAUCCAAAUUCGACCUCUUAUAGCAAGUCAAACUAGUAUAUUAUUCUUAUGUUUUCCAAUACACUUCUAAAAUGCUUAAGCACACUUUUAAUAGAAUUCUGUUGAGGACUCAGACAAUCAAAGGCUUAUCUUUAAAGCCACGCAUAACUUUAACAAUUUAAUAUAUAUUCGAUAACAUUUAGUUCAUUAACCCCAUUGAACAUUAUCUUAAGAUCUUUCAAGAUGUUCUUACUCUUAUUUCGGACCGAACCAAACGAACUUAACAUAAUUACAUUGAUUAUCCUUGAGCUUUUUAUGCUCGUCAUAACAACAUCUAUGUUUCACCCAUCAUUCGUCUUAAUGACUUUCAACCUUUCGCAACACACUUCUCAUACAUGUUAGGGCAUUCUCAAUCUCAUACCAAGCCUAUAGUCAUGUAAUCACCAAUUAGGCCAAAUCCUUGUAUGGAACAUCUCCUUCCACACGAUGAAUGUGAAUCACAAGAUAUACAACUUCGAGUGUAAGCUUAAAUAUUGGUAACCUCCAUAUAUUUCAUGGUCAUAAAAACCACAAUUUGCAAAACUAGCUUUCUAUCACAAGUUUGCGAUAGGAACAUUCGUCUCAACAUAUCUCACUUUGGGCAUACUUCACUACUAGUAUUCGCAUACCUUUACCAUAACAUUCAGUGCAAAUUGAUUAAGCAAUGACCUCUAAAUUUACUCUUAGAUACACAUAUAUCAAAUUGUACACCACUUAGUGUUGAGAUCUUGACUUUACUCAUCAAUUCUUAACCAAUUGCAUCCAUAAGAUAAACAAUUCACUUAAUUUUUGUAUCUUGCAUUUGCAGUCAUAAGAUCAAAAUUUCUUAAACUUAAGAUGUAGAAGCUUCCUUUUAGAGCAUAUAUGAAAAUCCACAUGUUCUAAGUUUCUUACCUUUGGAGAAAUCACAUUCAAGACUAAUCAUUGACAUCAUAGGUUGCAUAUUGAACCAAAUAGAUUUUUUAAAAAAAAAUUGACCUUUAAAGCAAUUCAUAUAUCAAUCUCAAUAUAGAACUCCGUAUGGAACUUUGCUAAAUUUGUCAUUUCCAUGUCAUUUAAUUUCAAACUGUUAAAUCCACAUCUAGUCCUUUAAUCCUUUGGCUCUACAUUAAGCAUAGCAAAAUUCAAGCUCAUCCUUAGAGCAAGUUUGUUUACUAGCCUUUUUCUUCAUGACUACCAUCAAUUAUAAUGAUCACUGAUUUUCACCCUUGAGCUAAUUUAUAUACCUUUAAUUUUAAACCAUAAUAGUUCAAAUUAACCCUUGGGAUCUCCAGUCACUUAAUUAGAAUGAAAGCCUGCUGUACACAUAUUCUCAUAUAAAUAUUUCGGAAGCCAAACACCAUUUAUAUAUGGCAUAACAAGCUCGAUUAACCAAGUGCACUUACCUCCGUGCACAUAAGUAUUGGCUUACUCUUACCUUAAUGCUUAAAUUUAUAAAUUUCAAGUGAAUCACAAUCAUCACUAUUCAUUCCAAUCAAAGUGCACCCCUUGUACCAUUACUGUAUAUGUUUCUUUAUAUUGACCACAAUAAUGAUCCAAUAUCGUCCAAUUUCUUUUCAUUGACAAUUAUAGGCUCAAGUCAUAACUCCACUGAAUGAAUAACUCAUUACGGACCUAUUAGUCCAACUCCAAUUUCCUCCAUCUUUAAUCAAAGGAAUUUGUUAUUACAUUAACCUUUCAUUAGGAGCAUUUGCUUAAAAUCUUUCCAACAACAGCUCAUAUCUCAGGUGGCAUCUCAAACCCGAACAACGGCACCACUUAUGACCUUUGCAUAAUGUUGGCAAGAGGGUAGGUUACUAGGAAUAGGAGUUCAUUUAGCCUCUUGUCAAUGAAUUGUUCUGCAGUCACAAACCAUAAACCAGACUCUACAUUAACUCCGACAACUCCGCUGAUUGAUAAAAAAAUCCCUAAGACUCGACUAAACCUAGAGUUCUGAUACCACAUUUGUCACAGCCCAAAUUUCGAGCUAUGAUAGGCGUAUGGACCCAAUGGGCAUAGCCCACUAAGCCUAAGCAAGCCUAUUUAUACAAUCCUAAUCAUUAAUCCCAACCAUCAUUUCUAAAACCACAUAUUAUAAUUCUCAACCAAAAUAUUUCAGUAACAUUUUAUAGUGACCUAAUACUCACCAUUUUAUUAUGUCAAAAUAAUGCCACUCGUUUGCCAACUCAUAGUGGCAUCAGUAAUCAAAUAUACAUAUUUGACUUAUAACAUGGAUUCUAGCGCAUUACAUUACAUAUACGUGUUCACAGGUAACAGACUCUUGACCGUCAACGGAGUGACCGUGGGUGAAGGUACAGCUAUUGAGAUGCCAUAGUACCUACCGAGAAGAUGAGCAUAUGUGGACACUCAAUCUAGGUCCCGACUGUCUUCGAAUAUGAAAACAUGAAGUUUAAAAAUGUGAGUAUAAAACUCAGUGAGUGAACAUAAGAAGGGAACAAGCAAUUGAUAGGAAGAAUUUGGAAAUCAUGAUGCACUUGCUUCAAAAACAAUGCAAUUGAUUUAAUUUCUUACUAAAAACCCCUCAUUUCAAACUUUGAUUAACAACCUCAUAGUGUUACAAAAACCCAUGAUCAAUCCAUGACGUUAAAUGGGUGAAAAAUAUAUAAAAAUCAAGCAAGAUAGCAAGCAUGAUAGCAAGUUUCUCACUGUAGCGAGAAACAGUCUUAGUUUGCAUAUGUUUCAGUUUUUCUAUCAUAUAUCUCACUACAGAAGUCCAAUUGACCUGAUUUAUGGACCAUUAGAAAGCUAAGAAGAAGAGCUACAACUUUUAUUUUUACUAAAUUGCCCAUUUCUAAGACAAAUGUAGUCAAAAUCAUUAUCAAAGUGGAAGCACUGUACUACAAUUUUAGGUCUAGUUGAGAGUUUCUCACUGCAGCAAGAAUCCAAUUUCGCUGCAACGAGAAUCCAAUUUCAUUGUAGCAAAAUUCCUCGUUGCAGCGAGAAUUCUUUUUUGCUAUAGUGAGAAAUAGGGCUGGUUUGUGCCCUCACCACCUGAGAGUUUCUCGCUGCAGCGAGAUUCAGGGUAGAUGACAAAUUAAGGGAUUUUCACAUGCCACAAAAUCCAUUCCUACCAUAUUGCACAUCAAAGUGAACACAUUGACAAUAAUCAAGUUUCUCAUUAUUCAUUUCAAUCACAUAUUAUAAUUAUAAAACUUUCUAUCACAUAUACAUAUAUAAACAUACAUAAACACGUACACCACCUCAUUUCAUUCAUCGUCAUAGUCGGGUCAUCAUCAUCGGCUUAUGCGCACUCCUUACUCGCAGAUAGCUGGGUCAUCAUCAGCUUAUGUACACUCCCUACUUGCACAUAGCCAGGUCAUCAUCAGCUCAUGUGCACUCCCACAUCGCACAUAGCUGGGUCAUCAUUAUCACACAACAUUAUUCAUUAAUGCACAACACAUAUUCAUAUAUAUACAUACCAACAUAAUAUAGAAGCACACGGAUUUAUCUUUUUACAUAUUUCAUAUUUUCACAAUAUCAAAACAUUUUAUCAAGGGCUUGUUUCCAUGCAUAAUUUAAUGAAAACCAAGUAAAAUCAUUUAAAUGCUUCAUCCUAACACAUAUGUAUUUCCCAAAAAUACUUUGAUGCAAGUUCACUCACCAGUCUUGUUGAUUCUUUUGCUCGACUCUAACCUAAACUAAUGCUUCAAAUGGACAUGUGAGGCCUUGUUGGAACCUAUACACACACCACUCUAAUCAUCAACCAUUAUCAACAACUUGAAAAUUAAACCUAAUUCAUUACUCACCUUAGUGGUUUUUUGUAGUUGAAUUCCUUUUCAAAAGCUUCCAAGCUAUUGUGGACAAUCUCUCUCUCUCUCUCUCUCCACUCGUCCAGCUAGUGAGAAAAUAUACCAAGGAAAGACCUUUAAGGGUUUUUGAGGUGUAGAAGAGAAAGAGUAUGAAAAACCCUAUGAAAAGGUGUAGAAAAACACAAGGUUUAGGGUUACUUGAGAGGCUUCCAUGGAAGAAGAAGAAAACAUGAAAUGGAGAGAAGAGAGGGGAGGAAGAAGAAGAGUUGCUAAAAGAUGCUAGAAAUUUGCUAGAGCUUUAGAUAUUUAUAUCUAAAGCUUAUCCAUUUCUCACAUAAAUUACCAAAAUGCCCUUAACAUGGUGACUUUGUCUUCAUUUCAUCCUUUGUGUAACUUUUUACUCUUUUGACACUAGGGCAAGGUCCAUAAUAGUCUAGAAAUACUCGGGUUCACGAAAACACAAAAAUUUAGACCCAAGAUGUAAAAUGACCAUUUUACCCCUACCGUGGAAGUUAUCAUUAUUUUUAUCUUCUUUAUUUAUUUUACCAUCAUAAACAUCAUUCAUUCAUUCUUUAGGCCUAUUUAGACCUCAAUAGCAUAAAAAAAACCCACUCGUAGGAGCUCACCAAGAGAAAUUACGAAAUUACCCUUAGUCCAUAUUAUCAGUCUACUUCUAGUUAUGUGUCUAUAGAGAUCGAGAUUUCAUAGGUUCACUUCUGAAUUACCCUUUUUAACUCGGUAAUUAACCUUAAUUGGCAUCCGUAAACUUUAUUAGCCACCGUAUCAAAAUACGGGGUACUUAAGUAAGUCUCAUAGAGUUAGUGAUUAUUGGCUCCAUGAGCAGGGCGUAGAUGGGAAACAAGCUUAAAGUAGAUCGUUUGAGUAAUAAAACCAGAAUAUAAAAUGAUAACCUUAUAAAACCAAAUAACAAGUAAGGUAUUUGUGCCUUGUAAAAUAAUGCCAUAAAAUCGUAGUGCAAUUCUUUCCUUGGUAAAUAAUGCCGAAAACAAAGCAUAGUAUAAUAAAUUUCAAUCAUCGAAAUCAUCUAUUUCCUUUAAAAAAAACACAAUAGUCGUAUAAAAUCACGCAAGCUCCCAAAGUGUGUGGCAUGUAAAAAUAAUUGUGUACAUCCACGUAUAUCAACUCAUAAUCAACAGAUAAAGCACUAAAAGCUUUCAAUCAAAUAGGGGAGCUAUGGAAAAACAUUAACUCUCCACCAUGUAAAAGAGUACGAGUAUAAAAACUCUCAAGGCUCUUGAGUAGGUAGUUAAAGAUAAUCAAUCUGUGGACCCUCUUCCACGUAAUAACACUCUAGGAGGCCCACUUCCAUCAGAUUCCCAUAGCCAUGGCAGUUGGCCGACAUCGAAGAAAUCAUGUGAUCACAACCAUGUAUAUCAACUCGUGGCCUUGAAAAGUAUAACAACUCGUGGCCUUGCCACGUAUACUCACAAACUGUUGCCUAGCCAUGUCUGACAGCCCGUCGGUGACCCAAAGGUUUUCUAGCUAGAGCUCACUUGUGCACAAGGGUCACACUAUCCCAAUGUGACAUUCGGCCAAUUCUUGAUGCUCUCAAUUUGUUAAAAUCAUUUUCAAAACAAAAUCAAGGUUUUCGAGACUUUUGCUUUAAAUCAUUUGAAAACAAGGUUCGAUAACCUUUCAAAUUGGUUUUCACAUUAAAAUGCAUGGUGUAAACAUUUGUAUAAAGAUCAGACUAAAACCGGCUCUCAAAAAUUUGCAUUUAAACUAUUUAACUAGUACAUUUAACUAUGCACGUCACACAAAGAUACAAGGCACAGAUUUGAUGCAAAACAUUGCAAUAGAGCUUGUUUCUCGGUUUUUAAAACACUUUACAUAUAUGUAUAUNUUAACUUACUAUAUAUGUAUAUAUAUAUAUAUAUAUAUAUAUAUCGUAUACACAAGCAACAUCCAAAUCAAUUUGCAUCCAUAAUUGCCUAUCAUUUCUACCAGAUCAUGCUUUCCACAAUAGCAGUGUAUAAAUCAUUGCAAACUAUGUGUUCAAAUCACUUAUCAUUUUCUAGCAACUCAUGCUUUCCACAAAAAUAGUAUAAUUGAUUACAAUUCCAUUUAAAAAUCGCCUACCGAGGCUAACAACUCAUGCUAUCAACAAUUGCAUUUAAAGAAAACCGACAACAUUUAUUAAAAGUAUAUCAAUAUAUAGUUUAUGGAACUUUUGAAAUAGACAACCACUACUCACCUUACAAUGGCGGGAUAUUACUUCGCCACUAAUCUUUCCUCAAAUGCUUACUCUAUGCUUGCAACAAUAUUCUUUGCUUUGUCAACUUCCUGACAUCAUUUCAAUCCAAUGCAUUUAAUGAGCUUUGCUGUCAUUAUAUUCUACACUUGCUGUUCAUAUUUAAUUCUAUACUUUCAUCUCUUAUUCUUAAGAGAUAAUCGUUUACACUAAAUCCUUAGUGUGAACUUUGACUUACACAAAUCCGGCAUCUUGUUUAUGACUUCAAAUGCCCAUAUCAAUCUUUCUAAUAAUAUUUAUCAUAUUCAAACUAUUAUUUUCAUACUAUUAAUCACAUAUAUGGCAACAACUAUAAAUCCGAUUUCACCAAGUAAUUUCUAAGCUUAUAUGCACCAUUAUUCAUAUUUAACAUGCUACCAUUAAGCACAAUAUCAAUUUCCACUCAUGUUACACCAACAUUCUUAACCUUUUAAAUCUUUCAAAACAACACAUGUCCACAAUUUCAUUUUUCAAGCUUUCAACUAGCAUAAUUGUUUCCUAACCGUACUUAAGGCUUCACACAAUCAUUUCACAUUGCAUGCCUUACCUUUUGUGAUGGCUUGGAUCUUGCAUGCAAUCUCAACAUUCUUCCAAAGCUCCAAUCACCAAGCUGCUAACAUUAUGCACAAAUUAUUUUCUUAAUGUUUUUACCAAUCGUAGGCCUUAAAACACAAUACCAUGCUUAUCGUUUUUCUUUCACUUUGAAUCCAUCAUGCAUCCAAGAGUUUGAUGGCUUGCAUGUCACUAAAUCCUCUCCAAACAAGCUAAUCUUUGCUACCACAAAAUAUUUUUUAUAGUUACUAACCCAUUUCCAAAGAACAUUCAAGCUAAAACCACAAUCCUUACCUUGUUUCUCUUGUAUCUUGAAACCAAGCUUCACACCUCCAUCAACACUCCAUGGUUUCUCUCUUGAAUGUUAAAGACUCUUUGGGUCAUAGAAUAUCACAACUCUACAAGAUAAAGGAAGGAAUCCUCACUGUUUCUCUUGAAUCCUCACAACCCGAGCCUUUUCCACUUUCCUCUCUUUUUCUUUCCUUUUUUCUUCAUCUCGGGUGGAACUUCUCAAAGGCACUUUCUUCUUUCUUUUCGUCUCUCAAUGGUUAGCUCUCUCAAGUCUCACCAAGACAAAUUCCUUUUUCUCUUUUACUCUUGAAUCUUGGUAUUUAUAUGGCCACCCAUUUAACCAAUCACAAUACAUGCACACAUUCACUUUUUAUUUUCAUUUAGCCAUUUUGUCAACCAAUGGCUUUUCAUGCACCAAUUUCGUUUCUUCCACAUUGGUUAAAAAUCCUCCUUUACUUAUCCAUAUCCACUCUUUAAUUUAUUUCCACUUAAUUCCACCUUAUUUGUACCCAAUGGUCUUUCAUGCAACUUUCCCACCUUAAUUUCCAUUUGGCCUCCACCUUGGCCAAUGACAUUACAUGCAAUUAUAUUUUCUUUUCUUUUAGUCUAAUUCUCACCAAGUGUCCAUCAUGCAUAAAUCCUUCAUGCAUUCUUUUAAUCUUUAAAAAUCCAUAUGCAUGCAUUAUCUUAUUCAUUUGUCUCAUGCCUUUUUGUUUGUCACAUGGUGGGUGUCUCACAUGUUUCGCACUACAAGUACAUCCUUGCAUGCAUAUCUUUACAUGUAAUAGUAUUUGUUACAUGCAUAUUUCAUCCUCCCACACAAUCUAAUUUUCCUUGGUUAGUUAAUUUCCAUUUAACUUCAAAUGUUGAAAUUGCACAUAAGUCCUCAAAUUUUUCCUUAUUUACCAUUCGACCUUCCAAACUUUUCAUUCUUUACAAUUUGGUCCUUCAAACAUUUCUUCAAUUCUAAUUUCCUUCUAUCUUUCUUCCUUUACACUUGUACAAAUAAAAUAUCAAAUUUACACUUCACCAAGGUGUCACCAUAAUAUUUAAAUAUAUACUUACUCUUUCUUGCUUUAUUAAAUAAUGGCACGCGAGCCCUACUUACAUCAUCUUUCUUCCUUCUUCUCCCCCACUUAGAUUAGUUAUAUAGUCCUCCUUCAUGACUAAUUUCAACAAUAGAUAAAUAUUAAUAUUUUAAUAUUAUUUUAUUAAUAAAAUAUUAUUUUAUUUCAAAAUUUUUCACUUGUCCCCUCGGGUCUCAAAGUGUCUAACCGAGGACACUUAAUUUGUUAUGUAUGGAAAUUGGCAUAUGUCUUACCGAAUCGUAAAUCAGAUCACCUAAGUGACGUAAACAUGCACUAUUCAAAUCUUAGCUUAACUUAAAAUCUCUUUGUCAAGUUUCAAUUAGAUUCACAAAUCAAUUAAUUGUUGAUCAAGCAACUAAUGGCAUUAAGAAAAGAUUUGUAUAAGUAAAAAAUACCCUUUCAUGAUAAAUAUUAGAAAAAACAAGUAUUUAGACUACAUGUUGAAAUCCACCACAAACCUAGAUAAGCAAAUUAGUUCAUAAUAUCUAAAUAAAACACUAUCCAAACAAAUUUAGCCAUGAAUUCAAAACAAGAAAAUAAGAAAAACGCAAAAGGAAAGAAAUAAACUAAUGUUGCAGCCUAGUUGAUUACGAAUCUCUCUCAAUUGCUCUUGAAUUCUUGAUUGAUUUGUAGCUCCAAUUCUUUAGAAAAGCUGUUACCAUCUCUCCCUCUGAAUACUCUCAAAAAGCCUCUUAAAAAUGUACAAGAUGCCUUACUUUCCAAUUUCUUGUCAGAAUUUUUAAUUUUGGAAACUGCGGUGACGCCAUGGCCAUGACUUCUUAGCAUUGCGACAUCGUAAUAAGCUUUGGUAGUUCUGCUACACAUUUUUGCUUAUGCUGUAGCGUUAUGCUCUCAACCUUUAGUAUGAUGCACCCAUCCAGCUCAAUGCCAUGGCCACAAGCUUCUAGUGUUGCUGUAAUGGUCCUUUCAGCGCUACAGCCUUGAGUGACUCAACGCUGCAGCCUCAAUCACCAUGCAGCCUUGUGUGCAAUCUACAUCUAUUUAUCAUCUUUAGAUGUCAUUUUUACCUCAAUCUAUUUCAAACUGGGUGAAGUGGUGAACAUGAAAGUUCUAUCCCAUUCUCUUAGCUUUCUAAUGAAUCAAAAAUCACAUCAAUUGGACUUCUGUAGCUCAAGUUAUCUUUAAAUUAUAGUAGCAUGUACGAGUGACACCUUCACCAUACUUAUGCUAUCAUAACUCAAUUUCACCUUGCUCAUCACAUAUCCCACACAAAAACCAUGAGAGAAAUUGGCAUUAACUCUUCUUAAAGUAAAUUAAAAACAAAAUAAAGUAAAAUUAAACUAAACCAACUUAAUUAACUAUUCAACAUGUAAUCUAAAUUACAUUAGAAAAACACCUAAAAUGCUAAAAUCUAAACCUAAAACUCAAAGGUCUAGCUACUAAAGCCCUAAAAAUGUGUUGAAAAAACCUCUAUAUAAUAGAGUUAUCACACCCCUAAAUUGAAGAUUUUGCUAGUCCUCAAGCAAAACAAAAAAAAAAACAAAUGCAAUAACUUGAACAUGAAAACAUUUAAUUAGAGUUCAAUUGCACCAUUUCAUUAAUUACCCUUAGUAUCCUUAAAAGUUCCUCCAUAUUCAUAACUCUAUUCCACAUACAAAUAUUGUUCAAGUUCAUAUCUCAAUUCAAAUGCAAGCUUAUCAUUAAGUGAAUUUUCGUGUUUGUGUGCAAUCUUCUCACCUAGACAUUGUACAAUCUACAUAAGUUUAUAUUCAUGCAAAAUUCAAUAAGUUUUCUUUUCAUCUCUCUCUCCACUAAUGUAGACUGUCACUAAAUCAAGGAUCAAUAGGACUUUAAUUAGCUUGUAAUGUAUGGUUAAAGUCUAUUGGUAUAUGCCCUUGAGCCAAUUAGAUUGGUCAAAGAAUGUAUAUUGUCAUUUAAUGCAUAUUUAAUAGCAUAACUAUAUGCGAUAGAGUUUUCCUUCAUGUUAGUGCAAUAAUAAGGAGUUAUUAAGUACUAAUUGGAUGAAGCCCAUGGAACAUAAAGGCCUUGCAAGAGAAGUGUAAAGUUAUUACAAUUAUGAGAUAACUAUGCAUCAAAGCCAUGUUCCUAAAAUUGUUCUUGGUCAUUGUAUUGUCAAGACAAGGCAUUGACAAUGCUUAAAGACUAGUACAUGUUAAGGCUCCUUACUUGGGAAGUAAGCAAUUGAUCUCAUAGAUUAAAGUAUAUGGGAUACUUGAGGAUAACAUGUAGGUGCUUGUUAAAGAAUAAGUUCACUGAACAAGUUCAGUCUUAAACUUAUGAAUGUUCAUAAUUAAUUAGAAAAUUACAUAAAAAACACAAACAUUGAUCCAUAGGAUUUAGUUGUUUCUCUAAUUAAAUGAUAGUUUAUUAUUCCGUUGCAUUAUAUUUUUAAUUUAUUGAUUAUUUUCAUAUUUGAGCACGAGGUCAAAUCCUAAUAGGGUCAAGGUGAGAUAUGGGACAAUGUAUGGCUCAAAUCAUCCUAAGCACAUAGUCACUCUAGGACCUAUUAAGAGCUUUAAUCUUCCUUCACCUAGUAUACUAUCACGACCCAAAUUCCGGGUCAUGACCGGCGCAUGGGUCCAAUGGACGUAAUCCACUAAACCCAGGCAAGCCUAUUAUUUAUCUUACUUAUGAUUCUAUUUAUUAUCACUAAGUCCUAUUUCAUGACUUUGAGUCAAAAUAGUGAUAUACAUUGCCAACUCGUACUGGCAUUACUCUUUUAAAAUUUACAUUNNNNNNNNNNNNNNNNNNNNNNNNNNNNNNNNNNNNNNNNNNNNNNNNNNNNNNNNNNNNNNNNNNNNNNNNNNNNNNNNNNNNNNNNNNNNNNNNNNNNNNNNNNNNNNNNNNNNNNNNNNNNNNNNNNNNNNNNNNNNNNNNNNNNNNNNNNNNNNNNNNNNNNNNNNNNNNNNNNNNNNNNNNNNNNNNNNNNNNNNNNNNNNNNNNNNNNNNNNNNNNNNNNNNNNNNNNNNNNNNNNNNNNNNNNNNNNNNNNNNNNNNNNNNNNNNNNNNNNNNNNNNNNNNNNNNNNNNNNNNNNNNNNNNNNNNNNNNNNNNNNNNNNNNNNNNNNNNNNNNNNNNNNNNNNNNNNNNNNNNNNNNNNNNNNNNNNNNNNNNNNNNNNNNNNNNNNNNNNNNNNNNNNNNNNNNNNNNNNNNNNNNNNNNNNNNNNNNNNNNNNNNNNNNNNNNNNNNNNNNNNNNNNNNNNNNNNNNNNNNNNNNNNNNNNNNNNNNNNNNNNNNNNNNNNNNNNNNNNNNNNNNNNNNNNNNNNNNNNNNNNNNNNNNNNNNNNNNNNNNNNNNNNNNNNNNNNNNNNNNNNNNNNNNNNNNNNNNNNNNNNNNNNNNNNNNNNNNNNNNNNNNNNNNNNNNNNNNNNNNNNNNNNNNNNNNNNNNNNNNNNNNNNNNNNNNNNNNNNNNNNNNNNNNNNNNNNNNNNNNNNNNNNNNNNNNNNNNNNNNNNNNNNNNNNNNNNNNNNNNNNNNNNNNNNNNNNNNNNNNNNNNNNNNNNNNNNNNNNNNNNNNNNNNNNNNNNNNNNNNNNNNNNNNNNNNNNNNNNNNNNNNNNNNNNNNNNNNNNNNNNNNNNNNNNNNNNNNNNNNNNNNNNNNNNNNNNNNNNNNNNNNNNNNNNNNNNNNNNNNNNNNNNNNNNNNNNNNNNNNNNNNNNNNNNNNNNNNNNNNNNNNNNNNNNNNNNNNNNNNNNNNNNNNNNNNNNNNNNNNNNNNNNNNNNNNNNNNNNNNNNNNNNNNNNNNNNNNNNNNNNNNNNNNNNNNNNNNNNNNNNNNNNNNNNNNNNNNNNNNNNNNNNNNNNNNNNNNNNNNNNNNNNNNNNNNNNNNNNNNNNNNNNNNNNNNNNNNNNNNNNNNNNNNNNNNNNNNNNNNNNNNNNNNNNNNNNNNNNNNNNNNNNNNNNNNNNNNNNNNNNNNNNNNNNNNNNNNNNNNNNNNNNNNNNNNNNNNNNNNNNNNNNNNNNNNNNNNNNNNNNNNNNNNNNNNNNNNNNNNNNNNNNNNNNNNNNNNNNNNNNNNNNNNNNNNNNNNNNNNNNNNNNNNNNNNNNNNNNNNNNNNNNNNNNNNNNNNNNNNNNNNNNNNNNNNNNNNNNNNNNNNNNNNNNNNNNNNNNNNNNNNNNNNNNNNNNNNNNNNNNNNNNNNNNNNNNNNNNNNNNNNNNNNNNNNNNNNNNNNNNNNNNNNNNNNNNNNNNNNNNNNNNNNNNNNNNNNNNNNNNNNNNNNNNNNNNNNNNNNNNNNNNNNNNNNNNNNNNNNNNNNNNNNNNNNNNNNNNNNNNNNNNNNNNNNNNNNNNNNNNNNNNNNNNNNNNNNNNNNNNNNNNNNNNNNNNNNNNNNNNNNNNNNNNNNNNNNNNNNNNNNNNNNNNNNNNNNNNNNNNNNNNNNNNNNNNNNNNNNNNNNNNNNNNNNNNNNNNNNNNNNNNNNNNNNNNNNNNNNNNNNNNNNNNNNNNNNNNNNNNNNNNNNNNNNNNNNNNNNNNNNNNNNNNNNNNNNNNNNNNNNNNNNNNNNNNNNNNNNNNNNNNNNNNNNNNNNNNNNNNNNNNNNNNNNNNNNNNNNNNNNNNNNNNNNNNNNNNNNNNNNNNNNNNNNNNNNNNNNNNNNNNNNNNNNNNNNNNNNNNNNNNNNNNNNNNNNNNNNNNNNNNNNNNNNNNNNNNNNNNNNNNNNNNNNNNNNNNNNNNNNNNNNNNNNNNNNNNNNNNNNNNNNNNNNNNNNNNNNNNNNNNNNNNNNNNNNNNNNNNNNNNNNNNNNNNNNNNNNNNNNNNNNNNNNNNNNUCCAAUAAUCAUAAUUAUAUUUUAUAUAAUUAUUCUUGGUCAAAUGUGAUCAAAUCUUGGCUAAAAAUCUCAAUUUUAUCAUCAAAUGGUAAAAUGACCGUUUUGUCCUUAAUUGGUCAAUUUUCUGAUGGACUCCAAAUUGGACCUUGAACUCCAAAUCACUAUUCUAAGCCAUUCUGUUGGUUUUAAAAUUUUCAAAUUUCUCUUAGAAUUUCUAUUUGAACUAGUUCAAGGCUCGAUUUAACUUAGUUGUACCACUCGGUACAAUACCGUCUUUUAAUCGAGCUUGACAAGGUCUCACAUAUACCCCUUUUCAUCAAUACUUUUCCCUUGUUCAUCACCUCAUCCUUUUUCUUCUUUUUUCUUUCCCUUUUUCUUUUUCUCAAUUUCAUUGUAACACCCUUGAUUUUUUAUAUGGCCUAAAUGUGAUGUUCGCCAAGUGAUUUGAUGAGUAAACUUGAAAACUUGGUGUAUAUGCUUGUGGAGCAUGCAUAUGAGCUAUUAUGGUCUAUAGAGAAGGACUUUGAAUUUCAGUGUACAUUAAGGAUUCUAAUAAUAUGAUGAAAUAGCUAAGCUAAUUGUUAAGCUAAAUUGAACUUUGGUGAAUAUGACUAUAGUUAUAGGUGUAUGACUAUGAAUAUUGGUAUAAGGGAGAAUUUCAAUGGAAUUGUGCAUAUGUUUGGCACUUUGACACCUAAAUACGACGUUAAGGCAAAUAUCAAUAAGGAAUGAUGAAUUUAUCAUAUAGCUUGAGGAUUUGAUUUAAUUCGAUGCAUAUUUGAGAAUAUAUGUAUGAGGAUUUGAAUUAUAUGAGUUAUUUGAGGUAUGAGAUUAAUAGGGAAUGGAUUUGGGGUGUUAAGUUGGAUUUUUUAAAGUUUUGGAAGACUUAAAACUACCUAUAAGGGAAAAUUUAUCGAUACAUCCCCUCUUGUAUUGACAUAUUCAUGGCAGGAAUAACAAUAUGAGGUGUUUUGGAGGAAUUUUAUCGAUACAUUUUAGGAUGUAUCGAUAGAUUUGGUAACAGAUGAACAUGUAUCGAUAUAUUGUCUCGAAGUAUCAAUACAUUUGAAGCAGGGAGCACCCAAGACCAUUCUACCCGAAAUAUAUCGAUACGUUGCCUUAAUGUAUUGAUACAUUUAUUCAAAAUUAGGGCAGAUGUAUUAAUGCAUUGCCAAAUGUAUCGAUACACCAUAGAAGAAAGGCCAAAAUAAAAAAGGGUUUUAGGCCAUUUCACCUUAUUUUUCUCUCUCAACUCUUUCUCUUCCUUUCUCUCUCUAAGACCUCGAAACCCUAACCUCCCAAACAAAUUUUUGGAUCUAUUUGGAGCUAAUCUAAGCUUGGGAAAUCGAUCUAGGGUAAGAUUACAUGCUUUUACUGAUUGAUUUUUUAUUUAAUCAGUUAAUAACCUCGGAUCUAAAUAUUUUCAGAUUUGGUCAAACUCUCUCCCUUUGAAUUGAUUGGAAAUUUGGAGCCAAGAUUUGGGUAACCUAACUUCUAAAGUAAGGAUUUAGCUCAUUUGUUGGAAGAAUGAUCAUGUAUAUUGAAUUUAGGUAUUUUUGAAAAGUUGGGAUAUUUUCAAAAACUAGGAAAUAAUUAUGAUUGUGAUGUUUUGAUGUGUGUAAGGGGAAAGUUGAGUUAUUUUACUCAUAGGUGAGCUGGAGGAUGGUUAGAGGCUAAGAAUCAAAGCUUGGCUAUGGACGCACCUUCGAUUGUUGAGGUGAAUGGGAUUUAAUUGAAUGCAUGUGAUGUAUCUCACAUAAUGUAUGCAUUGCCAUUGUAUUAAAUGUUGUGUGUAUGCCUAGAUAAGAAUGCCUAGGCUUGAGAAUUGAUAUGUGUGUGUGUGUGUAUGCAUAUAUAUAUAUGUAUGCGUAUGUAUAUGUAUGUUUGCCUAGAGGUAUGUGCCUAGGUUAGAGAACAAAUAUGAUUGUAUGCCUAGAAAAUGAUGCCUAGGCUGAUUAGUUGUUUGAGAUAUGAGGUUUAUGUUUCUGUGAUUUGUGGUGAGCCAUAUGUUGGCAUUGUGUUGGAACCCAUGAUAUGUAGGACCUAGAGCAAGAGGCCUACACAUGGUGUGAUAUGAAUUAUCAACUAAGGAUUGUGUCGAAUUAUGAUGAAUGGGUUGCCAAGUAGGUAUAUGGCCUAAUAUGUAUUUGGAAUAAUGGCACAGCGAUUGGGUGAUAUUAAUUGUGUGAGGCCGAAGGGCCAUUAUUAUUUAUGGACAUGAUAUAUGCAUGAAUGCCCAUGUAUUUGUGGUUGAUUCAAGGAUAUGUAUAAGGCUGUUAAGCCAUGAUUGAUACGACUGAAUAUGAUGAAUACCCAUGUGGGAUUAAGGGCAUGAAGGCCUAUAGAUUGAUUUUGUUUUGUUUGAUGAUGCCUUAGAGAUUUGAAGGCACUUAGAAUUAUCAAAUACAAUUUGAUAUGAACAUAUGGAAUGUCACAAGCAUGAUGGCUUGAUUUGUGGAUUUAUGUUUCAUCCAACGGAUGAAUUUCAGAUGUUGAUUUGACUUGAGGUGGAGUGAAGUCCCACACCCUAUGACUAUGUGUGUGCCUGUAGGGAUGGUGGUAAACAGGGACAGUGGCAUUGAUCCUACUUGUGAUUCCCACCAGCAGUGCUUUGAUGUCAUCCGUUGAGAUUACUCCGGGUGAUGCCGACAUUGGGAGAUUUCUGGGAUCGAUGAUUUGAUUUUUCACUAGUGCUUUGGUGGUAAGCGUGAUUUGUUCUUUACCCAUUGCUUUGGCACGUGUGUGAUCUGUUUCUCAGCCAGCGACUUUGCCCAAAGCGUGAUUUGAUUUUUCGCCAGUUGGUCAUCGCACGUGAUUUAACUACAUCGAGGACAAGACCACUCAUUUGAUUUCAUUUGACUAUAAUGACACGCAUCGAGUAUGGCAUGAUUUGAUUUGAAAUACGAAAUAUAUGGUGACCACUAUGAAUGAUAUUUGAUGAAAUGCUUCGGAAUAAGCAAUUAUUUGUAAAUGGGAUUUGAGCUUGUGCUCAACAAUAAGGUGUGACUAUGAAGCCUAGUUUAAUGAUAGUGACUUUAAAGAUAAGCCUUGAAUCGUAUGAUUUAAUGUGAAGACAUAGAAUUUGGAGAUUGCGGAUAUGAUACGUCGUUGAGAUGUGAUCCAGCAAUACUUGAUAUGAUGAGUUGUGCAUGUAGGAUAUUAAGAUGAUCCUCGCACUUUUGAAUUGGAGAUGUUUGAAUAUGAAAGGCUUAUGGCUAUAUAAGCCUAAAUAUAUUUUUUAUGUAAAAUAUUAUGCUAUGAUAGGAUCCCCUCACUAAGUAUUUGAUGACUCACCCCUCUGUUGUACCAUGUGUAGAUAACAGAAGCUAUGGAGUUACAUGGCAAGUGUUGUCGAUUGGAUGGACACAUAAUUGGCAUCUGGUAGGUUUCCCUCCCAACGUGUCACUCUGUUGAGUCUGUGUGGGCCUUCCUCCUUCAAGUCUGAUUUCAUAAUAAAAUAUGUAAGGCACGAUGUGCCAUUUGAAUUGUUUAAGGGUUGUUAUGUACAAACCCGAUUUGAUGGCCAACGUAUGGCCCUAUAAAUUCUAGAACUCAAUGCAUAAUUCAAAAAUUCACAUUCACAUAAACCUUCUCUAAAUACGUAUAAUGAAUCUAAGCAAAAGUGAUGGUGCUCAAAAUGUAGAAAUUUCAUCUUAACAAUAAAGCUUAGCAUAAGAAUUUAUAUAACACUCAAACAAGAUUCACAUGUUUCAAAGAAUUAAAAUAGGAAUGAAACUAUGUUGUCAUCAUUGGAUAGGUAAAUUGUCAAACCUUGUUCUAUAAAAUAAUUACUACGUCAUUUACAUGCUCAAUAGAAUGUUUGCAUAUUUAGAAACUUCAAGAAAUCGUUAAAAGAUGAUAUUGCCCCUAAUGGUACCAUUAAGUCAAUUAAGCCUCGAACUAGUUCAAAUAGGGAUUUUAAGGUGAAAUAAAAUUUUACAGUCAAGGAAUGACUUAAAAUGGUGAUUCAAAGUUCAAGGAUUAAUUCGGAGUCAAAUCGAAACUUUCAUUAUCUAGAGGCAAAAUGGUAAUUUUGUCACCUGAGGAUAAAAUUAGAAUAUUGGAAGAAUUUUUUGAUCAAAUUUGACUCAUUGGAGUAUAAUUUGAGGUUGAUAAGUGAAAAAGUUGUAAUUUCGAUAUUUUUGGAGUAUAGGGACAAAAUAGUAAUUCUACCACCCCGGGGGCAAAUCGGUAAAUUUUCACCCUCGACACUUGUCAAGACCAAGGGAUUUUAUUCAUCAUGGAAAUGGAUAAACAUGAGAAAUGUGUGGUGGAGAAUUAAAGAAUUAAAAGUCAAAUAUUUAAAAUUUGAACCAAUAAGGAAAUGCCAUGUGUCAUGCUUUUAUUAUUUUAUUGUUUCUUUAUAAAAAGGCAUAAAAACCAGCCCAUUUCUCCCAUAGUGGUUGGCCAAACCAGAAGAGAAGAGAAACCAAGGAAGAACAAACCCUAGGUGGAGAAAAUCAAAGAGAAAGUGUUGGAAUUCAAGGUUUUGAUCAAGCAAAGGUAAAAUUUCUUUGAUUUUGCUAGUGAUUUACCCUACCCAUGCAUUUCUCCUUAAUUUUCAUGGUUGGAUUGUAUGUUUCCAUGGGGAAAUCAUGGCUGGCUGAAUGGGUUUGGUGUGAGAAAUGAUGUUGGAAUUGGUUGAUUUUGAGUUAUGUUGGUGUUUAGAGUUAGUUAAGCAUGUUUAGAAACAAAACAACAAGAAAAGAAUCCAUUUUCCCCAUGAACCUUCAAUGGCCGAACCCUAUGUGAAGUGUAGAAGUAAUGAAUUGAUUUUGUGAUCAACUGAUUUGGUUGAAAAAUUGAUGAAAUGAUGAUUUAUGGUGAGAAAAUGGAAUGGAAAAAUUUUUAGUGAUAGUGCACCACAAUGGCUGAAAUUUUCAAGAAGAAUUGUGAGGGUUGUUAAGCUGAAUUUUAGAUUAUUGGAAUUGUAUUCAGUGAAUUGAAAUAUUAGAAAUGAAAUGGAGCAAUUUGGAGCCAUAUUGGACACAAUUGUCAUUUAAUCGGGUAAUAGGCCGAAUUAGGUCAGCACCGCAUUUUAGGGGUAGUCGUAUAAGUUACAUAUCAUAUCAUGCAUAUACACCGAGCCUGAAUCGAUUUUAUAAUGGUCAAGCAUUAAUGUGGUGAAUUAUGUAUUGUACAUUGUGGAUAUGUGGUGAGCAAAUUACACUGGUAAAAGUACAGAGAUUGUGCUUGAAGAUUGGGAUUAGGAAUACAUCGACUCCUAGAACUGUGAGUAAACUUAUUAUUGUCUUAAUUAUCUAGAGUUGUUUUAUACAAUUGUGUGAUUUUAUAGAAAAUGGGUUUAAAUGGUAAAUUGCUAUGUUUUAGGAGAAAUUAUGAUUUUAUAAAUUUUCUAGAAAAUUGAAUACUGGUUUUGAAAAUAGAGUAAUUGGAGACUGCUUGCUUGUGUUAUAAAUUGUGUUUUAAAUUAUAUGGCUUACAGCAAUAUGUGAGCAUGAAUGGCAAAGUCGGUAUUUGUAUCAAAAUUAUAUAUACUAUGUAUUCAGCCUUAAGAAGCUAGAUUGAUAUAAAUUGUCAUGUCAUACAGAUAAAGAUUUUAUAAAUCAGGUGUUAGAUAAAAUAAUCCAUAAUCCUUGUAAUGGAGGUUCUGUGGACCAACUUAAGAGAGGGGGCACAGAAUCAGAUAUACCUUACCUCGAUCAGAUAGCAGUGUGGAGGGUUUCUCUAAAGGUAAAGAUUUGAGCGCACUUCACGUGGACCACCGUGUGAAAGUGAGACUCAGCCAAUGCCAAGGCAUGGCUAGAACUUCGGAUGUAAAGACAUUUAAUAGCCUUGGUGGUCUCGGUCAGAUGCCUAGGCCAAGGCAUCCCCGGGAAUGAUUUUUGGCAGGAGCCAAGUUUUGUGAGAUAUAUAAGCCACGUUGAUUAAUUAAGUAAACUGAAUAUUCAUGUUAUGAAACAUAUAUUGGAAAAGAAUAUUUUAAUUCGUCUCCAUUUACUCGUCUUUAGAUAGUUUAGAUGGUGUUUGUUUACUCAUUGGGAUUUUAUAAUCUCACCACCCUCACUUCCUCACAUUUCAAGCUCAGGGAAUUCCAUAGUUAGCUGACUUUGACAAGGACCUUCAUUUGGACUUGAAUAGGCAAAAGCUGUAAGUUUUCAGUUUUCGAUGCAUUUUGGUUAGAUGUGGGUCCACGUGUCUCUGUAAAAGUAAUUUUAUGCUUUGGUUAUUUGCUUUAUAGUAUAUAUGAAUAUAAUUACUUUUAUGCUAUAAGAAUUAUUUACCGAUAGCUUUAUAAAAAUUAUUUUACAAGAAAAUAGUUUAGUUUAUUCAAAUGGUCAAAUUUUCACUUCAAUGAACGUUUUAGAUACUUAAUUUGUUUUUAAAUCACUAAAUAUAUAUUUUCUGCUUACCUACUACAUUUUUAGCAAGUUUUGAGAUUUUUGACAAAAAAUGACGAAAAUGCCCCUGUGAGCCAGAAAACAAUAUGUUAUGUUCUGAUUUGGAAAUGACUCGUAAUCGUUCGAAUUACGAUAUUUGAUAACUAUUGCUCACCGGGGAAGUGCGAAAGUUGAUACGAAAGCCUUGCAAGGUUUCGAUUGGCAUUCGGGGUGAAGAAUGUCUGUCGAGGCUUCGCAGCGAUUGUCACGGGCCCGAUGGAGAGUUUCAAGUCGUGACAUAAAUUAAACGAAAUUGGCAUAAUUAAAUCUAGUUCAAAUGCAAAUGCACAUGUAUCAAUUUAAAUUAAAAGUUACUAACUUAACCACUAACUUCAAAUUCCCCCUUAAACUUAAAAAUAACAUUGUCGCCAAUGUUAAUAAAAGUAAGGUAAAGGAAUACUCCCCUGACUAUUGGGUUGUCUCUAAAUAUCCUCAUCCUCAUCAUCAUCAUGCAAAUCCUUUGCUAUGGGAUCAUCUGGGAGAGUAAGAAAAAAGCUCAUAUCCCUACCAACAUGUUUAACAUAAACACGCAUCAUUUGUUCCAUGGACUGCAUACACACUGCCUGAUGAUCCAUUUUAAGUUCAAGCCAUUCCAUCCUCUAAGAUAUGGAAAGAUGUUGUCACAGCCCAAUUUUCCAGGCCAUAACCGACGCAUGGACCCAAUGGGCACAGCCCACUAAGCCCAAGCGAGCCUCUUUAUGUAGUUCUUUCCAUUAUUUCAUCACUCAUUCCUACAGUCGCAUCUCGUAAUUCUUAACUAUAAGUAUUUCAAUAAUAUACUAUGACAAACAAAUAUUUACAUUUCUAUUAUCUCAAAAUAAUGUCACUCAUUAAUAACUCAUAGUGGCACCAUAAAUCAAAGUAUACAUAUUUUGAUCAUAACAUGCAUCUCAGUGAUUUACAUCACGUGUAUGUAUCCACAAGCAAAAGACUUUUGACUACCAGCGGAGUGACUUUGGGCGAAGGUAUAGCUACUGAAUGCCACGGUACCUACCAAAAAGGUGAAUAGGAACAAACACCUUAAUCUAGGUCCCAACUACUUCCAAAUCUGAAAACAUGGAGUUAAAAAGAGUGAGUAUAAACUUAGUGAGCAAACAUAAGAAGGGAACAAGUAAACGAUAAGGAAAGUUUUAGAAAACAUGAUACACUUAGGUUAAAAACAAUAUAGUUUAGCUUAAUUUCUUGUUAAAACCCCUCAAUUCAACCCUUGAUUACUUAAUCCUUUAGUGUUGAAAGGUCCAUAAUCAACAAUGAAGUUAAAGAGUGAAAACUACAGUAAAUAUCCAAACAAGGCAAAGAGUUUCUCUUUCUGGGCAGGAACCACUCGAGAGUUUCUUGCAUUCUCGCUGCAGCGAAAACCAAGGCUGGGUUAAGCCCUCAAGCACCCAAGAGUUUCUCACUGCAGCGAGAAUGAAAUUUCGCUACAGUGAGAAACAAGGCAAUUAAGUUAGAAGAAUUCUUGUUACAACGAAAAUCCAUUCUUGCUGCAAUGAAAAUCAAUUUGGAAGCAUUUAACAAUUUCAACAUUCAACAUUCAAUGCAAUCCUAUAAUAUUUUCCCGAACCUCUCUGUGGUAUGUGUAAACAUAUACAACUAUCGGCUCACCAGCUCAUGUGCACUCCCACACCACACAUAGCUGAAAUCAUCAUGUGCACUCCCAUACCUCACAUAGCUAAGACUAUCAUGUGCACUCCCACACCGCACAUGGCAAAUAUCAUCAUGUACACACCAUCACCACAUCAUCACCGACAUGUGCACUCCCACACCGCAUACACUCGGUUGUAAUCAACACACAACAUUAUCAUUCAAUGCAUAACAUACAUAGCGUCAUAAUAUAGGAACACAUGAAUUCAUCAAAUUUCAAAUUUCACAACAUAAAAACGUUUCACCAAGGGCUUGUUCCCAUGCAUGUUUUAAAGAAAAUACCAAUAAAAUAUUUCAAGUGAUUCAAUCAAACACUUAUGCAUUUAUCCCAAAACAUUUUAAUGCAAGUUCACUCACUUGUCUUUGUUGAUUCUUUAAUUGACUCCAAUUUCCACUAAUACUCCAAGUGGAGAUGUGGGGUCUCGUUGGAACCUAUCACACACAAUAGCAUCACAACCAACUUAAUUGACAUGAAUAUUAUUCCAAAAGCUAUUUCUAAAUCAAACUUUACUAGUUAUUCCUCACUAGUUUCUAAUUACCAUUUGACUAGUCAUUAGUUUGCACUACUCUAGUCACACUAGGAAUAAAUAAAUAACCUUCAACAAUAAAACAACCCACAAUUCUAAUUAUUGGCCAUUCAUCAACAACUUAAAAAUCAACCCAACUCAUUACUCACCUUGGUGGAUUUGUAGUUAAAUUCCUUUUCAAAAGUUUUUCAAGCUAUUAUGGAAAGUCUCCUUCUCUCUCUAAAACAUUCAGUUAGUGAGAGAAAGUGUUGAGGAAAGACUUUUGAGAGUUUUUAAAGUGAAAGAGUGAAAGAGCAAGAAAAAUCCUAUAGAAAGGUGUAUAAAAACAUGAGAAUUGGAGUUACUUUGAGAAAGUUAUGGAGGUUUCAAGGGUAGCCUCCAUGAAAGAUGGAGAGUUUGAAAUGGAGAGAAGGGAUGGGAGGAAAAAGAAAAAGCUACUAGAAGUGAGGAGAAAGCUACUGGAAAAUUAGAUAUUUAUUCUUAAGAUUGAUUAAAACUCCAUUUAUUUACAAAAAUGCCAUUACAUAGUUGAUUUUGCCUUCUUCUUUCCUUUGGUUCAGACUUUUUACUCUUUUGAUACUGAGAAAAAAGUUCACAUAGAUUAGAGGUACUCGAGUUCAUGAAAACUUAAAAAUUUAGGCUCGAGACCUAAAAUGACCAUUUUACCCAUAUUGUGGAAAUUAUCAUUAUUUUUAUUUUCUUCAUUUAUUUCAUUAUUACAUACCUCAUUCAUUUAUUUCUUAGGCCUACUUAUGUCUUAAUUAUAUGAAAAAAACCCACUUUUAGAAGCUCACCAAGAAAAUGAUAGAACUACCUUUAAUCCAUGUCAUCGUGUUUACCUCCACUACAAGUUUAUAAAGGUCGAGGUUUCACAUUCUCCCCCACUAAAAGAAAUUUGAUCUCUGAAUUUAAAUCUAAUUAUAAGGUUGCGUACCUCUAUGUAUUAAAGAGGUGUGGAUACUUUGUUCGCAUCUCCUCUUCAGCUUCCCACGUUACCUCUUCACUGGUGUGGUUUUGCCACAACACUUUCACUAAGGCUACAUCCUUUGAAUGGAGCUUUUUGACUUACCUAUCAAGGAUAGCCACUGGUUGCUCUUCAUAGGUUAAGUCAUCUCUCAACUGAAUGGUUUCAUUCCGUAUUGCAUGAGAUGGAUCCAGGUUAUACUUCCUAAGCAUUGACACAUGAAACACCGGAUGGAUAUUCGAGAGGUCUGGCAGUAAUGCCAAAUGGUAUGCUACUGCUUCAACCUUAUCUAAGAUCUCAAAAGGUCCUAUAUACUGAGGACUUAAUUUUCUUUUUUUACUGAACCUCAUUACCCUUUUUGUUGGUGAGACCUUCAAAAAUACAUGAUUCCCUACUUGAAACUGUAAGUGUCUCUGUCUGUUAUUAGCAUAUGACUUUUGUCUACUUUGUGCUGAUAACAUACUCUGUCAAAUCAUGCGUAUCUUUUCGAUGGCGUCCUGCACCAACUCUAGCCCCAAGAGUUUCCUUUCUCCCACCUCUAGCCACCCAAUGGGUGACUUGCACCUCCAUCCAUAUAAUGCCUCAAAUGGUGCCAUUUGGAUGCUAGCUUGGAAGCUAUUGUUGUAAGCAAACUCCCCUAAGGGUAGAUACUAAUCCCGCUUAACCCCAAGGUCUAUUACACAUGCCCUCAGCAUAUCUUCCAAUGCUUGUAUUAUUCGUUCAAAUUGCCCAUCAGUCUGAGGGUGGAAAGCUGUUCUAAAAUCCAACUUAGUGCCCAACACUUUCUAUAACUUUCCCCAGAACCUAUUGGUGAACUUUGUCCCUCUAUCAAAUACUAUAAAAAUGGGGAUACCAUGCAGCGUACUAUUUCAUCCACAUAAAUUUAGGCGUACUGGGCAACCUCGUAUGUAGUUUUAACUAGAAGAAAAUUAGCUGGCUUCAUUAACCGGUCUACUAUGAUCCAAAUCAAGUCGUAGCCCCCACUAGUUCGAGGCAAGCCCGACACAAAGUCUAUUGUAACAUGUUCCCACUUCCAUUCGGGCACCGGUAAUGGCUGUAGUAGCCUUGCAGGCCUUUGGUGCUUAGCCUUAACUUGUUGACACACCAAGCACUUAGAGACAAACUCAGCUACAUCUUUCUUAAGUCUUUCCCAUCGGUAUACCUCCCUCAAAUCUUGAUACAUCUUUGUAGCUCUCGGAUGUACCACGUACGUUGCCAUAUGCGCCUCCUCCAAUAUUUCUCUCCUCAAUCCAUCACUAUCAGGCACAUACAAUCUGGUUCCAUACCUCAAUACUCAAUCUGUGCCUUUAGUAAACAUUUUUCCUUUCCUUCUCUGAGGGUUCUCCAAGGCCUUAGUUACGAACUCAUCUUUACUUUGGGCUUCUCUAAUCCUGUCUAUUAGGAUAGGUCUAACUUUAAAAUGUGCUAACAAUGCAUUUGUCUCUGAAACUUCAAAAUGCACACCCAUAUCUCCAACACCUUGCAUCUCCCGAAUCAAAGAUCUUCUAUCUACAAAUAUAUGUGCCAGACUCCCCAUCGACUUUUCACUUAAGGCAUUUGCCACUACAUUAGCCUUACUGGGAUGAUAGAGAAUAGUACAGUCACAAUCCUUAAGCAACUCCAUCCAUCUAUGUUACCACAAGUUAAGAUCCCUUUGCUGAAAUAUAUACUUUAAACUCUUGUGGUUUGUAUAUAUUUCGCAAGUCUCACUAUACAAAUAAUGUCUCCAAAUCUUUAAGGCAAACACAAUUUUAGCCAUCUCCAAAUCGUGUGUGGGGUAAUUUUGCUCAUGCCUUUUAAGUUGCCUUAAUGCAUAUGCAAUCACCUUCCCAUGCUGCAUUAAUACACACCCUAAACCAACCCGUGAUGCAUCACAAAAUACCGUAUAACACCCUGUGCCUUACAGUAGGCUUAAUAUUGGAGUUGUGGUGAGACAAGCUUUAUGCUUCUCAAAGCUAUCCUCACAAGCAUCUGACCGCUCGAAUUUUACAUCCUUAUGUGUCAGCCUAGUCAGAGGAGUGGCUAUUAUAGAGAAAUCCUUCACAAAACAACAGUAAUAGCCGGCCAAACCCAAAAAGCUUCUAAUCUCUAUAACUAAGGUUGGCCUUGGCCACUUUUCCACUACCUCAACUUUCUUUGGAUCGACUUGUGCCCCAUCCUUAGAAGCCACAUGUCCUAAGAAUGCAACACUUUCAAGCCAAAACUCACACUUAGAGAACUAAGCAUACAAUUGACGUUCUCUCAAAGUUUGGAGCACUAUCUUAAGGUGUUGUUUGUGCUCCCCUCGACUCCUCGAGUAGAUCAAGAUGUCGUCAAUAAAUACCACCACAACUUGUCCAAAUAAGGCUUGAACACUCAGUUCAUCAAAUCCAUAAAGGCCGCAGGGGCAUUCGUAAGCCCAAACGACAUCGCUAAAAACUCAUAGUGCCCAUAUCUUGUUCGAAAUGCAGUCUUUGGUACGUUCUCAUUCUGGAUCCCUAAUUAAUGGUACCCAGAUUGUAAAUCUAUCUUAGAGAAAUGUUGUGCUCCUUGUAGUUGGUCAAAUAAAUAAUCUAUUCUCGGAAGAGGGUAUUUAUUCUUCACCGUCAUUUUAUUAAGCUAUCGGUAGUCAAUACACAAUCUAAGUGACUUAUCUUUCUUCUUUACAAAUAGCAACGGUGCUCCCCAUGGUGAGAUGUUCGGGCGGAUGAAGCCUUUAUCUAACAAAUCUUCUAAUUGACCCUUAAGUUCCUUAAGCUCUGCAAGUGCCAUUCUAUAUGAGGAUAUGGAUAUGGGUCUAGUAUCUGAAAUCAAGUCUAUGCCAAAUUCAAUCUCCCGCUUGGGAGGCAAACCUAGUAAUUCCUUUGGAAAUACAUCUACAAACUCAUUCACUACCGACACUUAGUUUAUAUCCCCGACCUUCGCUUGGGUAUCUCUCACAAUAGCCAAGUAACUUGGACAACCCUAUCUUAAUAGCCUUUUAGUAGACAUGACGAAUAUCAAAUUGGUUGGAGCAUUACUCCUAUCCCCCUGAAUACUAAAUGAUGGCUCACUUGGAAAGUCAAAUCUAAUCAAUUUAUGGUAACAUUCCAUGCUGGCAUGGCAAGGCGAUAGCCAAUCCAUUGCGAAAAUAACAUCAAAAUCUAAGGUGUCUAAUUGCACUAGAUUUACCAAAGUGUCUUUGUCCUUGACCCGAACUACACAAGACUUAUAUUCCCAUUUUACCAUAAAUAUCUCCCUUAAUGGGGUAGACACCACUAAUUGUUCCUCUCUCAUAACGUGAUCUUUACCUAAUCGGGGUGCAAAACGUGUAGAAGCAAAAGAGUGCAUAGAACCAAGAUCAAACAAUACCCGAGCAUUCAUAUUACAAAGAAUACCUGAGACCACAACGUUAGAUGUCUGGGCCUCCUGUGGUGUUAAAGUAAAUACCCUUGCGUGACCCCUACUAGUAGAACUCUAUCAUCCAAACCCAGACGGUCUGCUUUGAGAGGAAGCAAUAGCACCUCUACCUCUCGAUUCACUAGCCUCUUGAUUAGAUGAGGUGGCUUCUAAAGGAGCAGAUGAAACUGGCUGAGUGGAGCUGCUAGCAGAUCCUUGUAGUUGAUGCGCCAUUGGACAACUUCUCUUCCUGUGUCUAAGUUGACCACACAAGAAACAAACUCCUAUCUCACGAAAGCAUCGUCCUUCAUGUUGUACCCCAUAAGUAUUACAAUGAUUGAUAGCUUGACCACCCUACCUUGAAUCUUGCUACCUCCCAACAUUGAAGGUUUUUUGUCCCAAUCCAAUGCUGGCACUACUUAAGUCACUUCUCUAUUGGGAUAACCGUGAGUCCCUUUAUGGGCCCUGACGACAAGAAGAUGAAAUACCAUUAUUGAAGUCUCUACGACCUUGAUGGCCUUCUAUCUUGGCCCUCUUGACUCUAUCCUUAGUAGCCCUACUCUCGUUGCUCCUCAUCUCAAUCUAUUGGGCACAGUCUACAACUGCGAAAUAGGUAUCAAAAUCCUUGGAUGUUAUAGCCCUAAACAAUGGCUCCACUAGCCUAUCCACAAACCUUCAAAUCCUCAUCUCCUCUGUAGAAACUAGAUAGGGUGCAUACUGAGCCAACUGGGUGAAUUUGAUGUCAUAUUUUGACACCGUCAUACUUAGGGUCUGUACUAAUGCCUCAAACUUCCUAGCUCUCGCAUUUCGUACACUGAUCGGUAAGAAUUGAUUUAGGAACGCUGUACUGAACUCAUUCCAAGUCAACGGUGUUGCGUCCAUUAGCCUACCUUUAUGCAAGGAGCCAUACCACUCUUGUGCCACAUCCUUUAAUCGGAAAGCAGCUAACUCAACUGAUCUAGUACUAGAACAUCCCAAGGCAUCACAAAUUUUUUCCAUCUUGUCUAAGAAAACCUGGGGUCUCUCCAAUGCAUUAGACCUUGUAAACGACGAAGGUUUAAGUUUCAGGAAAUCAAGAUGUGAAACCUCUAUAUGACCCCUCUCAACCUCUAGAUGUUGGCUAUAAAACCCGACCCUAUAAACACAUGUCAUGACAUACAUGCACUGAGUAGCAUGUUAUUAUGCUAGGAAAGCACCUAAGAAUAGACAAAACCCGGUAUCGUACCUAACGGUACACUUGAGUUGAUUUAACCUCGAACUAGUUCAAAUAGGAAUUGUAGGACAAAAUUUAAUAUUUUAUAGUCCAGGAAUGACUAAAAAUGAUUGUCCGGAGUUUGAGGGUUCAUUAGGGGUAAAAUUGAAAAUUUUGAUGUUUAGGGGCAAAAAUCGUCAUUUUACCACCUAAGAUAAUAAUUUGAUCAUGGAGUGAAAUUUUUGAACAAGAUUAACUUUUUGGAGUAUAAUUUAAUGAUAGGAAGUGAAAAUUUUCAAUUCCGGUAAUUUUCGAAACAUAGGGGCAAAACGGUAAUUUUGUCGUCUUGGGGUAAAAAAUCAUAAUUUUCACCACUCAAAACUUGUCAAAAUCAUAGGAUUUAUUUAUUUUUGGUAUGAAUAACUAUGGUAUGUUAAGUGGUGAAAAAUUGAAGUUCAAAGGAUGAAAUUUUAAAAACGGACCAAUGGGAAAGUGACACAUGGUAUUUUUUAAUGGUUUAAAACUAUUUUAAUGAAAAGUCAGUCCUUUUAAAGCCCAUAUUAAGUGCUGGCUGGCCAUAAGAAAAGAACAAGAGAGAAAAUAGAGAGGAAAGGAAGGAAAGAGAAAAACAAAGGAAAACUAGAACAUUCAAAGGGAAAAUCAUGUUUUUCGACCGUUUACGCGUCUAACGGUAAGAUUUUUCUAUUUUAGCUUACUUUCUACCUUUCCUAUCCCUUUAUUUCCAUUAAGCAUGCUUGAGGAGAGAGAUCAAAAAGUGAAACCAAGGGCUGGCCGAAAUUCUAGGGGAGAGAUUUUAGAAUUUUUAGGUUUUGAUUUUUAGUUAAAUUGGUAGUUUUAGUUAGUUAAAUGUGUAUAGAAAUUAAAUUGGGCAAGAAAGCAUGAAAUUUUCACAAUACCCACCCUUGGCUGAAUAUGCAUUGAUGUACAAUGAUGAUGAACUGAUUUUUAUUCUAAGAGAAAUGAAGAGGAAAUGAUGAAAAAUGGUUAAAUGUGAUAGAAAAACAAAGUGAAAAAUUUACCGAGUUAAUGUCCCAUUUUUUACCAAAUUUUCCAAGGAGGAAAGUGAGCUGAUUUUGGUGAUUUUAGAAGGUUAUUGGCUGAUAUUUAACGGUUAGAAAUGUUGGAGAGAAAAUGGGACAAUUUAGAGCUAAAAUGGAGUGCAUUAGCAAUUUAACGGGUAAAGUGCCAAAAAUAGGUUAAUACCGUGUUGAAGCCGUUUUAGGCUAUUGCAUUUCAUACUAUGCAUUAGUAUAGGAUUUAAGUAAAUUAUAUAGUGAUUUAGCAUCAAUGUGGUGAAUUGGGUAAAUUUUGCGAUGUGUCUAGGAGGAGAGCCUUCCGGUAAAGGCAAGGAAGUCGUACCCGACCAACAGUGAUCGGGGCACCUAGGAAGCAUUUCAUCUGUACAAACAGUGAGUAAACUUAUUAUUAUUGUAAAUUAUCUAGAGUUUAUUUUUAAAUACUCUUUAUGUAUUUUAUGAAACGAAAAUGAGAUUAAAACGGGAUUUUUGAUGUUUUAGAAAUAAAUGUGACAAAUAAAAAUAUAUUGUGUUGAUUACGAAAUUGAGUAAUUGGAGGCUGCCAAUUGUCUUGAAAAAUAUAUUUUCUUAUGAAUGGCUUAUGAUAUAUGAGUAUAUGUGGCUAUAUUUUAUAAUUUCAUUGGGAAUAAAAUGUAAGUUGUCUUUUACUAUGCAGGCUGGAUAAAUAAAUAAAAGCCAUGUUAUACUGUCGAAAUUUUAGUAAAAUUGGUGGGUUUAGUCACUGUAGUGACGAGUUUCCGUGGACUGCCUAUUAGAGGGGCACGAUAAACCCGGUUUCAUAGUUACUCUGGUUGUAGAGGCGAGGAGGGUAACUCCCAGGAUAGUGUUAGAGUUCACUUCACGUCGAACCCCCACGAGAAUGUGUAACUCGACCAAUGCCAAGGAACGGCUUGUUUUCAAAACUAGAAUGUGUUUAACAUGUAAAUAUCUUAACAACCUUGGCGAACUCGGUUAGAUGCCCCGGCCAAAGAUAUCCCCGAGGACUAGAUUUUGGCUUGAGCCAUGUUUUUAAUAAAGGUUAUAAGCCUUGACAACUGUUUUCGUAAAUUACAAAUGUUUUAUGGUUUAAGAAAGAAAUUGAAAACCUUAUGAAAUGGUUUGUGAUUUGUUGUUUAAACUUGCCUUCAUUUUACUCACCUUUAGAUAUUUAUGAUAAUGUCUGUUUACUCAUUGGGAUUGCAAAAUCUCACCCACCUCCUUUCCAAACAUUUCAGGCCUGUGGUAGCUUGUAGAUAUCCAAUUUUGUGGAGGAUUCCAGUUGACAACUCUAUCUCACAAACAGUAGGUUACUAUCACCAACACUUGGUGUAGUUGUGGGCCACUUGUCAUUGUAAUUAUUAUUGUACAUUACAACAUUGUAAAUUAUUGUAUGUAUGAAUUUAUUUUAUUCUCACGCUACAAAAAUUAUUUAUGUAUAGUUCUAUAAAAAUUGUUUUAUAAGAAAAUGAAAUAUAUUAUCAAAUAUUUUUAUUUAGUUUAAUUAGCCAACUUUUCACUCUAAAUGAAUGAUUUAGAUUACAAAAAUUUAUUUUUAAUCGGCAGUGGAUAUUUUUCUACCAUACGUUGUAUCUUUAUCAGGUUUCGAAAUUUUUUGGUAAAAAUGACCAAAAUACCCCUAUGUGGCAAAAAUUUUAUUUUGAUUGUUUUUUAUCUAAAAUAGUUUAUAUUUUCUUAAAACUCGAUAUUUAACAAUGAUUGCUCAUAGGAAAGGCAAGAAACUGAUUCGUUAGCCUUGUGGGGUUCCGAUUGGCAUUCUGGAUAAUGAGUGUCAAUCGGGACGUCGCAGCGGUUGUCAUGGGCCCGAGGGACGUUCCGGAUCGUGACAUCGGCAAUCGGUCUGUGCUUGUGAAUUAAGGGACACUUGUGUUGCUUGUCUCCCCUCUAAUAUUCUCUGUAUGUCAUCCAUAUGGGUUGCCAUCAUCUCCAUAACCCUAUUAAUUCCCUGUAGACCUGCAGCCAAGUCCUCAAUGGUAAUGCCCCAUGUUGGGUGUCUAUCCACCUAAAGACUGUUCCUCCUGAUGUUUACUCGUAGAUGCACCUACCUUCACCUACCUAGUGGCCCCGCCACGUUUGCCUUGCCCCCUAGGGGUGGAUGCUCGUGGCUUACCGUUGUCUCAUUAUGAGCAUCUUGCUCCCCCAUCUGUCUCAAGGCGGCUCAUGUCUUAAGUGGCAUUCUUACCUCGAAAAGAGUAAACACUUGUUAUUAAACACAUUUUACGGUCAUUCCUAAAGGAAAAGGUGGUUUCUAGAAUAGGGAAUCUAUACGGUCUCUUUGUUGUGAAAUGUGCCUCGAUUCACAAUUCACAAUCAAAGUUUCCACAUAAAGACCCAAUACUCCGUUGGAUCAAAUAAAUAAGUUUUAGGACCUAGACAACCUAGGACUCUAAUACCAACUUUGUACUAGCCCAAUUUUCUGGGCCAUGAUCGGUGGAUGGACCUAAUGGGCACAGCCCACUAAGCCCAAGCAAGCCUCUUUAUGUAGUCCUUUCCAUUAUUUCAUCACUCAUUCCUACAGUCACAUCUCGUAAUUCUUAACUAUAGGUAUUUCAAUAAUAUACUAUGACCACCAAAUAUUUACAUUUGUAUUAUCUCAAAAUAAUGUCACCCAUUGCCAACUCAUAGUGGCACCAUAAAUCAAAGUAUACAUAUUUUGAUCAUAACAUGCAUCUCAGUGAUUUACAUCAUGUGUACGUAUACACAAGCAAAAGACUUUUAACUACUAAUGGAGUGACUUUGGGUGAAGGUAUAGCUACUGAAUGCCAUGAUACCUACCAAAAGGCGAAUAGGAAAGGACACCUCAAUCUAGUCCCAACUACCUCCGAAUCUAAAAACAUGACGUUAACAAGAAUGAGUAUAAACCCAGUGAGCGAACAUAAGAAAGGAAUAAGCAAACAAUAAGGAAAGUUUUAGAAAAAAUGAUGCACUCAAUUUAAAACAAUAUAGUUUAGCUUAAUUUCUUGUUAAAACCCCUCAAUUCAACCCUUGAUUACUUAAUCCCUUAGUGUUGAAGGGUCCAUAAUCAACAAUGAAGUUAAAGAGUGAAAACUACAGCAAAUAUCCAAGCAAGGCAGAGAGUUUCUCGCUGCAACGAGAAUUCAAUUUCACUGUAGUGAAAUUCUGGGUAGGAACCACCCGAGAGUUUCUCACUACAGCGAGAAUGCAUUCUCGCUGUAGCAAAAACCAAGGUUGGGUCAAGCCCCCAAGCACCCAAGAGUUUCUCGCUGCAGCGAGAAUGAAAUUUCGCUGUAGCAAGAAACAGGUCCAUUAAGUUAGAAGAAUUCUUGUUACAAAGAAAAUCCAUUCUUGCUGCAAUGAAAAUCAAUUUGGAAGCAUUUACAAUGUCAACAUUCAACAUUCAAUGCAAUCAUAUAAUAUUUUCCUUAACCUCUCUAUGGUAUGUGUAAACAUAUACAACUACCGGCUCACCAACUCGUGCACUCCCACACUGCACAUAGCUAAAAUCAUCAUUUGCACUCCCACACUACACAUAGCUAAUACUAUCAUGUGCACUCCCACACCGCAUGUCACGACCCGGUACUCCCCUCGAGCCCGUGACAACAACCGCGGUGUCCGCAUCGACACUCAUUACCCGAAAUGUCAACCAAAACCCCGUAAGGCUUUAAUAUCAGUUUAUCAUUUCCCCUGUUAGUAACCGUAGCCAAAUAUCAUGUUCUAAAAGAUUUUAAGCUAUUUCCAACUUAAAUCAAUAAAAAAAAUGAUUUCUGUCUCACAGGGGCAUUUUGGUCAUUUUUCCUCAAAAAUCUCGAAACCAACUAAAAAUGUAGUAUGCGAGUAUAAAACACAUAAUUAAUAAUAAAAAAUAAGCUUAGAUAUCUAAAACAUUCAUUUAAAGUGAAAUUAUAACUAUUUGAAUAUAAUAAAAAUAUUCAAUAAAAUAUUUUAUUUUCUUAUAAAAUAAUAUUUAUGCAGUUACCAGUAAAUAAUUUUUGUAGCGUAAAAGCUAAAUAAAUUCAUACAUACUGUAAUACAGAUAACCAAAGUAUAAAAUUUAAUUUACAGUAACACGUGGGCCCACGAACGACCAAAAGUAUCAAAAGCGGUAAACCUACAGUUUUUGAGGAUGCAAGUCCAACUGUAGCCCUUAACGAAAUGAGUUAUUUACCAACUAUCCUGAGCCUAAAAUGGGUGGAAAGAAGGGUGGUGAGAUUAUACAAUCCCAAUGAGUAAACAAAUACCAUAGAAAAUAUCUAAAGUUGAGUAAAUGGAGACAGAAAAAAUAGUUUAUCAUAUUGUAAUUCAUCACCUUUCAACUCAUUUCAACCAAAUAAACUUAAUUCAUAUAAAUCGAGUAUUCAACAUGGCUUAUGAAUUUCUCAAAAGCUUUUGCUCGUGCCAAAAUCAUUCUUAUACUUAGUUAUCAAGGAUACCUUGGCCGAGGGCUAUCACAACUGAGUCCGCAAAGGCUGAUAAAAAGUUAUGUACGCAUAAAUUAUGUUUUUAUUUUAAAAACAUAGUCAUUCCUUAGCGUUGGCUGAGUUCACCCUCACGUGGUGGUUUGGCGUGAAGUGAACUUUAAAGUGUUAACCUCAGGAGUUAUCCGUCCGCGCCUCUCAUACUGAGGUAUGACUAUAACGGGGUUACCGUACGUCCUCUAAUAGGAUGGUCCACGGAACCCGUACACUGCAGCGACUAAUCAAUAACCCACUAAUUCAAUAAAAUUUAACAGCAUGACAUGGCAAUUUUAUCAUUAUCCAGCCUAUCAAGGCAAACAACAGUUUAUACAUUUUCAACAUAAAUACCAAUUCAGCUAUUCAUGCCAAUAUUGCCAUAAGCCAAUCAAUUAGAACCAUAAAUUCACAAUACAUCAAAUGGUCUCCAAUUACUUUAUUUUCAAAGCCAUCAUUCAAUUUCAAGACAAUUUUUAAAAUAAUUUCAUUUAAACACAUUUUGUUUAUAAAACAUAAAGAUUUACCAUUUAAACUCAUUUUUCAUAAAAUCACAAAAUCGGAGAAAAACCAUUAUAGAUAAUUAAGAUGAUAGUAAGGUUACUCACUAUUUCGGGAGUCGAAUUCCGAGUACUCCGAUUCUUGAUCCUCGGGUACUAUCUCUUUACUUUUGCCAAAAUGCUCACCACCUAGACAUAAUGCACAAUAAGCCAUUUACUAUAUUUGUGCUAAAUUGUUAUAAAACCAAUUCAGGCUCUAUAUUAAUGCAUGAAAUGGGAUGCAAAUUGUUCGGAUUAUUGUCUAAACACGGUGUUCUACACAAAUUCAAUUGUGUACCUAAAUAAAACGGUAUUGGCCUAAUUCGAUCUAUCACUCGAUUAAUUGGCCAAUAUGUCCAAUUUAACUCCAAAUAAUUCAAUUUUUCUUCUAAUUCUCCAAAUCAUCAAACACAAAUUAAAUAACUUGAAAUAUGGCGAAAUCAUCCUCACAUUUUUUCUUGGAAAAUUCGGCCAUCGUGGGUGCAUAACACUAUAAUUUUUCCUACAUGAUUCUCACACCAUAAAUCACUAAUUCCUAACCAAAUCACUUGAAAUAAAAUUAAAAUCAUCAUCAAUAUUCUACAUGGAGAAUUCGGCCAAUGAUGGGUGAUGGAAGAACAUGAUUUUUUCUUGCUUGAUUUUCAUGCUACACAUCACCAAUCAACUAAAAACACUAAAAUACAUUGAAAUCUAACCAAAUCAAGCAUCAAAACCUCUCUCUAAGUGUUCAGCCAGCAAGAUACCCAUCAUGAAAUCAUGUGAUUCAACCAUGAAAAAUGCAAAAGAAUGCAUGGGAAAGGUAGAUCACAAGUGAAAAUCAAAAAAUUUUACCUUUAAUUGCUUGAUUACUUGGAAUCCACCAAUUUUCUCUUGAAUUUUCACCCUAGGGUUCUUGUUCUUUCUUUUCUUCCUUUGUUCUUGCUUUGGCCGGCCAUAUGAAGAGAAAUGGGCUGAUUUUGUGCUAAUUUAUAAGGAAAAUAAUAAAUGGAUGAAACUUUGACACAUGUCACCAUUCCAUUAGUCCAUGUGUCAUACUUACCUAUUAAGCAAUCUCUCUCCACCACUUAAAUUUCCUCAAUUAUCCAUGAUAAUAUUGGGUAAAAUUCAUGUGCUGGACAAGUGUUGGGUGGUGUAAAAUUACAAUUUUGCCCUUGGGGUGGUAAAAUGACUAUUUUGCCCUUAUGCUCAAAAAAAUGCCGGAAUUAAAAUUUUUCACUUUUCAAACUCAAAUUAUGUUCUAUAUAAUCAAUCUUGACCAAAAGCUUCUUCCAACAUUUCAAUUUUAACCUCGGGUGGCAAAAUGACCAUUUUGCCCCUAGGUCAUGAAAAUUCUAAUUUGACUACAAAUUGGUCCUCGAACUCCGAAUCACCAUUUUAAGUCAUUCUGGGGUUUUAAAAUUCUCAAUUUCAUCUUAAAAUCUCUAUUUGGACUAGUUCGAGGCUUAAUUCAACUUAAUGGUACCAUUUGGUACAUUACCGUCCUUUAACGAUUUUCGAGGUACCCAAGUAAGCAAACAUGCAUUCUUAUGUAAGAAUGACAUAAUAAACAUAUUGUAGAGCCGGGCUUGACACCGCACAUGGCAAAUAUCAUCAUGUACACUCUUGCACCACAUCAUCACCGACAUGUGCACUCCCACACCGCACACACUCUAUUGUAAUUAACACACAAUAUUAUCGUUCAAGGCAUAACAUGCAUAGCAUCAUAAUAUAGGAACACAUGAAUUCAUCACAUUUCACAUUUCACAACAUAAAAACCUUUCAUCAAGGGCUUGUUCCCAUGCAUAUUUUAAAGAAAAGACCAAUAAAUAUUUUAAGUGAUUCAAUCAAACACUUAUGCAUUUAUCCCAAAACAUUUUAAUGCAAGUUCAUUCACCUGUCUUUGUUGACUCUUUAAGACUCCAACAUCCACUAACGCUCCAAAAGGAGAUGUGGGGUCUCGUUGGAACCUAUCACACAAAAUAGCAUCACAACCAACUCAUUUGACAUGAAUAUUAUUCCAAAAGCUAUUUUCUAAAUCAAACUUUACUAGUUAUUACUCACUAGUUUCCAAUUACCAUUUGACUAGUCAUUAGUUUGCACUACUCUAGUCACACUAGGAAUAAAUAAAUAACCUUAAACAAUAAAAUAGCCCACAAUUCUAAUUAUUGGCCAUUUAUCAACAACUUAAAAAUCAACCCUAACUCAUUACUCACCUUGAUGGAUUUGUAGUUGAAUUCCUUUUCAAAAGCUUUUCAAGCUAUUAUGCAAAGUCUCCCUCUCUCUCUAAAAUAUCAACUAGUGAGAGAAAGUGCUGAGGAAAGACUUUUGAGAGUUUUUAAAGUGAAAGAGUGAAGGAGCAAGAAAAAUCCUAUUGAAAGGUGUAUAGAAACAUGAAAAUUUGAGUUACUUUGAGAAAGUUAUGGAGGUUUUAAGGGUGGCCUCCAUGAAAGAUGGAGAGUUUGAAAUGGAGAGAAAGGAUGGGAGGAAGAAGAAAAAGCUGUUUGAAGUAAGAAAAAAGCUGCUGAAAAAUUAGAUAUUUAUUCUUAUGGUUGACAAAACUCCACUUAUUUACAAAAAUACCAUUGCAUAGUUGACAAAAGGUCCACAAUAGAUUAGAGGUACUCGAGUUCAUGAAAACUUACAAAUUUAGACUCGAGACCUAAAAUGACCAUUUUACCCUUAUUGUGGAAAUUAUCAUUAUUUCUAUUUUCUUCGUUUAUUUCAUUAUUAUAUACCUUAUUCAUUUAUUCCUUAAGCCUACUUAGACCUUAAUUAUAUUAGAAAAACCCACUUCUAGGAGCUUACCAAAAAAACGACAGAACUACCCCUAAUCCACGUCAUCGUGUCUACCUCUGCUACUGUCAAUUAAAUUCCUACUACGCAAGUAUACGUAUCGAAUACAUAGUAUAUUAACAAGUAGGGUAUCGAUCCCAUAAGGAAUUAAUCUAAAAUUUUACUAAGUACUAAAAUUAGAACAAUUUAAUCUUAUCCAAAUAAUCAAAAUUAAUUAAUUAACUAAAACUAAUUAACUAAAAUUAAAACCAACAAGAAAAAUCAAAAUAUUAACUUGAGAAAAUAUCAAAUCAACAAACCUAGGAUUACAAUAUCCCUCACACUUCAUCUAAAUCCUAUCUCUUUUCCUUAACUUAUUUCAAUGGGUUGAAUUGCUAACCUAGAGUCCUAAAUUAUUUAUAAGGGUCUCCCGACUCAUUUUAUAAAAAUAUCUAUUUUAAUAAAAACACUAUAUCCUUAUGUGAAUUGAAAUUAAAACAAACUCAUUAAGUUCAGGUUCUAAUCUUGCUACAUAUGGCCUAUAGGUAUAUCCCUAUCCUACACGCAAAUCAAUUAAUAUAAUCAUAUGCUAUCCCAAUUUUAGUCUACACUAAACUCCCUUUCCCAAGUUUGCUUAGGUUCCUAAAUCAAUUAAUUGGUGGCUAGACAAUUAAAAGCAUUAAGAACAAAUUGAAAUAAAUAAUUAAAAUCCCAUUAAAAAUAAGCAAGAAAGAGAUUAAAAAUUUAGACUACAUGUGAGUUCAAUUGCAUUCCUAGAAAAAGAAAUUUAGCUACUCAUAAUUGCAAAAUAAAAUAACAUUAUAAUAAAUUUAACCAUUAAAAGUAACAAGAGAAUUAAAAGCUAAGGAAAACACAAAACAAUUAUUGCCGACUUGAUCUCCAAGUUUCAGCCUCAACUUCUAGUUUUUUGAAUCUCUCAAAAGUUCCUCCUCCUAAUGUUGCUAAACAUAUCCUAUUUAUAUUAAUAAACUUAACCUAAAAUUCCUUAAGCUAAGGUUUAAUUUGGGCAUAAAAGUGUAAUGAGAGGCCCAAAAAUCAAUUGUCCAUCUUUACAAAUUUCCAUUCCCGAUACAAUAUGUUCAACCAUUUUUCGACGUGAUUUUCUCUAUCUUCGAAGCAGAACUGGGCAAAGUGAUCUUCAUGAAAGUUUUAGCUCUGUCUCUUAGCUAUUGGUCUAAGAAUUAUAUCAUUUGGAGUUCUAUAACUUGAGAUAUGGCCAAAAUAUCGAAGUAUAUGCAAGCAGAUUCUGGGUCUUUCAACACUUUACUUUCCAAAAUUAAGCCCAAUCACUUUUAAUCCUAUAAAAGAAAUAUAAAAACUAACAAAUGAUAACCAAAUUAAAAAGAAUAAUAUAAAAUUAAAAUAACUAGCUUAAAAGUAGCCUAAUUAUAAAACAAACUAAAAAUAAGUAAAUUAUAAUUGAAAAUUGAAGACUUAGCUAAUAUUUAAUAACAAAAUUGGAAUAAAAUAAUUCUAUAAAAUAGAAUUAUCACACCCUCAAACUUAAGAUUUUGCUAGUCCUUGAGCAAAAGAAAAUUUUAAAAAGAAAACUGAAUCAUAAAAAAUCUUUAAACAAGAGAUAGAAAUACCAAAUCAUGAUUUCUCAAUUUUUCCUCAGAAAUUAACUCUAAUUCCAACUUAAGGUAACAUACAACUAAUCUUUAAAUUCAUGCAUCAAUUCAAGUGAAACUUAUUUUUUCAAAUGGACUUCCUGUGUGUGUCUGAAUGCUCUCUUACAAAGAAUCAUGCAAUUUAGAUUAGUUUUAUGUCAACUCUAAGCAUAGAUUAGUACUAGGAUCCCAUAGGUUUACUUUUCAUUUCUCUCUCCACUAAUGUAGAUUAACACUUAUUCAAGGAUCAAUAGGUCUUUAUCAAGCUUGUAAUGUAAAGCUAGGGUCAAGGUAUGAUAAAGGAUAUAUUUAGGCUCAAAUUCACCCUAAGCACUUAAUCAAUCUAGAUCAUAUAAAGAGCUCAAAAAUUAUUUUUUUCUGUAUAGCACCCCCAAACUUGAAGUAAACUUUCCUUUGUACAACACACUUUAUUUCUUUUCUUUUCUCUUUUUUUCAACCCCCAAACUUAUUUUUGACAAUUAUAGACUAGGGGUAAUUUUACUAACAACCUUCACUUUUUGUGUUUUGUUUUUUUUUCAGACCUUUCUCUAUCAAUUUAUCUUUAAGCUCAAAUUUUUUUUCACACCUUUCUCCCUCAAUUUAUCUUUAAGCUCAAAUCAUUCUUUAGAACGAUUAACAUACUUAGAGGGUGAAAGGUUCAAAUUGCUGGAAUUAAAUAAACAGGCCAAGGCUAAUAUAACUGUGUAAUUACAAAGAAAAGGUAAAUUAGGCUUAAAAAGGGUGACUAAGGAUAAAUAUAACAAGGUAGGCUCAAACGAUCCAAAGAUGGCCUAAAUCACUUCCUAUCCUAAGUGUUAUCUAAGAUUUCGCCUCGAGAGAGAAUCAAACAAAUUUUAGAAUUCUUGACUCCACUAGACUUUUUCAUCAAUAUAAAAUUUCUCUAAAUCACACAUAAAUUCUAAGUAGAAGAGUAUAGUGCUUCAAAUUAUUGAAAGUCACAUUCUAAAAUAAAGCUAACACAAGAAUAUCACAUAAAAUUAAAUCCUAACUAUAUGCUUCCCAAAAGCAAAGAAUCAAAAGAUAAUUAAAAUAUCAUCCUAGGAUUGGGACAAUCAAGAAUAAGAUAUACCUAUCUCAAUUUUUUUUCAACACAACAAAACAUGCAAAACACAAAUAAAACAUGUAAAUAAACUAACAAAAUUCUAAACUAUUCCCCCAAACUUAGAAUGAACAUUGUCCUCAAUGUGAUAAAAGAAAAUAAAAGAAAAAGGACAAGAAUACUCCACUACUCGAAACUGCAGUCUGCAUGUCCUCCACAUGGCCACCACCCAUCAUCAACUCUCAGCAACAAAGCAUUCAUCAAUUAGAUAUGCAGCAAAUGAAAAGUUCAUGAAUCCAUUAUAUGGGUAACAAGAAAUUGGCACUAAUCUUCAAAAUUUUCAGCACUCUAAGCAUUAAUCAUGAGGAAGUCUGAAAAACUUAGGAGUGCAGGAUUUCAAAAAAAAUUAAAAAAAUCCAAGUAGAAAGAAAAUGCAAAAAUUUGGAGUGAAAAAAGGAAGAUAGAGGAACGCAAGAGAUUGGCAAGAUGAGGAAUAAUGGGAGUAGGGAUGGUAGUCAAAGAAGAAGAAGAGUGACAAAAGAAGAAAAGAAAAAGAAAAAAAUAUAUAAAUAAAAAAAUAAAAAAGAUUUUCAAAGCAAAAUUUUUUUUUUCACCCGAAGCUUUACACUUCGGGCUUGAGCGCCGCGGCUCUCAGGGUUGAGCGGGGCUACGCUUAACUUUUCUGCCAAUCGUUGUUUGUUUAGCAUCGCGGCACUCCAAAUGAGGCCAGCGACGUUGAAACAUUCUGUUUCAGUGACUAAUUGUUGCUUCAUCCAGCGUCACGGCUCUCCCUUUAAGGGCCGCGAUGCUGAAACAUUUUGUUUCAUGCUGCAGCGCUUAUUUCUUUUUUUUUUUACCAAUUACUUGCAAAAGGAAUCAAAAGACAAAAAAAAUUAAUAAAUCAAAAAAAAUAAAUUCUAACUAAACUAAAAACAAUUUUAAAAAAUAAAAAAUAAGUAAAGUUUAGAAACUUAGGUUACCUCCCAAGAAGCGCUCGUUUGUAGUCACUAGCUUGACUAUAGUGCCCCCUUUUUCAGUUCUUCAUCCUCGAAAUAUCGUCUAAGGCUCAUCCCAUUAACCAUGGUUGUUUCUGUAUCCUCACUAUAAAUCUCAAUUAUUCCACAAGGAUAAGCCUUUACUACUUUGAAAGGACCCCACCAUCUUUCUUUGCGUUUCCAUGGAAAAAGCUUGAAGUAUGAUCUAGAAAGCAGCAUUACUUGUUGUCCAAUCUCGAAAGGACGAUUAGAUGGUGGUGAAAGAUGCUCCGUUGGUGAUUGCUCAGCUCUCACAGGCCGAGGUGGUGGCUUAAACUCAAAGAUUGGUGCUUGCUCACUUAUAGGUGGAGAAUUAGGUUCACCUUUUCCUUUAUCAAUUAGCUCCACUCUAUAGCAACAAUUUGUAGAGCUAGGAUGUUUAUUUGCAUUGAAAAUAUUAAACUCAACUACCUCUUCUCCAAUUUUAAAAGUUAUCUUGCCUUCCCUCACAUCAAUGAUUGCGCCUGCGGUAGCCAAGAAUGGUCGUCCCAAGAUUAAAGGAAUUUCUUGAUCUUCUUCCAUCUCAAGCACAAUGAAGUCCACCAGAAUGUAAAGAUGCCCAACUUUAACCAAUAUAUCCUCAAUAAUCCCAACAGGAUACCUGAUUGUUCAUCUACUAAUUGCAAAGAAACUGUGGCAGGUUGUAUCUCUUUAAGUCCAAUUUUCUCGGCAGUUGACAAUGGUAUGAUUGAAACGCUUGUACCCAAAUCACAUAAAGCUUUAGUAAAUUUAAAUCUACCAAUAGUACAAGGUAUAGAAAAACUCCUUGGAUUUUUAAGUUUUGGUGGAAGCUUGUUCUGAAUUAUUGCGCUACACUCCUCAGUAAGUGCCACUGUUUCAAAAUCUUCAAGUUUCCUCUUCUUAGUUAAGAUAUCUUUCAGGAAUUUGACAUAACUUGGCAUGUUUUCCAAAGCUUAAGCAAAAGGGAUGUUUAUGUGGAGUUUCUUGAAAACAUUAAGGAAUUUCUCAAACUGUUUAUCAAGCCUUUGCUUUUUCAACCUUUGUGGGAAUGGUGGUGGAGGGUAAUUUGCUUCAAAAUUCCCUUGAUUUUUAGCUUGCCCAUUAUCUGCCUUUCCCACUGCAACUUAUUUCUCAACAAUCGCCUUGUCAUCAUCUAGAUACUCCUUUGAAGAUUCAAUUGAUUUUUCAUUCACCCCUUCAACUUCUUUUCCACUCCGAAGUGUAACUGCAUUAUAAUGUUCCUUACCUUUGGGAUUGACUUGUGUAUCACUUGGUAAGGCACCUUGGGGUCUAAUGUUUAUGGAGUUUGCAAGCUGUCCCAUUUGGGUCUCUAGAUUUCUCAAGGAGGCUCCAUAGCUCUAAAUUAUGGCAUCAGUCUUGGACAUAUAUUGCAAGAUAAGUUCUUCCACUUGGGACUUCUUUUCAAGAAUUGGUGGUCUAGAUUAUUGUUGAAAACUAGGAGGCAUGUUGGGGUUUGAAUUGGAAGGCCCUGCAUUGUUGUUCCAUGAAAAGUUGGGGUGGUUUCUCCAACUAGGAUUGUAUGUAUUAGAGUAUGGGUUAUUCUGUUGCUUGUUGAAGUUCCCCACAAAUUGGACUGAUGUAGAAUUGUAUGAACAUUGAUCACUGGAAUGGCCAUCUCCACACAUCUCACCAACUACACAUGAAUUUUGAAUUGCAUGGACUCCUAGUGUGUCAAUUUUCUUGAACAAUGCAGUCACUUGUGCAGCUAAGUUGCCAAUUGCAUCAAUUUCAUAUGCUCCAACAGCUUUUCUCGAACCCGACCUUUCUGAAGGCCAUUGAUAAUUAUUUGAAGCCAUCUCUUCCAACAAAUUAUAAGCGUCUACAGCAUUCUUACUCAUCGAUGCCCCACCAACAGCAGCAUCAAUUGUGGUUUUAAUUGACCCAACCAGCCCAUUGUAGAAUGUCUGAACUUGCAACCAAUCAGGAAUCCCAUGAUGUGGACAUAUUCGCAGUAGUUCUUUAAACCUUUCCCAAGCUUCAUACAAGGACUCAAAAUUGUGUGAAUGAGGUGAUGUCGUUCCUCAACUUUGCAGUCUUUGUAGGCGGAAAUAACUUUGUGAGAAACUUUUGAGCCAAGUCCUCCCAUGUAGUGAUAGACCCAUUGGGCAGUGAAUUAAGCCAGCUUUUUGCUUUAUCUCUCAAAGAGAAUGGAAACAGUCUCAACCUAAUAGCAUCAUCAGUUACUCUAUUGUAUUUAAAGGUAUCACAAAUCUCCAAAAAAUUAACUAAAUGAGCAUUAGGAUCAUCAUUGGGUAAUCCACCAAACUGGACCGAAGACUGGAUCAUCUUAAUGUAAGCUGGUUUAAUUUCGAAAUUAUUUGCAUUGAUAGAAGGUCUCCUAAUACUUUGGUGCAAACCUUGCAACAAAGGAACUGCAUAAUCUCGCAAUGCUCUAGUUGCUUCGGGAUCUAGAUUAAUGGCAUUAUUUCCAUUAUUAUUGUUAUCCUCAGCCAUUGUCUAAUUUAAAGUUGCAACUUGCAAAUUCUCCCUUCGAUGUCUUUUAAAAGUUCUUUCUAUCUCAAGAUCAAAAGGAACAAGAUUCAAGUUCUCUCUUCUUUGCAUACAAUGACCAAAGAUAUCUGCAAGCAAACAAAAUCUAAAAUUAAAACAAGAAAAAUAAAAUUUGAAGUAAAACCAAAUUGCUUGGUAUUAGUAUUAGUAAAAAGUCUAGAAACAAUUCCCCGACAACGACACCAAAAACUUGUCAAUUAAAAUCCUACACGCAAGUUUACGUAUCGAAUAGAUAGUAUAUUAGUAAGCAAGGUAUCGAUCCCACAGGGAAUUAAUCUAAAAUUUUACUAAAUACUAAAAUUAGAACAAUUUAAUCUUAUCCAAAUAAUCAAAAUUAAUUAAUUAACUAAAACUAAUUAACUAAAAUUAAAACCAACAAGAAAAAUCAAAAUAUUAACUUGAGAAAAUAUCAAAUCAACAAACCUAGGAUUACAAUAUCCCUCACACUUCAUCUAAAUCCUAUCUCUCUUCAUUAACUUAUUUCAAAGGGUUGAAUUGCUAACCUAGAGUCCUAAAUUAUUUAUAAAGGUCUCCCGACUCAUCUUAUAAAAAUAUCUAUUUUAACCAAAACACUAUAUCCCUAUGUGAAUUGAAAUUAAAACAGACUCAUUAAGUUCAAGUUCUAAUCUGGCUACAUAUGGCCUAUAGGUAUAUCCCUAUCCUACAUGCAAAUCAAUUAAUAUGAUCAUAUGCUAUCCCAAUUUUAGUCUGCACUAAACUCCCUUUCCCAAGUUUGCUUAGGUUCCUAUAUCAAUUUAAUUGGUGGCCAGACAAUUAAAAGCAUUAAGAACAAAUUGAAAUAAACAAUUAAAAUCCCAUUAAAAAUAAGCAAGAAAGAGAUUAAAAAUUUAGACUACAUGUGAGUUCAAUUGCAUUCCUAGAAAAAAAAAAUUUAGCUACUCAUAAUUGCAAAAUAAAAUAACAUUAUAAUAAAUUUAACCAUUGAAACGAACAAGAAAAUUAAAAGUUAAGGAAAACACAAAACAAUUAUUGCCGACUUGAUCUCCAAGUUUCAGCUUCAACUUCUAGUUUCUUGAAUCUCUCAAAAGUUCCUUCUCCUAAUGUUGCUAAACAUAUCCUAUUUAUACUAAUAAACUUAACCUAAAGUUCCUUAAGCUAGGUUUUAAUUUGGGCUUAAAAGUGUAAUGAGAGGCCCAAAAAUCAAUUGUCCAUCUUUACAAAUUUCCAUUCCCAAUACAGUACGUUCAGCCAUUUUCCUACGUGAUUUUAUCUAUCUUCAAGGCAAAACUGGGCAAAGUGAUCUUGAUCAAAGUUGUAUCUCUGUCUCUUAGCUUUCAACUGGUUUAAGAAUCACAUCAUUUGAAGUUCUAUAGCUUGAGAUAUGACCAAAAUACCGAAGUAUAUGCAAGCAGAUUCUGGGUCUUUCAACACCUUACUUUCCAAAAUUAAGCCCAAUCACUUUUAAUCCUACAAAAGGAAUAUAAAAACUAAUAAAUGAUAACCAAAUUAAAAAGAAUAAUAUAAAAUUAAAAUAACUAACUUAAAAGUAGCUUAAUUGUAAAAACAACUAAAAAUAAGUAAAUUAUAAUUGAAAAUUGAAGACUUAGCUAAUAUUUAGUAACAAAAUUGGAAUAAAAUAAUUCUUUAAAAUAAAAUUAUCAGCUACACGUCUAUGAAGGUCGAGGCUUCACAGAUGUUGAGGUGGUCUCUAAGGUGGUGGACAGCGUGGAAUCGAAAAAAAACUAUAGCUGGCAGCCGACAACUUGUGGGCAUAAAAUCGAUUCAUAAUUUCAACAUCCAACAAUGCUUUACAUUGCAAGAUUUCUUCAUUUUUAUCCCAACGUACACCCACUUUCUUGCACAAGGUGGUGAUCAAUGAUGGAUACCAAAGUCUAUCACACAGCAAGCGGUUAGCUUGAACAAUACUGUUGAAUAUCAAUUGGCCCACAUUGAUUGACAUUCUAGAAAUAAUGGCAUAUAACAAGAUAGCUCAAUCCCUUGUGAUGUCACUAAUAUGUUUCACAGGAAGUAAUCUAGUAAACAAAAAGUGAUACCAUAGCUUAUGAACUGUCUUCAUGGUACUAGCCUUAAAAGACACAGGUAUGCCUUUUGUCAUUUUCCAUUCCCCCCCUCAUCACAAAGUACACCAAGAACCCCAUCCAAAUCAAUGUUGCCCGUUAAGAACUGGCCAUAGUCAUCAUGUUCAAUAUCAAGUUAUAAAAUUGAUUGAUGGUGGCAUUAUCAAAACGAACUUGAUAGCCUCGUACAAACACUUGGCCAUGAACAUGUUUAGCGGCAUUGGCGUAGAAUAUUAUAAACCCUUGGUAAGACAGCGGCCUUAGGUUGGUCACAAAAUUUCUCCCAUUGCCACCUAGUGAUGACCUUAUGAACAAAACUAUAUAGCUCAAGAUUGAGAUCAAUGCCACUUUCCUGAAUAAGGACUUUAUGCACAAGGAAUUGCAUAUGUCUCUCAAUGGCAUCAGUAGACACAAAUUUACUGUGAUCAAAUCGAGUCUUACUACCACUCUUGUGAGUUCUUUUCUUUGGUGCCAUCCCGCUCACGCAAAUAGAAAAUACUUCCUCCUAAAACAAGCCACCACAAUCCAAGUAAAUUACCCAUUCAAUUAUAUUUUAUUAUUAGGAAACAAAAACAACACCUCCCACAAGUUCUAUGCCCUGUCAAAUAUUGAUAGUCAUCCUUCAUCCUCAACAACAAUGAAAUGCAGCACAAAUUGAUUAGAAAGAAAAAAAAAUCCAACACAUCUAGUUUAAACUAGCAUUACUUCAAGCAACCCAUUCCUAACUAACAAAUUGACAAAAGAAGGGAAAAAUUAACUUACUUGGUUGAAGAAUACAGAAAAUGUGGAGAAUGAAUGGAAGGACAACCUUACUCUUCACAAAAAAAAAUUGGUGAAAUUUAAAAAUACUGGGUGGGUGUAAAGUGGGUGGAAAGGGAAGGAAGAAAUCUAAAGGUUAGAGAGAAAAGGGAGCCCUAAAAUAUGAAGAAAGGGUGAGAGAAAGGAAAAUCAGGGUUUUUCUUUAAAGCCCCGUGACAUAGUGCCGUGACGCUCCUUUCUGGCAUCGUAAUGGCCUUUUCUUGAGUUUUUGUACAAGAGGGGGCCUGAUGCACUACAACUUGGCGUUGGGUUCAUGGCUCUGCAACGUCAUUUUUUUUAAUUUACUUACCUCAUGAGAGUCCAUAGCUACAACAAUCGAAUAAAUAACAAUCAAUUAACGAGGAAGGAAAUAUAAAAUUGACACAUUAAAAUUUCAAAUUGACUCGAAUUAAAAAAAUACUAAGAUAAAUGAUGUUGAGAAACUUGAGGUGCCUCCUAAGAAGCACUUCGUUUAGGGUCAUUGCUAGAUCAAUGUGGAGUUCAUUUGGUGUCAAAGAGAUGGAUGGACGAUCAGUGUUGAUCAAUAAGUCCACCUAGUAGUGCUUUAAUCGUUGUCCAUUCACCUUGAACAUCUCAUUGGUCAACCCAUCAAUUAUUUCCAUUGCUGCAUGUGGAAACACUUUUGACAUAUUAAAAGGUUUGAACCAUCUUGAUUCCAAUUUUCCUAGAAAUAACUUCAAUCGUGAAUUAAACACCAAAACUUGCUGACUUGGCUCAAAAUGGCACUCGAUAAUCUUUUGAUCAUGCCAUCUCUUCGUCUUUUUCUUUUACAAUUUGGCAUUCUCAUAAGCAUUUAAGCAAAUUUCAUCCAUCUAAUUUAAUUAAAGCAAUCUUUUCUCACCUGCUGCUUUUAAAUCGAAAUUUAAUUUCUUGAUGGCCCAAAAUGCACUAUGCUCUAAUUCAACUGGGAGUGACACGCUUUUCCAAACACAAACUAAUAUGGGGACAUACCUAUUGGAGUUUUGUAAGUUGUCCAAUACGCCCACAAUGCAUCAUCAAGUCUACUAGCUCAGUCUUUUUGUGACAAUGAUACCAUUUUCUCAAGAAUUCUUUUGAUUUCCUAAUUUGAUACUUCCACUUGUCUGCUCGUCUGAGGGUGAUAAGUUGUGGUUACCUUGUGUGACACUCCAUACUUUAUGAGUAACGUUGUAAAAUAUUUAUUGCAAAAAUGACUUCUUCAUCACUCAAUAGCUCUUGGUGUAUCAAAUUUGGUGAAAAUGUUUGUCUUUAAAAAUUUCAUCACCACCUUAAUAAUGUUUGUAGGGAAGACUGAGGCUUCUACCCAUUUUGACACAUAAUAGACAGCCACCUAAAUGUAUCGAUUGUUGAAUGACGAUAUGAAUGGUCCCAUGAAAUUGAUUCCCAAACAUAAAAAAUUUCCACUUCCAAAAUGCUGUUAAGCGAGAUUUCAUGUCUUCUGAAAAUGUUUCCCAUUCUUUGACAUCUGUCACAAUGCAACAUAAAGUUAUGAGCGUUUUUGAAUAAUGUUGGCCAAUACAAACCUUAUUGAAGAACUUUGGCCGUUGUUCUAUCACCUCCAAAAUGACCCCCAUUUUUAUAUGAGUGACAAUGUCUCGACACAUUUUCAACUUCUUCCUCUGGAAUACACCUUCUUAUAAUUCUGUUAGCACAUUUCUUCAACAAAAAUGGUUCAUCCCAUAGAUAAAAUUUAACAUCAUGCAAAAAUUUCUUUUUUUGAUGAAAAGUUAAAUUUAGAGGUAGAAGCUUACUCACAAUGAAGUUGACAUAGUCAACAUACCAUGGUAAUUUCUUAUGACCAACAUGUAACAAUUGUUCAUCAGGGAAAGUUUCGUUGAUCAAAGUCACAUCUUUACCUUGGUUGUCAUGCUCUAGCACAAAUAGUUGGCUACUUGAUUUUCUGAACCUUUUAUGUCUCUGAUUUCUAAAUCAAAUUCUUAUAACAGCAGAACCCAUCUUAUUAACCUUGGCUUGGCAUCUUUUUUAGCAAUCAAAUACUUAAUUGCAUAAUGGUUAGUAUAAACAAUAACUUUAGUGCUAAUCAAAUAUGAGCAAAAUUUGUCAAAUGCAUACACAAUAGCUAAUAAUUCUAUCUUAGUGGUAAUGUAGUGCAUUAGAGUUUCAAUCAAGGUUUUACUUGCAUAAUAUAUAGAAUGAAAAAUUUUAUUCUUUCUCUAUCCUAACACUGCACCUACAACCUUGUCACUAGCAUCACAAAUAAGUUCAAAUAAGAGUGACCAAUCAGGAACUACAAUAAUAGGUGUAAUUGUCAACCUUUUUUCAGUUUCUAUAAAUGUAGCAUGACAUGCAUCAUCAAAUUUAAAUGGGAUGUCUUCUUCUAAAAGAUUGCACAAAGGUUUAGCAAUUUUGGAAAAAUCCUUAAUGAAUCGUCAAUAAAAACCAACAUGUCCAAGGAAACUCUAAGUAUCUUUUACCAAGGUUGGUGGUGGACGCUUUUCAAUGGUCUCAAUCUUAGCUUUGUCUACCUCUAAUCCUUUGCUCGACACCUUGUGACCAAGAACAAUGCCUUCUUGUACCAUAAAAUGGCACUUCUCCCAAUUUAAAACUAGGAUCGUCUCCUCACAUCUUUGCAAUACCCUAUCUAGAUUGAGCAAACAUUCAUCAAAAUUAUUGCCAAAGACAGAGAAAUCAUCCAUAAAUGCCUUUAUGGUUUUCUCCACCAUAUCCUAGAAGAUAAACAUCAUGCAUUGUUGAAACGUGACCAAAGCAUUACACAAUCUAAAUGGCAUCCUUUUAAAUGCAAAAACACCAUAAGGAUAUGUGAAAGUUGUUUUCUCUUGAUCUUUUGGUGCUAUGGAAAUUUGAUUAUAACUUGAGUAUCCAUCCAAGAAACAGUAAUACUCUCUUCUAGCUAACCUUUCCAACAUUUAGUUAAUGAAAGAUAAAGGAAAAUGAUAUUUCCUUGUGACCUUGUUUAGCUUUCUGUAAUCCACGCAUACUCUCUAUCCCAUGACUAUUCGUUUGGGAAUGAGCUCAUUGUUUUCGUUAGCCACCACUAUCAUCCCACCUUUUUUUGGUACGCAUUACACCAAGCUUACCCAUUCACAAUCUAAAAUAGGAUAAAUGAUGCCAGCAUCUAAGCCACUUGAUUAUUUCUUUCUUGACUACUUCUUUCAUAAUUAGAUUCAAUCUCAUCGAUGCUCAAUAGUGGCUUUGUGAUUAUCCUCUAACAAAAUUUUAUGCAUGCAUAUUGAAGGACUUAUCCCCUUGAUAUCAACUAUUGACCACCCCAAUGCCUUUUUUGUCCUCUUUCAAAACUCUAAGUAACUUUUCUUCCUGUUUAUUAUUAAGAUCAGAUGCAACAAUAAUUGGAAGAGUACAUGAGUUUCCAAGAUAUGCAUACCUCCAAUGUUUUGGCAAUGGCUUCAGUUCUAACUCAGGGGGAUCCUCAAUUAAAGGUUUCACUGGUGAGGAUGAAUAUGAAGACAAAUCUAACAGUUCAAACCGAGUUCCCAAUAACAGAGACAGGGCAUUCAAUGCAUUAACACAUUUUAUAAUUUCUUCAUUACUAGUCUCAAUUUAGAAAUCAAUGAUGCUUCAAGUAAGUCAUUAGGAUGAUUUUCCAUAAAGACUUCACUUGUGGCCCUAUCUACCACAGUAAUUGCAAAACACUCAUCAUGAUCAUUAAUGAACUUUAAAGCACAAAAGAUAUUCAAUGUUACCUCUUGAUCUUAUAGUUGCAAGGUAAGUUCUCCCUUUUCAACUUCAAUGAGUUCUCUGGCUGUGCGUAAAAAAGGUCUCCCAAGGAUAACAAGAACCUCUUUAUCUUCCUUCAUAUCAAGAACUAUAAAAUCAGUUGGGAUAUGAAUUUAUCCACUUUCACAAGCACAUCUUCCACUAUGCCUCUUGGAUAUAUGAGAGUUCUAUCUAUUAAUUGAAGAGUUAUAAUGGUGGGCUUGAUUUCCCCCAAACCCAAAUUGUUGUAGAUUAACAAUGGCAUCAAAUUAAUACUCGCCCCUAAAUCACUUAAAACCUUAGCAAAGAAUAAGGCACCAAUUGUACAUGGAACAGUAAAACUGUCUAGGUCUUUAAGUUUUUGAGGAAGCUUAUUCUAAAUGAUUGCACUACGCUCCUCAAUGAGUGCUACUGUCUUAAACUCACCCAAUCUCCUUUUCUUGGAUAAAAUGUCCUUCAGAAAUUUUACAUAGGAUGGCAUUUGCUCUAGUGCCUCUGUAAAUGGAAUGGUGAUGUGAAGCUUUUUAAAUAAGUUCAUAAAUUUCUAAAACUUUCUUUUUAUUGCUUCUUAAAAUGUUGAGGAAAAGGUGGUGUUGGUGCAGUUGCCUUAGUCACUUCUAUUAGACAUUGAUCACUAGACCUUGAAAUUUGAGUCUUAUUCUCCCCAAUUUUGUCUUGUUGUGCAACUUCUUAUGGUUUACUUUCAACUUCCUUUCCACUUCUUAAAUUGAUGGCCUUGACAUGCUUUUUUCCCUCUCUCCUCGGAUUGGCCUCUAUAUCACUAGGUAAUGUUCCUUGAGCUUGGUUGUGCAAUAAAUUGGUAAGUUGACCAACUUGAGUCUUAAGGUUUCGAAGUGAGGCUGCUUGAUUUUGGAUGAUAGUUGUUUGACUUUGUAUGUUGCCAUCAUUUUGUGUCAUAUAUUGCCUUAACAAAUCUUCAAUAGUUGGCUUCUUUUAUGAAAGAGGUGCUUUGACUUGCUAUUGGAAUCUCAGAGGUGCAUUCGGCCAUGAAGUUGAUGACACCCCUUGAUUGUGAGCCCAAGAGAUAUUUGGAUGAUUCCUCCACCUUGGGUUGCAAGUGUUAGAGUAAAGGUUAUUUUGCUAUCUCUUCCCCAUAAAUUGCAUUGUUUUUGUUGAGGUUGGACACUAAUGAGUGGCAUGAUUAUCUCCAUAAUACUCAUAAGCUAUAAAAGGACUUUGCACAAAGUUAGUACUAAAAGAUUUAAGAGUUGUAGUUAGAGUUGUUAUCUGAGCAAAUAGUGCUGACAUGGCAUCUACAUCAUGAAUUCCAACUACUCUCUUAUGCAUUGAUUGUUCCAUUGGCCAUGUUUGCAAAUAUCUCUUCUAAUAAAUCAUAUGUCUUAUUUAUCGAUUCAGUCAUUAAAGCUCCUUUCACAACAGCACCAAUAAUGGUUUGGACCUGCCCACUCAAACCAUUGUAAAAAGUUUGCACCUAAAGCCACUUUGGAAAACCAUGAUGAAGACAACGCCGAAGUAAUUCUUUAUAUCUUUCUCAAGCUUCGAACAACUAUUUAGAAUCUUGCUACAUAAAUGAUGUAAUAUCAUUCCUAAUUUUUGCUAUCUUAGUUGGAGGAAAAAACUUGGCAAGGAACUUCUAAACAAGAUCAUCCCAUUUUGUUAUUAAGCCAGUGGGGAGUGCAUUCAGCCAUGCUUUAACGUUAUCCCUCAAUGAGAAAGGAAAAAGACUCAAACAAAUUGUAUCAUCUGUGACACUAUUCUAUUUGAAAGUGUCACUAAUCUCCAAGAAGUUUGAUAUAUGGCCAUUUGGAUUAUCAUUUGGAAGGCCCCUAAAUUGGACUGAGGUUUGAAUCAUGGUGAUGAUAGCUGACUUGAUCUCAAAAUUGUUUGCUUGAAUAGUUGGCCUUCAAAUGCUCGAUGGAAUUUCAUGUACCAACGGAGCAACAUUGUCACGACCUAAAUUUUCGGGCCAUGAUCUACGCAAGAGCCCAAUAAACGUAGCCUAUUAAGCCCAAGCAAGCCUAUCUAUUUAUUCUACUCAUCAUUCCAUCAAAUAUCACUAAGUCAUAUUUCAUACUUUUGAAUCAAAAUAGUGAUAUACAUUGCCAACUCGUACUGGCAUUACUCCUUAAAAAUUUACAUACAAUGUCUACAACAUGUAUUCUAAUAAUUUACAUUAAGUUUGUCUAUACAAAACAAAAUAACACUCGACUUCCAGNNNNNNNNNNNNNNNNNNNNNNNNNNNNNNNNNNNNNNNNNNNNNNNNNNNNNNNNNNNNNNNNNNNNNNNNNNNNNNNNNNNNNNNNNNNNNNNNNNNNNNNNNNNNNNNNNNNNNNNNNNNNNNNNNNNNNNNNNNNNNNNNNNNNNNNNNNNNNNNNNNNNNNNNNNNNNNNNNNNNNNNNNNNNNNNNNNNNNNNNNNNNNNNNNNNNNNNNNNNNNNNNNNNNNNNNNNNNNNNNNNNNNNNNNNNNNNNNNNNNNNNNNNNNNNNNNNNNNNNNNNNNNNNNNNNNNNNNNNNNNNNNNNNNNNNNNNNNNNNNNNNNNNNNNNNNNNNNNNNNNNNNNNNNNNNNNNNNNNNNNNNNNNNNNNNNNNNNNNNNNNNNNNNNNNNNNNNNNNNNNNNNNNNNNNNNNNNNNNNNNNNNNNNNNNNNNNNNNNNNNNNNNNNNNNNNNNNNNNNNNNNNNNNNNNNNNNNNNNNNNNNNNNNNNNNNNNNNNNNNNNNNNNNNNNNNNNNNNNNNNNNNNNNNNNNNNNNNNNNNNNNNNNNNNNNNNNNNNNNNNNNNNNNNNNNNNNNNNNNNNNNNNNNNNNNNNNNNNNNNNNNNNNNNNNNNNNNNNNNNNNNNNNNNNNNNNNNNNNNNNNNNNNNNNNNNNNNNNNNNNNNNNNNNNNNNNNNNNNNNNNNNNNNNNNNNNNNNNNNNNNNNNNNNNNNNNNNNNNNNNNNNNNNNNNNNNNNNNNNNNNNNNNNNNNNNNNNNNNNNNNNNNNNNNNNNNNNNNNNNNNNNNNNNNNNNNNNNNNNNNNNNNNNNNNNNNNNNNNNNNNNNNNNNNNNNNNNNNNNNNNNNNNNNNNNNNNNNNNNNNNNNNNNNNNNNNNNNNNNNNNNNNNNNNNNNNNNNNNNNNNNNNNNNNNNNNNNNNNNNNNNNNNNNNNNNNNNNNNNNNNNNNNNNNNNNNNNNNNNNNNNNNNNNNNNNNNNNNNNNNNNNNNNNNNNNNNNNNNNNNNNNNNNNNNNNNNNNNNNNNNNNNNNNNNNNNNNNNNNNNNNNNNNNNNNNNNNNNNNNNNNNNNNNNNNNNNNNNNNNNNNNNNNNNNNNNNNNNNNNNNNNNNNNNNNNNNNNNNNNNNNNNNNNNNNNNNNNNNNNNNNNNNNNNNNNNNNNNNNNNNNNNNNNNNNNNNNNNNNNNNNNNNNNNNNNNNNNNNNNNNNNNNNNNNNNNNNNNNNNNNNNNNNNNNNNNNNNNNNNNNNNNNNNNNNNNNNNNNNNNNNNNNNNNNNNNNNNNNNNNNNNNNNNNNNNNNNNNNNNNGCUUCCUUAAAACCUAGGAUCACAUUAACAUAAACAAUAGAUCAAUUUACACACUAUGACCCCUAAAAGCUAUCUCUAAACUAGCUUUCAAUUGCCACAUUAAAUGGCCAUCUAUGUUCACUAUCUUAAUCACUAAAAGUAAUGAACAUAAUCAAUAAUAAAACAGCUCAUAAAUCCCAAUUACUAGCCAUUUUCUGCAGCUAAAAACCAAGCUUAAUUCAUCACUUACCCUAAGGCUCCUUUGUAGUCAAAUUCUCUUCUAAUUGCUUCCAAAUCAGUGGGGUAAUUCUCUCUUUCUCUCUCUAAAAUGCCCAACUAGUGAGAGAAAGCAUGAAAACCAUAUUUUUGAAGGGUUUUAAAGUGAGAGGAUGAAAGAGCAUAAGGGUUUAUGGAAGAGUACACCAAAAGCAUGAAAUUUGGAGCUAGAAAGAGAAAGUUAUGGAAGCUUGAAGAAAACUCCCAUGGAAGAAUUGAAGAAACGUGAGAGAGGAGAAGGGAAGAAGAAGACAGCUGUUGGAAAUUUCAAGAAGCUGCUGGAAAUUCAAGAUAUUUAUAGGCCAAAUUUAUCCAUUCCCAUAAAAUUACCAAUUUGCCCUUUCACCAAUUAACUUACUCUCCUCCAAUCUUUUAUGAAAUCUUUUUGCUCCUUUAACACAGGGACAAAGUCCAUAAUUGUCUAGACAUGUUCAAGUUCAUAAAAACUUAAAAUUUUAACCCGAGGUGAAAAAUGACCAUUUUGCCCCUACCAUGAAAAUCGUCAAAAUUUUGGUUUCCUUUCCAUUUUACCCCUAAUUUCACCAUCCAUUUAUGCCUUAAGCCUACUUAGGCCAUAAUAUUGUUUAAAACUUACUUUUGGGAGCUUAUUAGAGAAAAUGACGAAACUACCCUUGGCUCGUAUUAUUACAUCUAUGCUUGGUUACAAGCCUAUAGAGGUUGGGGUCUCACAAACAUAAUCCCCUAACCAAUGAUUUUCAGCUACUAUGCGCACUUGGAUUUGCUGUUCACCUUGUUGAUCAGCCAUUGUAUUUAUUGGAGCAACACCUUGUUGAUUGUUAUGUCGAAGUCUACGAAAUGUUCUCUUAAUUUCUAGAUCACACGGCAUAGUCUUCAAGUUGUUUGCUCUUUUCAUACAACGACUGAACACUUACAAAACAAAGAAAUAAAACUUAAAGUAAGACUAAUAUGUGAAAUUUUAAUAUUAACAAAUAAUAAAAAAACAAAAUCCCUAACAACAGUGCCAAAAACUUGUUGUAAGUUUGCACAUGUAAGUAUACAUAUCGAACAAGUAAUAUAGACAAAAAGUCCAAAUUAUCGUUCCCACGAGGAUUUGUUUCUAAAGUUUCACUAAGUACUAAAAUUAUAUAACAAAUUAAUCUUAUUUAAGCUAAUUGAUAAUUGAAAAACUAAUCAAAGACAAUCAAAACUAAAUAAUAAGUUAACCAGCAAAAACUAAAUAUGUUGAGAAAAGUAGCAGAUUAAAGACAUAGGAUCAUUGGUUUAUUCAAUAUUUCAUCUUAUACUAGCUUUUCUUGUUAUUGAUCUUUUUUUGGUGAUUUUACUAAUCUAGAAUCCAAAGGUAUGGACAAAUCUCCAUCGAGAUGCUUGUACAAAUACCUAACUUAAUCAGUUCACUAUAUGUCUAUAGGAAUCAAUUAAAUUAAGUUCAUUAAGCAAGUGUCCUAAUUUAGCUAUGUAUGGCAAUUGGCAUAUAUCUACCCGAAUCGCAAAUCAGAUCGCCAAAGUGAUGUGAACAUACACUAUUCAAAUCUUAGUCCAACCUAAAAUCUCAAUGUCGGUUUCUAAUUAGAUUCAUGAAUCAAUUAAUUGUUAAUUAGGCAAUUCAAGGCAUUAAGAAUAUAUUUGAAUAAGUAAAACAAUACCCAUUCAUGAUAAAUAACAAAAAAAAAAAACAAGUAUUCAGACUACAUGUUGAAAUCCACCAUAAUACUAGAUAACCAAAUUAUUUCAUAAUAUCUAGAUAAAACACUAUCCAAAGAAAUUUAGCCAUGAAUUUAAAACAAAAAAAAAAAAGAAACAUAAAAAGAGAGAAAUAAACUAAUGUUGAACCCUGGCUGAUUACGAAACUCUCUCAAUUGCUCUUGAAUUCUUGAUUGAUUAGUAUCUCCAAUUCUCUAAAAAAGCUGUUGUUGUCUCUCUCUUUGAAUACUCUCAAAAAACCUCAUAAAUAUGUGCAAGAUGCCCUACUUUCCAAUUUUCGAUCAAAAUUUUAAUUUUAGAAGUCAGAGUGGUACUGCGGCCAUGACUUCUUGGCACCGCGGCACUAUGACAAGCUUUGGUAGCACCACGACACUCCUUUUUGGUUCUGCGACGCCAUGCUAUCAACCUUCAGUAUGAUGCACCCAUCCAGCCCAACACCAUGAUCAUAAGCUUCUAACAAUGCGGGGUGGUCCUUUCAGCAUCACUGCCUUGAGUAACUCAGCAUCACAGCCUCAAGCACCAUGUUACCUUAUGUGCAGUCUGCAAUUGCCUAUCAUCUUCAAAUGUGAUUUUCACCUCUAUCUAUUCUAAACUUUGCAAAGUGGUAAACAUAAAAUUAUAUCCCAUUCCCUUAACUUUAAAUUACGACAUGUACGUGUGACACGUUCACCAUACUUAUGCUAUCAUAACUCAAUUUCACCUUGCUCAUCACAUAUCCUGGACAAAAACCAUGAAAGAAUUGCAUUAACUCUUCUUAAAGUAAAUUAAAAACAAAAUAAAGUAAAAUUAAACUAAAAUAACUUAAUUUAACUAUUCAACAUGUAAUCUAACUUACAUUAGAAAAACACUUAAAAUGCUAAAAUCUGAACCUAAAACUCUAAGGUCUAGCUACUAAAGCCCCCAAAAUGUGUUAAAAAUAACUAUAUAUAAUAGAGUUAUCAAUUUGAAAAUUGUGAUUCUGAAAUAUUUUGCAAUGAAAAUUGUUUUGAUCAAAAUUUUUGAGCCUUAAAACUCCACAACAUAAUGGAGUUGUUAAAAAAAUGGGCCUUUGAAGAAAAUGGCAAGAACAAUGCUUUGUGAAAACAAUUUGCCAAAAUAUUUUAUGGCUAAAGCUGUAAAUACAGCUUUUUUAUUUUAAAUAAACCAAUGAUUUCAAAAACUCUUUAUGAGCUUUACAAAGGAAGAAAACCAAACAUUGCACAUUUAAGGAAUUUUGGAUGCAAAUGCUUUAUUUUAAAUAAUGAAAACACACCUUGGGAAAGUUUGAUGUUAAGAGUGAUGAAGUUGUUUUCUUAGGUUAUGCAAUAAACUCUAAACCUUAUAAAUUGUUUAACAAAAAAACAUUAGUUGUAGAAGAAUUUAUUCAUGUUGUUUUUUAUGAGACUAAUGUUGCACUAAGAAAAGUAAUGCGUGAUGAUGAUGCAAAUGUUAUUGAGGAGAAAAUGGAAAAGAUGAACUUGGAGAACAAAGAAGAUGAUGAAGACAACUCCAAAAAAUGAAAUGAAGAAAAACCACCAUUGAAGGACUUGUAAAGAAUUGAAGAAUAGUAUAAUGAUCUUCUUAGAACUUAAAAAUUUGUAUGAAAUCAUCCUUAAGAGAAAAUAAUUAAAGAUCCCUUUGAAGGUGUCAAAACCAAAAGAGGACUAAAAGAAGCUUGUGAAUUUGUGGCAUAUAUAUCACACAUGGAACCCCAAGGAUUUUGAGGAAGCAAAAAAGGAAGAGAGUUGGAUGAUAACCAUGCAAGAAGAACUUGGCCAAUCUGAAAGGAACAAGGUAAGGUUAGUUGCUCAAGGUUACAGUCAAGAGAAAGGUAUUGAUUACAAUGAAACUUUUGCUCCUGUAGCUAGAUUAGAAGCAACUAUAUUUUUGCUUGCAUAUGCAUGUUACAUGAAUUUCAAAUUGUUCCAAAUAAAUGUUAAAAAUGCAUUUCUAAAUUAUCUUAUCCAAUAAGAGGUAUAUGUGAAACAGCCCCCUAGUUUUGGUGAUUUUGAGGAGAUUGAUCAAUUUUAUUAAUUGUAUAAAGCAUUACAUGGAUUGAAGUGAGCUCUUAAAGCUGGGUAUGAAAGACAUUGAAAAAAUUUGACUGAAAAAGGAUUUUUUUAAAAGGAGUGUAGAUACUACACUUUUUAUUAAGAAAAGCAAAAAUGAUUUACUUGUUCAAAUAUAUGUGAAUGAUAUAGUCUUCAGUGCUAUUAAUGAAAAGUUGUGUGAGAAUUUUGCUAAAGAAAUGCAGGGUGAGUUUUAAAUGCACAUGAUAGGAGAAUUAUGUUUCUUCCUUGGUCAACAAAUCAAGCAAUGUGAGAAUGAGAUGUUAAUCAACCAAGCUAAAUACACUAAGGAGAUGCUGAAAAAGUUUGGUAUGAUGAAUGUGAAAUUAGUUAGAACACCUAUGAUCUCCUCUACAAAGCUUGAUAGAAAUGAGAAAGGAAAUGAUGUGGACCAAAAACUCUAUAAAGGUAUGAUUGGUUCACUUUUUUAUUUAACAGAAAGUCCUGAUAUAUUGUUUAGUAUGUGCUUAUGUGCAAGAUUUCAAUCAUGUCCUAAAGAUCACGCUUAACUAUUGUAAAAAGGAUAUUUAAAUACCUCUUGGAUACCCAAGACUUAGGUUUAUUGUAUCUAAAAAAUGUCAUCUUUUGAACUUUUUGGCUGUUUCGAUAUUGAUUUUGCUAGCAGCGAAGUAGAUCAGAAUAGUACUAAUUGUACUUGUCAAUUUCUUGGAACCAUGCUUAUAUCUUUAUCUUGUAAGAAACAAAAUUCAGUUGCUCUUUCAAGUACUGAAGUUGAAUAUAUUUGAGUAGGUAGUUGUUGCGCACAAAUUUUAAGGAUUAGGAAAUAAUUAAAUGACUUUGGCAUGUUCAUGCAUAAUAUUCCUAUCUUUUGUAACAAUACUAGUGCCAUUAACAUCUCAAAUAUUCUUGUUUAAAACUAAGCAUAUUGAGAUUAGACAUCACUUUAUUAAAGAUCAUAUGCUUAAAGGAGAUGUUAAAAUUGAAUUUGUUCAUACCUUGCAUCAAUUAGCUUAUAUUUUCACCAAAACCUUGAGUGAAGACCAAUUUUGUAAAUUUAAAAGAGAAUUAGGAAUGCUUGAUGAGCAUGAACUUGGAUUGAAUUGCUUUGAAUAUGUUUUUAAUGAAUUCUCAUAUCUAUUGUGUAUUAAUUUCUUAUUCUGAUCAAUUAAAAGUGGCUUUUCAGUACUUACGAGAGCUUAACUGAUUAAAAUCAUGUUUUCAUCAAUUAAACUUGUUCUAGAAUAAAGGAUGUUCCAUUUAAUCAAUUAAAAAGUCUUUUAAUUGAUUAAUUUGUUUCUGGUCAAAAGUGGAUUUGGAACUCAAAACCUGUCCAUUUUGGCUUUAGAGCACUCAAAAGUCGACUAAAUAUCCAUGGAUUCCACUUUUUAUCAUUCCAAUAACAUUGUUUGAAUUUUGUUCUCCAAUAGGCGACUAGCUAUGAUAAAGAGUCAAUUAUGCUUGAUUCUUGCAUAUUGAAAAGCCAGAAAAAGGUGCAAAACAUGCAAUGUUCUAAGGCAUAAUGAUCUCAAAACAUGGAUUUGUGUGAGAAUAAUUUAGAAUUUCAUUUCAACCAUAUUUAGAACAUCAUUUUGGACAUGUAUAAUCAAAGAUUCUUCAAGAAAAAACAUGUGAACUCAAAUUUUGGCUUAUAUUGUUCAUUGUUCACAAAUGCUAAAAAGUUGAAAUGCUCAUUUGAAGAAUCAUGUCUCUAAUAUGCUCAAACAUAUUCAAUUUACAUCAUGAUGCGUGACUAUGGCUUAUAACAUGUACAAAAAUCAUUUAAACAAUGUUUAAGCAUAAUUAGCAUCAAAUUUAACAUUUUUAACAAUUUUCCGGCAUAUGAACAAAAAUGCCCUUGUGGUUGUUCAAGCACUCCUUUGCAACAAGAACAAGACAUAAUGGCACUUUCAAUAUAAAGCAUUCUUGUUCAAGCUUUAUAUCAUUGAAAUCAUUGUAGCCUCAAGCAUUACAAGAAGGUUUGUACUUUGCUUAAAAUAUCAUCAAUGUCAAAUUAUCAUACUCAUGAUUAUACUUAAGAAAACUCUUUCAAUCUAUUUUAUAAAUCAUGAGAGAAAUAUCAAGCAAAAUGGGAUUUAUGCAAUUCAUGUAUCAAAUCAAUUUUGCUCAACCAUGCUAUAUCAUCAAAAACAAUAAAUCAAUUUCAAUCAAAGAAAAUGAAAAGAUUUUGCAAGAAAAUCAAUUGAUAAAGGUUUAAUCUUUCGUUACAAACUUUUCAACUUGAAACGUUCAAGAUUAAACAUGCUUUGUGAAAAAUCAUGAGCUCAAUAUCACUCAAUUUUGUUCAUUUACGCUUGAAAUGAUUUAUGAAAUGUGUAAUAAGCAUAAUGAAUCAUGUUUAUGCAUGUCAAGGGUCAUUUGCAAAUAUCUCACAAUUAUUUUCCAAAAAUGCCCUUAUGACCAUUCAAGUUUACAAGCAAGCAUGCACAUCCAAUAAGAACAAGUAAUAAGUAUUUUCAUUAUGAAACAAACUUAUUCAAUUCAUAAAUCAUUCUAAACUUAAAGGAUGGCAACAUUUUUCUCAUAUAAGCUCAUUUUGCUUUAAAAGUACCAAUCAAAGUAGUCAAAACUUUCAAGCUCAUUAUCAACCAUCUUGAAGCAAGUUCUAGAAUGUAGAUCAAGAUUGUUCAAAUGGUCAACUUAUGUUAGGCACAAGAAAAUCAAGGACAAUUUUUCAACUCAAUUUUCCAUGUUUUAGGCUACUUGAAUAGGUGUGAGUGUAAGUCAUCACGUAUGCUCAUAUUUUUAUCACAUUAUGCAACCUUUUAGGUUUCAAAAUUAUGCUCAAAAAUCAUUUUUCCUCAAAGAAGUAGUAUGGAAACAAUUUCACAAAACAUGAGGAAAUUUUAUAGAAACAAUCUUCCAUAAUCAAGCAAUCUUGAUAAAACAAUUUUCUCAAAAUAAGAAUGAUAAUAUAUUCAAGUUCAAAUAUAAGUACAUACUCAAUCAUUAGAUUCUUACUUCCUUGCAACUUAUAGUAUGUAUCAUAUCAAAUCAAGUUGCAUAGCCAAGAUUUAUCAAUAAAGCUCAAAGAAUUAUGCACUUAAUAUUCAAGCAAGAAUAGGCAACCAAAGUUUUCAAUUAAGAAAAGCAAACCAUUUUAGAAAUCAAGCUAAAUCAAUGAAACAUUCAAUAAAUAAACAAUCAAAAUUCUCAUUUAAACAAACAAAAGGCUUUUAGCUUAGAGAUCACCCAUUUUCCUUUAUGUGUAACUAGAGAGCAUUCAUUCUUUAAGAAUUGUUCUUCCUUGCUCUAGCACACCUACAAGAGACAUUUUUCAUUUGAUUUUUGGUAUCCAAAUUGCUUUGGAUCCUUGAAAGUUAUUGUCACAGCCUAAAUUUUGAGCUAUGACUGGCGCAUGGGCCGAAUAGGCAUAGACCACUAAACCCAAGCAAGCCUAUUUAUACAAUCCCGAUCAUUAAUCCCAACCAUCAUUUCUAAAACCACAUAUUGCAAUUCUUAAUUAUAAAUAUUUCAAUAACGUUUUAUAGCAAUCCAAUAUUCACAUUUGUAUUAUGCUAACAUAGUAUCACUCAUUUGCCACCUUACAGUGGCAUCAGUAAUCAAAUAUACAUAUUUGAUUUUUAACAUGAAUCUUAGUGGUCUUCAUUACUUAUACAUGUAGACAAGCAUAAGACUCUUGACCGUUAGCGGAGUGACCAUGGAUGAAGGACAGCUACUGAGAUGCCAUAGUACUUACCAAAAGGAUGAGCAUAUGUAGACACUCAAUCUAGGUCCCAACUGUCUUCGAAUCUGAAAACAUGAAAUUUAAAAAUGUGAGUAUAAAACUCAGUGAGUGAACAUAAAAAGGGAACAAGCAAUCGAUAGGAAGAAUUUGGAAAUCACGAUGCACUUGUUUCAAAAACAAUGCAAUUGAUUUAAUUUCUUACUAGAACCCCUUCAUUUCAAACUUUGAUCAAUAACCUCAUAGUAUUGCAAAAACUCAUGAUCAAUCCAUGAAGUUAAAUGGGUGAAAAAUAUGUCAAAAUCAAGCAAGGUAGCAAGCAUGGCAGCAAAUUUCUCAUUAUAGCGAGAAAUAAUCUUAGUUUGCAUAUGUUUGAGUUUUUCUAUCAUAUCUCCCACUGCAAAAGUCCAAUUGACCUAAUUUUUCAACCAUUAGAAAUAUAAGAGGUAGGCCUACAACUUUGAUGUUUACUACUUUUCCCAUUUCGAAUGAGAAGGUAGUUAAAAUCUUCAUCAAAAUGAAAGCAUUGCAUCAAAACUUGAGAGUUUCUCGCUGCAAUGAGAUUUAUUCUCGCUGCAGCGAGAAUCAAGCCAGUGUGACCCCCAAAACUCGAGAGUUUCUUGUUGCAGCGAAAUUGAAUCUUGCUAUUUAUUCUCGCUGCAGUGAAAAUCAAGCCAGUGUGACCCCCAAAACUCGAGAGUUUCUCGCUGCAGAGAAAAUGAAUCUCGCUGCAGCGAGAAACAGAGCAUUUUAAUUGAAAUGGGUCUUGUUACAUCAAAAGCCAUUUUCUUGUUGAAAUGAAAAACAAUUUGAGAGCAAUUAACAAUGCCAACUUGGAGCACAAUCACAAAUAUUUUCAUAACUUUCUAUAACACACACAUAUAUAUACAUAUGCAUUCAUCAUCAUGUGUGCACUCCCUACUCACACACUUCAACAUCAUCAUGUGUGCACUCCCUACUCGCACACUCUAACAUCAUCAUGUGUGCACUCUCUACUCGCACACUUCAACAUCCUCACACAACAUUAUUCAUCAAUGCACAAUGUAUAUUCAUAUACAUACAUACUAGCAUAAUAUAAUAGCACAUGGAUUCAUCCUUUUACACAUUUCACAUUUUCACAACAUCAAAGCAUUUUAUCAAAGGCUUGUUCCCUGGCACAUAUUUUUAAACAAAGGUUGAAUAAAAUCAUUCAAAUGUUUCAUCCAAAUACAUUUACAUCUCCCAAAGCAAAUUUUGAAAUGCAAGUUCACUCAUCGGUCUUGUUGAUUCUUUUGCUUGACUCUAACCUCAACUAAUACUCCAAAUGGACAUGUGAGGCCUUGUUGUAACCUAUACAUACAAAACAUCACAACCAACCCAAAUUGGCAAUAAUAUUGUCAAGAACCAAAUUUCGGGCCAUGACCAACGCAUGGGCCCAAUGGAUGUAGUCCACUAAGCCCAAGCAAGCCUAUUAAUAUGACCUGUUCAUCAUUCCAUCAAAAUUUGCUAGGUCACAUUUCAUAACUUUGAAUCAAAAUAAUACUAAGCAUUGCCAACUCAUAGUGGCAUGCCAAUUAAAGUGUACAUAUAUUGUCUCAACAUAUAUUUUAAUAAUUUACAUUGGUUUAUCUAUACACAACAAAAGAGCACUUGACUUCCAGCGGAGAGACCUGGGCGACGUACAGCUAUUGAAUGUCGAGAUACCUACCAAAGAGACGAAUCACGAGGGCACCUCAACCUAGUUAUCGACUGCCUCUUGAUCCUGAAAACAUGAAGUUGAAAACGGUGAGUAUAAACUCAGUGAGUGAACAUAAGAAGGGAACAAGCAACGAGAAGGAAGGUUUAAAGAAAUCAUGAUGCAUUUAUUUUCAAAACAAUGCAAUUUAGUUUCAUUCUUAUUAAAAAACCCCUCGUUAAACCCUUAAAUGGUUAAUCCCUUUAAAUGGCUAAUCAUUCGAUAAUGAUGAAUCCAUACAUAACAAAGAAUUUGAAGAAUGAAAGCUUCAAUGAUAUACAAGCAAGUUAAAUGAAACGUUGGGUCCUCACUGUAGCAGAAAGGCAUUCUCGCUGCAGUGAAAUUUGAGCUCAAGUUAUUAACUGGACGAGGGUUUCUCUCUAAAAUUCCUCAUUUCAAACUUAAUUAGAUAAUCCCCUAAAUGUUGGGAGUCCAUGCUCAACUAUGGUGUAAAUGAAAUGGAAAAGUAUGGCAAAAACCAGCAAGAUAGCAUAUCGGACAGAACGUUUCUCGCUACAACGAGAUUCUUUCUUGCUGUAGCAAAAUUCAAGUGGCCAAAACAGAAUGUUUCUCGCUGCAGCGAAAUUCAAGUGGCCAAAACAGAAUGUUUUUCGCUGUAGUGAGAAGCUCUAGAAAUUUUCUCGCUGUGGAGAGAAUCAGGUCAGGCAGACCCCUCAAACUUGAGAGUUUCUUGCUGCAGCGAGAAUAAUUCUUGCUGCAGCGAGAAACAAGGCACCAAAGAAAAGUUUCCAUUCUCUCAAGAAUAAGGCCAUCUUGCUGAAAUGACAAAAUCAACAUGAAACACUUAAAAAUUCCCAAAGUUCAACAUGCCAAAUUUUCAUAUGCAUUACAAUCAUAUACCAUAUUCAUGAGCUUUUAUUUCAUAAACAUAUAUAUACAUAUAUACAUAGAAAAACACCAAUACCACCAUCGUCUCACCCAGCUCAUGUGCAUCCCCCCACAUUGUGCACAUAGCCGGGGUCAUCGUGUGCAUCCCCUCACAUCGUGCACAAUUAGUGUCAUCGUGUGCAUCCCCCCACAUCGUGCACACGGGCACUUUCAUCAUCCAACUCCCUCAACACCGUCAUCACCGGCAUGUGCAUUCCCCCACAUCGUGCACACGCACGGUCAUCAUUAUCACACAAUAUCAACCAUCAAUGCACAACAUAUAUAUAUAUAUAUAUAUAUAUAUCAACAUAAUGUAGUAGUACAAGAAUCCAUAAUAGCCAUAUGCCACAUAUAGAGACAAUUUAUCAAAGGCUCGUUCCUAAGGCACCCGUUUUUAAGAAAAGUUGGAUAAAAUCAUUCAAAGGUUUUGUGCAAAUACAUUCAAAUGCAAGUUCACUCACCGAUAUUUUGUUGAACCUUUAGUCGACUCUAACUUCCCUAAUAGUCCAAAUGGGGCGAUGGGGCUUCGUUGGAACCUAUCAUCACAUUAGCAUCACCAUUAUGUCAAUUCACAUACUUAUAAAUUCUAAAAGCUAUCUCUUAGCUAGCUUCCAAUUGCCAUUUAAAUGGCUAUCUAUUUUCACUAUCCUAAUCACUCCAAAGUGAAUGAACAACAGCAACAAUAAAACACUCACAAAUCUAACUACUAGACAUUCUCAACACUUAAAUAUCAAUUCUAAUUCACUACUCACUUUGGUAGCUUUGUAAUUGAAAUUCUUUCCAAAAAAUUUCAAGCUAUCAUUGAAGCUCCCUCUUUUUGUCUUUAAAACACCUAGCUAGUGAGAGAAAGUAUGGAAGUAAGACUUAUCAAGGGUUUUAAAGUGAGAGAGUGAAAAAACACAUAGGUUCUAUGAAAGGGUGCACAAAAGCAUGAAAAUUGGAGCUAGUUUGAGAAAGGUUAUGGAGGUUUCAUAUCAAGCUUCCAUGGAGGAUGAAGAAACGUGAGAAGGAAGAAGGAAGGAGAAGAAGAAGCUGCUGAAAAUGUGAAAAGAAGCUGUUAGAAGCUGAUAUUUAUAACUCAAGCUUAUCCAACUUCACUUAAAUUACGAAAAUGCCCUUAACAAGCUAGCUUAUUCUUCUCCAAUCCUUUGUGCAAUCUUUUUACUCUUUUGACACUGAGGCCAGGUCCACAAGGGUCUAAAAAUACUCGAGUUUACAAAAACUUAAAAUUUUGACCCAAGAUGAAAAAUGACCAUUUUGCCCCUACCUCGAGAAUCAUCAUUAUUUUUAUUUCCUUCACCAUUUUACCCGUAUUUCAUCAUUCAUUUAUGCCUUGGGCCUACUUAGGCCAUAAUAUUGUUUAAAAACUUACUUUUAGGGACUUACUAAGGAAAUGACGAAACUACCCCUAGCUCGUGUUAUUGCGUCAUGCCUAGUUACGAGCUUAUAAAGGUCGAGGUCUCAUAAAUAUAAUCCAAAAGCUCUUUUCUAAUCAAGUUCCACUAGUUAUUCCUAACGAGCUUCCAAUUGCCAUUAAAUGGCUAGUUAUUCACACUACUUUAGUCACCCUAAGAGUGAAUAAACAACCUCAAUGAUAAACACUCACAAACCCUAUUGGUAGCCAUUAUCAACAACUAAAGAAAUUUAACCAUAACUUAUACUCACCUUGAUGGUCUUUGUAGUUGAAUUCUCUUUCAAAAUUCUUCAAGCUAACAAGGGAAAUCACUCUCUCUCUCUCUACAUGUCCAACUAGUGAGAAGAAAAUGGAAGUAAGACUUUUUUAAGGGUUUUAAGGUGAGAGAGUGAAAGAGCACAAAAGGUUCUAUGAAAAAGUGCUCAAAAGCAUGAAAUUGAAGCUAGAGAGAGAAAGUUAUGGAAGCUUUAAGGGAGGCUCCCAUGGAGAUGAAGAAACGUGAUAGGGGAAAGGAAGAAGAAAUGGCUAGAGGCUGCUGAAAAUUGCUGGAGCUUUAGAUAUUUGUAUCUAAAGUUUAUCAUUUCUCACAUAAAUUACCAAAAUGCCCUUAACAUGGUGACUUUGUCUUCCUCUCAUCCUUUGUGUAACUUUUUACUCUUUUGACACUAGGGCAAGGUCCAUAAUAGUCUAGAAAUACUCAAGUUCAUGAAAACAUAAAAAUUUAGACCCGAGCUACAAAAUGACUAUUUUGCCCCUACCAUGGAAAUUAUCAUUAUUUUUAUCUUCUUCAUUUAUUUACCAUCAUAAACAUCAUUUAUUCCUUCCUUAGGCCUAUUUAGACCUUAAUAGCAUCAAGAAAACCCACUCGUAAGAGCUCACCAAGAGAAAUUACGAAAUAACCCCUAGUCCGCAUUAUCACGUCUACUUCUAGUUAUGUGUCUAUAGAGAUCGAGAUUUCACAGGUUCACUUCUGAAUUAUCCUUUUUAACUUGGUAAUUAACCUCAAUUGGCAUCCGUAAACUUUAUUAGCCAUAGUAUCAAAAUAUGGGGUACUACAGUUAUUCUUGUUGUAUAAAGUUCCUUUUAGAACCCAUACUUGUCUAAAUUUAUAAGGUAAACAUUUUUUAAUUGGACAAGUGUAUGAAUAAUAACUAAAAAAUGUGCAAUGAUUGCAUUUGGUCAUUUUGGAAGAUGAAGAAUUCAUGAAAGCCUUUUGUUUCUCAUUUAAUAAAUCUUCAAAUUUUCUUUUCACAUCAAAAUUUUCUUUUUCCAAAAUAUCAAUUUUCUUUUGGUAAGCUUUAAAAUCUUUUUCCAAAUUUUCUUUUUCUUUUUCCAAGUCAAUUUUUACUUUCAUCAAAAAUUCAUUUUCAACAUCGAGUAUGGAAAUAAUUUUCUUGUGCUUUACAUUCAUUUUCUCAAACUAAAAUGCUAAAUCCUCAAAAGCAACAUGCAAUUCAUCAAAAGCAUAUGAAUUAAGUUCACAAAAUGAAGAAGUUACCUUUAUCUCUUCAAGAACCAUGAGGCAUAAUUCAAUUUGAUUUAAGGAUUUAUCUUCACUUGAUUCUUUGUGUGCAUUUGCCAUAUUGCUUGUUGAGCAUUGAUUCUCACAAGAGUUGUCUUCGAAUUCCUUUUGCUUCUUUAUUUCUCCAUAUAACUCUUCUAAUUUUUGUCAAAUUUCCUUGCCACUUUUGCACAUGAACACUUUAUCGUAUUCUCUAUAAUGAAGUGCACAAAAAAGAGUGUGCAUGGCCUAAGAGUUCGUUUGUACUUUCCUCAUUUCAGCUUCAAUCCAUUUAUUUCUUCUAUCUUUGGGAGUUUUCUCACCAUUUACAGAAUUUGUAAUCAUAGGAAUGAAAAGACCAUCGGUAAUGACAUCCCAUAUCUCAUAGUCAUAAGCCCUAAUAUAAAUGGACAUUCUAGUACUUUAAUAAGGAUAGUUUAAUCCAUCAAAUAGAUGAGGCAUAUUAAUGCAUUGAUCCUUAGCAUCAACAGAUUUUUCUAGAGCCAUUUGGAUCUCCCCUAAGGAUGUUAAGCCUUAAAAAUGAGGGUUAAGCUCUAAUACCACUUGUUGGUCCCAAAGAAUGUGCUAGAGGGAAGGUGAAUAGCACUUUUGGAAUGACACUAAAAUUUUUUCCAAGUAAAAAGCUGAUUAAAGGAAUUUAAAAAUGGAAAUUUAAAGCUUGCUAGAGGAAUGAUUCAAUUGCUGAGAGUAAGAAGAAAACAAAAGAAAGUAGACAAAACACAAUGAUUUAUAAUGGUUCGGUCCCCUUAACCUACAUCCACUACCUUGAUCUCCUAAUCAAGGAUUUUCAAACCAGUUCACUAAAAUCAAUGGAAUUCCCGAGCUUCCACCAAGUUUUUACAAUGGCUUUUCACAAGCUCAGCCACAACCUUUAACAAUGGUUUUUCACGAGAUCAACCAAAACCCAAAAUGGCUUUUCAAAGGCUCAACCACAACCUUUAACAAUGGUUUUUCAUGGGAUCAACCAAAAUCCAAAACUAACUUUUCUCAGGCUAAGUUAGAACCUACCACAACAACCAAGCUAACCCUACUUGAUCAACUCCUUAAAGUGGCUUGCACACUCUAAGUAAUCAAGAAAUGAAGAAAAGAUGAAGUACAAUUCAUCACCUAGCUAAUCUAAGAUGCACAAAGUUAAGCUCAAACACUUUUUCAAAGGAUAGGAGUGAAAUACAAGUGAAAAUAGAAGGUUUUUAGUCUUCUCAACUCAAAAUCACUUUGGAUAACUUCUCUAUAUUAUUUUUGACUGUUGGAGAGGCUUUAAAUACUUGCAAAAUCAAUUUUGGCCGUUGGAGACAAAAACUAGCCAUUUCUAGCUAUUAUUUUGUCCUUUUGUGCUUAAAUUCAAAUUUUCUAACAGAAUACUCUUAGUCGACUAACUAUGUUUCUUAGUCGAUUAAGUUGUCUCUAUUUUUAAACCCAGUCUCUAGCAGUAAGCUCUUAGUCAACUAACAAUGCUUCUUAGUCGAUUAAGUCAUCUUUGUUUUUGAACCUAGUUUUUAGCAAUAAGCUCUUAGUUGACUAACAAUGCUUCUUAAUCGAUUAAGUCGUCUCUGUUUCUGAACCGGCCAUCUUCAUUUUGAGUUUUAGUUGACUAUCUCCCUUGGUUAUCCGACUAAGAGGCUUCUGUUUGUAUCCAACACCCGCUUAAUUGAUUAAAUCUUGUGUUAACCAGUUAAGAUUAAUCUGUCUUCAUUAAAGCUCUUUCUUCUUUGCUUAUUUAACCAAUUAACCUAUCUUGCAACUGAACAAGCAUCUUGACUUGCUUUCAAAUACCAAAUAUAUUAAUGAAUUUAAGCUUUUUCCUACACACUCAAAUAAUAUAAUUAGACAUCAAUGAAUGGGAAUAUUUUGCUAUCGUAAAAAACAUACAAAGUCAACAUUCUCUAUCUCUUAUUUUUUAUGAUCACAAAACACUCCUAGAUUCAGAUUGCAAUGUCUAUAUUCAAUAUGAAUGCUUUAAAUCUUUAUGUGUAAUGAGUUGCUCCCCCUUAGUCAAUGCAUCUAGUUUUCUUUAGAUAAUAUUCAACAAAACCAAAACUAAGAAUCACACACAUAAAUUAAACAUGAAGUCUUUUAAACUCUAUUUAACUCAAUCUUCUUUCUCUCCUUUUUCUUUUUCAUCAUUAAACAAGAUAUUCAAAACUCCCCCUUAAUGAGUGCGUCUAGAUUUUCCUUUGAUCUUUAAGUCAGACUUUAAUGAAUGAGAAUCAUAAGCACUCAUACACUUUUAAUGAAUGAGAAUCAUAAGUACUCAUACACUUAAGUCAUACAAGCUUAUAGAUAUAGUUCAACUACUUCAAGAGUCAAGCUUGUGUCUAUGCAAAAACAAAUGUAUGGGAGUUAAAUCAUUUCAAGAAAUUAUCAAGGAUUACUCAAAUAAUGUUCAAGCAAAUUUGAUCAUUUUGUCAUAAUCAAAACUAUAAUAAUUUUAAAGUUAACACACUCAUAUUGAUAUUAUUAAUUCUUUUGUGCUAAAUUAACAAAUUUUGAAAACUGAGAAAUUGUUCAUGAGUGCUUGAUUUUUUUUUUAUUUUUCAUGUGCUUACAUUAAAAAAUCAUGUCUUGAGAAUUAAAAUGUUCAAAUGCUUAGUCUAGGAAUAAUUCUUGAAAUAUGUUUCAUGUUUGUACUUAACUGAUUGUUUCAAGAUUGAAUUAUUGCCUAGGCUCAUAAAAUUGAUUAAGAUGAAAUCAUUGAACUUUAUAAAAAAAAAAUUUCGUUCAUCUAUUGUUUUGGUCAAGUCAAAUGCUUACAUGACUUUUAAUCUUGAUUGACAUUAAUGAUUGAAGUCUAAAACUUGACUUAAGUAAUAGAAUUACUUAUGGUACAUAAUUUCAUAACUCAAGUCAAGUUUGAUUAUGACAUAUAUUGUGUUAACAUAGUUGAAAUCUUUUAAAUAUGAAUUUGAUUGUUAACUAUGUCUCUCACGGGCUUAAAUGAUUACAUAAUCUAAAGAUUUUGUGUACAUCCAACUUUAUCUAUAAAUAACUUUCAUGAUUAACGAACUUGAAUUAUUUUAGUGAGAUUAAGAGUAAUUCUAAGUUUAUUGGAGCUUGGAAUAUCUACGUCUAAAUGGAUUCCCCACUCACCUUUAUAGAAUUCAACUUGUUUAAGUUGGAAUGCAUGUUUUAUUUAAUUAUUUAAAUUUAUUUAAAAAAAUGGUAACUUUACAUAUUGUCUUAAUUAAUACAAGAGUUGUCUCAAUUUAGACAAAGUACAUAUGUUGUCUUAAUUAAGACAAUAGUUGUUUUAAUUUAGAUAGAAAUAUUUGUGUUGAUUGAAGAUAAGAGAUGUCUAAAUUAUAUUAUUUUAUUUUUGGUAAGUCAAAAAAUUGUCUUAAUGAAUAAGUAUUUUUUUAAAACAAGAGCUGUCUUAAAAUGAAAAAUAUUUAUUAAGAUAAUUAUUGUCUUGAGAUAAAAUAAUAUGGGAGGAUUUUAAUUAUAAUUAAAGAAUUAAAUAGUUUAUUCUUUAUUUACAAUUAAUUACAAUUUCUUGAUAAAUUAUAAGAGCCCAUGUUUGAUUAGAAUUUCUUCAUUUUAUUAUUAAUUUUUUUAAUUAAAGAUGGAUAAUAAUAAAAUAGAAUAUUUAUUUAAUAAGGAAUCAUAUUUUGACUUGGACAAAUAAUUAUAAUUAAAUAAAUAAAUUAUUGAUAUUUAAUUUUAAUUUUAAUUAUUAUUGGAGGAGUAUGGUACAACAAUAACAUUUUACAGAUGAGCAACUUGGACUCUUGAUAGCAAUUUAUUUUUAAUUAAAAAUAAAAAUAAAAGAAGAGUUCAUCAAGAAACAAAAUUAAAGGGUGGCUGUACCUUAUAAUAUAAAAAAGGGUAAAAGAAAAUUUCAUCAUCUUUUAAGGCCGAAACCUUAAGUCCAAAAAUUCCUCCAAGAAUCCUCCAUAGCCACCUUUUCUCUUUAGGUUCUUCUUGAUCUCCAAUCUAAGUAUAUUUUUCUAGAAACCUCUCACAAGAAAAACAACCAUAAAUUUAAAAAAGGAAAUGAGAGAAAUUCAAUUGUUACCAUCUUGAUUUAUUCCAUACCUUGUCUACUUAAGGUUCAAGCUGAAAGCCAUUCUUGAAGAAUAAGUGGUAACUUUAUUUCGUUGAGAAAUCGAUGGUGUGGUGGUGAAUUUAUUAUAAUUCACUAAGAGUCAAGAAUCAAGAAUCUUGUAAAGGAAAAACCUAUUUUAGUAAUUUGGGCAUAACUUUCUCUCUAGAGGUCCAAACGAUGUGAUUCUAAAGGCAUUGGACAGCUAAAAACAGAACUAUAAUUCUUAUGAUGACCAUAUUUCCCAGUUUGAAUGGGAUCAAGGAGAAAAAUUUGUCACUUGUUGCUAGUUAGUGGGAACCAAAUUUGAGGAACGAGAUCAAGGAAAGGUAUGUUCAUCAUUAUUUAUAGAUUCUUGAUUUUUAUAGAUGUGAUUACAUGAUUUUGCAAUAAGUGUGAUGUGUGAAUUCACUUGUGUAUUUGGAUUGCUUGCUUUUGUAGUUAGAAAAUUUUUGAAAUCCAUGGUUUACAUAAACACAUCUAUGCAUAAAGAUCCAAUCUCCAACAGUGACUCCCAUAGAGGCUCAUCAAGUAGGGAGCUUAAAAGAAUGAAACAAUGGUUGUUACACUCAACAUGAAUUUACUAUUAACUUACCUACAAUAGCUUUGUUAGUAUACUUCAUGCACCAAAUAAAGGUGCUUUUUAACCAUGUUAGGUAUGAAGAUAUGGGGUAACAUAGUUAAGUGGGAUGGUCCUAGUUACCUAGUAGUAAAUUCUCACAACCCACCAUCGCUUUAUUUAUCAUAAAAAAGUGAAUGACCACAGAACUAAUAAUAUAAUUUAUAGGGUUUUAUAUAUUAUCAUCAUGCAUGCAUUAAUCAAGAAUUGUUCGAAGUCCAUGUAUAACUAGUAUACUUAUAAAAUUUCAAAUGUACUUUUAGAAACAUAUUUGCAUGCAAACAUGAAUCCACUUUCCAUUUUGUUAAAUAAAUGUACUCUUGAAGGUGAUAACUAUAUUGAAUAGAAAAGGAACCAAAAUAUCGUCUUAAAUUAUGACAAAAUCACAUGGGUUCUUUCUAAGCAUGGGCCUAAACCACUUACUCCCAAAUCAACUCCAUAAGUGCUAUAUACUACUGAACAGCAUAUUGCAAAAGCAGCACAAGGGCAUAGGCUAAGUGCUAUAUGCUGCUGACAUGAUGUUGCACUUGCAUGUGAUGUUUAGUGCUAAAAUAAGGUCUGUUAAGGUAAAAGCAAUCAAUGCUUUUAAAGACCCUAAGUAGAAACUUGGGGAGCUAGUUAGGGAUUACAUGUUGAAAGUAAUCUCUUAUCUCAAUGAGGUAGCACUAUAUGGUGUUGAGAUAAUUACAGAAAUGCAAAUAUCCAUGAUCGUUCAUAGCCUAAAUUCAUCUUUUUCACAGUUCAAAUUGGAUUAUGAACUGCACAUUAGGGAUUACACCCUAAGUGGGCUAAUGAAUUAUUUGCAAAAUAUGGAAAAGUUUCUUGAAUUGAAAAAGAAACCAAAACCACAUGCAGUUUCCACUUCUAAGCCCAAACCCAAAGGUAAAAAGAAGAAAGCUAGAGAUAAAAAUAGUGUAAAAGGCUCAAUGGGAGUUAAGAAAAAGCCCAUGAAGAAGUUUACUUCAAAAGACAACACCCAGGGAAAGUGUUUCAACUGUGGUGAGAAAGGACAUUAAAAGUGAAAUUGCAAGGUUUACCUUGGAAUCCAAAAGAGUGAACAAGGUAUGGGUUUUCUAAAUGUAAUAGAAGCUUGUUUGGUGGUUUAUUCUAUAAAUACAUAGAUAGUAGAUUCUGAAGCCAUAAACCACGUUUGUUAUUCUCUGCAGGGUUUCAACAAAGGACAAAACUAACUUAAGGGUAGUUUCAAAUGAGGAUGGCAAUUGGCACUCAUUCAGCAAAAGUGAUGGGAGCCAUCGCUCUUCAAUUUCCUUAUGGUCGUAGUUUAUUUUGGGAAAAUGUUUCUUACAUUCCAAAGACUUAUAAAAAUUUAAAUUUUGUUUUUUGUUUAAUAAAGUCUAUAUAUUCAGUUUACUUUUUGUUAGAUAAAUAAGCUUAAAGUAAAGUAACCAAAAAGGGAGCUGAAUUGGUUAUCAAAUAAAAAUUUUCCUUUUUUGAAAUUUCAACAUAGCUAAAGUACAAAGAACGGAGUUAUAAAAAUAGAGUAUAAGCUAAGUAAGUAAACUGUAAAAAAGGAAAGAGUACCCAGCCAAGCUUUUAUUGAGGUUUGACCAUUGAUGCUUACGUCUUCUCCCUUGAUAGCACAAGGAGUUCGAAUCCACUAUCAACUUACCUUUUAACACGAGAUCAGGCGUAACUUUUACAAUAAAAUGCCUUUUGUCAAACCCUGUUCUAUAAAAUAAUUACGACGUCAUUUACAUGCUCAAUAGAAUGUUUACAGAUUUAGAGAGUUUGAGAAAUCGUUAAAAGACGAUAUUGCCCCUAAUGGUACCAUUGAGUCGAUUAAGCCUCGAACUAGUUCAAAUAGGAAUUUUAAGGUGAAAUUAAGAGUUUCACAAUUCAUGGAUGACUCAAAAUGGUAAUUCGGAGUUCGAGGAUCAAUUUGGAGUCAAACCAGAAUUUUCACUAUCUAGGGGUAAAAUGGUCAUUUGCCACUUGGGGACCAAAUGGGAAUUUUUAGAAAAGAUUUGUUUUGGUCCAUUUGACUUAUUGGAGUAUGAUUUAAGUAUUGGAAUAUGAUUUGAAGUUUAGAAGUGAAAAAUUUUAAUUCCUAUAUAAUUUGGAGUAUAAGGGUGAAAUGGUAAUUUUGCCACCUCGGGGGCAAAUCGGUAAAUUUUCACCCCCGACACUUGUCAAGACCAAGGGAUUUUAUUCAUCAUGGAAAUGGAUAAACAUGAGAAAUGUGUGGUGGAGAAUUAAAAAAUUAAAAGUCAAAUAUUUAAAAUUUGAGCCAAUAAGGAAAUGCCAUGUGUCGUGUUUUUAUUAUUUUAUUAUUUCUUUAUAAAANNNNNNNNNNNNNNNNNNNNNNNNNNNNNNNNNNNNNNNNNNNNNNNNNNNNNNNNNNNNNNNNNNNNNNNNNNNNNNNNNNNNNNNNNNNNNNNNNNNNNNNNNNNNNNNNNNNNNNNNNNNNNNNNNNNNNNNNNNNNNNNNNNNNNNNNNNNNNNNNNNNNNNNNNNNNNNNNNNNNNNNNNNNNNNNNNNNNNNNNNNNNNNNNNNNNNNNNNNNNNNNNNNNNNNNNNNNNNNNNNNNNNNNNNNNNNNNNNNNNNNNNNNNNNNNNNNNNNNNNNNNNNNNNNNNNNNNNNNNNNNNNNNNNNNNNNNNNNNNNNNNNNNNNNNNNNNNNNNNNNNNNNNNNNNNNNNNNNNNNNNNNNNNNNNNNNNNNNNNNNNNNNNNNNNNNNNNNNNNNNNNNNNNNNNNNNNNNNNNNNNNNNNNNNNNNNNNNNNNNNNNNNNNNNNNNNNNNNNNNNNNNNNNNNNNNNNNNNNNNNNNNNNNNNNNNNNNNNNNNNNNNNNNNNNNNNNNNNNNNNNNNNNNNNNNNNNNNNNNNNNNNNNNNNNNNNNNNNNNNNNNNNNNNNNNNNNNNNNNNNNNNNNNNNNNNNNNNNNNNNNNNNNNNNNNNNNNNNNNNNNNNNNNNNNNNNNNNNNNNNNNNNNNNNNNNNNNNNNNNNNNNNNNNNNNNNNNNNNNNNNNNNNNNNNNNNNNNNNNNNNNNNNNNNNNNNNNNNNNNNNNNNNNNNNNNNNNNNNNNNNNNNNNNNNNNNNNNNNNNNNNNNNNNNNNNNNNNNNNNNNNNNNNNNNNNNNNNNNNNNNNNNNNNAAAUUUAAUAAUGAUUUCAAAAAUAGAGUAAUUGGAGACCUAUACUAUGAUUGUGUUGUUUAUCCAUGAUUUUACAUUAAAUGGCUUAUGAUAAAUGUGGGUAUGACUGGUUAUUUUUAUGAUUUUAAGAAUAUGUGAACUGUGUGUUAAGUGAGCCAUGUCAUACUAUUGUGAUUUUAUUGGUUGGUGGAUUAUAAAGUGGGCACUACAGUGACAGAGGUUCCGUGGGCCAGCCUAAUUAGAGGGGCAUGGUUCCCAAUUAUUGAGCUUACCUCGAUUGGAGAGGCGCGUAGGAUAACUCUCGAGGUAGGAUUUGAGUACACUUCACGCUGGCCACCACGUGAAACUGGGAUUCAGCCAACACCGAGGAAUGGCUGUGUUGUCAGAGGUGAAAUGUGUUUGUGUGUGUGACAAUAAACAACCUUGGCGGGGUAUCCCUGUGAAUGGAUUUUUGACAAGGGCCAAGUUUUUGAAAAGUGCAUAAGCCAUGUUGAGUAAUUGGAUGAAAUCCAAUUAUUUAUAUGGGUUGGGAUGAAUUAUUUUAAUUGUCUCCUAUUACUCGGCUUUAGAUUAUUUUGAUGAUGUCUGUCUACUCACUCGAAUUUUAUAAUCUCACCCCUUCUUCCUAUCCAUUUUUCAGGCUCAGAAUAAUUUGUUAAUAGUUGAUUAAGACGAGAAUUAAUCUCGGAGUUGCAUCUUAGAAAGUAAGGGUUCGUAACCCUACAUUUUCUUAGUCAGUUGGGGGCCAACGUGUCACUGUAAAAGUAAUUUUAUUCUUCAGUUAUUUAAUUUAAAGUAUGUAUGAAUAUAUUUAGCUUUUACACCAUGUUUUUGGCGAGUUUCGGUAUUUUCGAAGAAAAAUAAUAAAAAUGCCCCUGUAAGCCAGAAAGUAAUAUUUUAUUGUUUUGAUUUGGAAAUGACUUAUGAUUUUUUUUGAAAUGUGAGAUUUAAUAACUAUCGCUCACUAGGGAGAUGUGAAGCUGAUGCUAAGUCUUGCGGGGUUUCGAUUGACAUUCGGGGUAAUGAGUGCCUAUCGGGACGUCGCGACGGUUGUCACGGGCUCGAUGAGAGUUUCGGGUCGUGACACCUUUUCAAGGAUCAAGCACAACCUCAACCAAAGUCACUACCUUUUUAGGAUCAAGCACAACAUUUACAAUCAAAAUGACUUUUAAGGAUCAAGGAGGUAUAAUUUAUACAAUAGUGGAUUCUUAAAAUAAUCUCUAGCUCAAAACCUAUAAUUGUUGGUCCUAAAUAAAUGUGUUAAAGGAGGGUGAAUAGUAUUUUUGGCUCUUACUAAACUUCAUUUCCAAUUGGGGGUAAAUUGAAGGUCAAUGAUGAGAAAUUUGAAGCAAGAUGAAGGAACGACUUAAGAAAGAAUGAAAAUGAAAAAUAAAACAGAGGAGAUAAAACUCAAAGAUUUAUAGUGGUUCAGUCAAAAACCUACAUCCACUACCUUGAUUGUUCAACCAAGGAUUUUUCAAACCAAAUCACUAAAAACAAUGGAAUUCCCUAGCUUCCACCAAGCUUUUACAAUGGCUUUUCAUUGGCUCAGCCACAACCUUUAACAAUGGUUUUUCACAAGAUCAACCAAAACCCAAAAUGGCUUUUCAAAGGCUCAAUCACAACCUUUAAUAAUGGAUUUUCACAGGAUCAACCAAAACUCAAAACUAACUUUUCUAAGGCUAAGUUAGAACCUACCACAGCAACCAAGCUAACCCAAGCUUGAUCAACCCCUUAGAGUGCCCUACACACUCUAAGUAAUCAAGAAAUGAAGAAAAGAUGAAGUACAAUUGAUCACCUAGUUGAUCUAAGAUGUACAAAGCUAAGCUCAAACACUUUUUCAAAGGAUAAGAGUGAAAUACAAGUGUAAAGAGAAGGUUUUUGGUCUUUUAAGCUCCAAAUCACUAUGGAUAGCUUUUCUCUCUUGUUUUUGACUGUUAGAGAGGCUUUAAAUACUUACAAAAUCAAUUCUGGCCAUUGGAGAUAGAAACUAGCCAUUUUUAGCUGUUAUUUUGUCUUCUAAUGCUCAAUUUAAAUUUUCUGGCAGAAUGAUCUUAGUCGACUAACUGAGCUCUUAGUCAACUAAGUUGUCUCUGUCUUCUGAUCCUAGUUUUUGACAAUGAGCUCUUAGUCAACUAACUUCUUUUUUAGUUGAUUAAAUUGUUUCUAUCUUGAAGUCCAGAUUUCUGGCAGUAGGCUUUUAGUCAACUAACUUACUUCUUGGUCAACUAAGUCUUCUCUGUUUCUGAACUAGCCAUCUUCAUUUUUGAGUUAUUAAUUUAUUAUUGACAUACAUUUUGUCCUGCACACUCAAGUAGUAGAGUUAGACAUAAAUGAAUGGCAAUGUUUUAUUAUCAUAAAAAACUUAUGGAGCCAACAAUCUUCCUUCUUUUUUUUUUUGGAUGACGACAAAACAUUCCUUGAUUAAUAGCACAAUGUCUAUUAACUCUUUUUGUUCUGCACAAGAUGAGGAAUUUCUCCCCUUGAGUGUGUGUGUCACGACCCAAAUUUCAGGCCAUGACCGGCGUAAGGGCCCAAUAGACGUAGUCCAUUAAGCCCAAGCAAGCCUAUUAAUCUAACAUGUUCAUCAUUCCAUCAUAAACUGCUAAGUCAUAUUUCAUAACUUAGAAUCAAAAUAAUAUUAGACAUUGCCACCUCAUAUUGGCAUACCAAACAAGUGUAUAUACAUUAUCUACAACAUGUAUCUUAAUAAUUUACAUUAGGUUUGUCUACACACAACAAAAGAAUACUCGACUUCCAGCGAAGAGACUCGGACUAAUGUACAGCUACUGAAUGCCGAGACACCUACCAAAAGAUGGAUACAAGUCUACAAGGACACCUCGUCCUAGUUAUUGGCUACCUCGUGAUCUGAAAACAUGAAGUUGAAAAUGGUGAGUAUAAACCCAGUGAGUGAACAAGGAAGGGAACAAGCAACCACAAGGGAAAUUUAAAAUCAUGAUGCACUUGUUUCAAAACAAUGCAAUUUAGUUCCAUUCAUAUUAAAAAACCCCUCAUCAAGCCCUUAAAUGAUUAAUCAUUUGAAAAUCAUGAACCCAUACAUAACGAACCAUUUGAAAAAUGAAAGCUUCAAUGAUACGCAAGCAAGUCAAAUGUGACAACAAAUCUUUGCUGCAGCGACGUUGGGAUUAAGUUACUAGCUGAACAAGGGUUUCUCAACUGGCCGAGGGUUUCUCACUAAACCUCGUCAUUUUAAACUUAACUCAUUUAGUCCUUAAUGUUGAAAGUCCAUGCUCAGAUAUGGUAACAAAGAAGUGAAAAAUAGGGCAGCAAUUGGACAAGAUAGGGGACAAAACAGAAAGUUUUUCACUGCAGUGAGAUUCAAUCUCGCUGCAACGAAAUUGUGACCUAAAAACAGAAAGUUUCUUGCUGCAACGAGAAUGAAUUUCGCUACAGCGAGAAGCUACAGUGUCAUUCUCACUGCAGUGAAAAUGCAUUCUCACUGCAGUGAGUUUUCAGCCAAUCUACCCCUCCAAACCCGAGAGUUUCUCGUUGCAGCAAAAAUGAUUCUCGCUAUAGCGAGAAACAGGGCACCAAUGAAAAAUUUUCCCUUCUUCCUAAAGAAAAACCACCCUGCUAAAAUGUCCAAACCAACAUGAAACGCAUGACAAUUUUCCAAGUUUAACAUGUCAAGUUUCACAUGCAUUACAACCAUAUACCAUUACUAAUUAAUUUCCUAUAACACACAUAUUUACAUAUGUAUAUAUGUAUAUGUAUACCCAUCAUCAUCAUGCACACCAUCCCAUCAUUAUGCACACCAUCCCAUCAUCAUCAUACACACCAUCACAUCAUCAUCAUCACCAGCUCAUGCACACUCCCUACUCGCACAUGGCUAGGUCAUCAUCGGGUUAUGCGCACUCCCUACUCACACAUAACCGAGUCAUUCUUGGCUUAUGCGCACUCCCUACUCGCACAUAGCCGAGUCAAUAUAAUUACACAACACUAUAGUCAAACACAUAUGUAUAUCAACAUAAUGCUGCAACAUAGAGAUCCAUGAUAACCACAUGUCAUAACAUAUAAUUGAUUUAUCAAAGGCUUGUUCCCAAGGCACUUGUUUUAACCAAAGUUGUAUAGAAUCAUUAAAAUACUUUGUACAAAACGGUCAUAUUCCCAAAACUAUUUUGAUAGGCAAUCCACUCACAAGUAUAUUGUUGAGCCUUUAGAUGACUUUAAUUCCCCUAAUUGUCCAAAUGGGAUGAUGGGGCUGUGAGACCUCAACCUCUAUAGGCUUGUAACUAAGUAUAGAUGUAAUAAUACGAGCCAGGGGUAGUUUCGUCAUUUUCUCUAAUAAGCUUCCAUAAGAAACGUUUAUGAUAAUUUAAGGCUUAAAUGGGUAUAAGACUGCAUAAAUGAUGUGUGCUGAUGAAAACAUGAAGAAAACUAGAAGUUUCAAUAAUUUUCAUAACAGGGGCAAAAUGGUCAUUUUUCACCUCGGGUUAAAACUUUAAGUUUUUAUGAACCCGAACAUGUCUAGACCAUUAUGGAUCUUGUCCCAGUGUUAAAAGAGUAAAAAGUUUGCAUAAAACAUUGGAGGAGAAUAAGUAAAUUGGUGGAAGGGCAUUUUCGUAAUUUUAAGAGAAAAGAUAAGAUUGCCUAUAAAUAUCUUGAAUUUCCAGCAACUUCUAGAGAUGUUCCAACAGCUGGUCUUCUUCUUCUUCUUCUUCUCCUCUCUCAUGUUUUUUCAAAACUCCAUGGAAGCUUGAUUUGAAGCUUGAAUGAUUUUCUCUCUCUAGCUCUAGUUUUCACACCUUUGAACCCUUUUGACUAGAACCUUUGAAUUCUUUCAUCCUCUCACUUUAAAACCCUUGAUAAAGCUUAUUUCCAUACUUUCUCUCACUAGUUGGGCAUUUUAGAGAGAGAAAAAGAGAAUUACUCUAUUGAUUUAGAAGCAAUUAGAAGAGAAUUUGACUACAAAGGAGCCCUAGGGUAAGUAAUGAACUAAGCUCGAUUUUUAGUUGCAGAAAAUGGCUAGUAAUUGGGAUUUAUGAGCUGUUUUAUUGUUGAGUAUGUUCAUUACUUUUAGUGAUUAAGAUAGUGAACAUAGAUAGCUAUUUAAUGUGGCAAUUGAAAACUAGCUAAGAGAUAGCUUUUAAAGUUCAUAGUGUGUAAAUUGAUCUAUUGUUUAUGUUAAUGUGAUCCUAGGUUUUAAGGAAGCCCCAUCAUCUCAUUUGGACAAUUAAGGGAAUUGGAGUCAUCUAAAGGCUUUACAAUCAAUUGGUGAGUGGACUGCCUUCAAAACUUAUUUUGGGAAUAUAAUGUAUUUGAUAAACGUUUGAAUGAUUUUAUACGAUUUUUCAUGAAAAUGAAUGUCUUGGGAACAAGCUCUUGAGAAAUGAUUUAUGUUAUGAUAUGUGGUUAUUAUGGAUUUCUAUGUGGCUGCAUUAUAUUGAUAUACAUAUAUGCUUGAAUAUAAUGUUGUGUAAUUAUAUUGACUCGGCUAUGUGCGAGUACGGAGUGCGCAUAAGCCGAGGAUGACCCGGUUAUGUGCGAGUAGGGAGUACACAUAACCCGGUGAUGACCUAACCAUGUACAAGUAGGGAGUGCGCAUGAGCUGGUGAGGAUGAUGAUGGGAUGGUGUGAUGAUGAUGAUGGGUAUAAGCGUAUAUAUAUAUAUAUAUGUAAAUAUGUGUGUCAUAGGAAAUUGAUGGAUAAUGGGUUCUGGUUGUAAUGCAUGUGAAACUUGACAUGUUAAACCUUGAGAAAUUGUUAUGUGUUUCAUAUUGGUUUUGAACAUUUCAAGCAGGGUGGUUUUNNNNNNNNNNNNNNNNNNNNNNNNNNNNNNNNNNNNNNNNNNNNNNNNNNNNNNNNNNNNNNNNNNNNNNNNNNNNNNNNNNNNNNNNNNNNNNNNNNNNNNNNNNNNNNNNNNNNNNNNNNNNNNNNNNNNNNNNNNNNNNNNNNNNNNNNNNNNNNNNNNNNNNNNNNNNNNNNNNNNNNNNNNNNNNNNNNNNNNNNNNNNNNNNNNNNNNNNNNNNNNNNNNNNNNNNNNNNNNNNNNNNNNNNNNNNNNNNNNNNNNNNNNNNNNNNNNNNNNNNNNNNNNNNNNNNNNNNNNNNNNNNNNNNNNNNNNNNNNNNNNNNNNNNNNNNNNNNNNNNNNNNNNNNNNNNNNNNNNNNNNNNNNNNNNNNNNNNNNNNNNNNNNNNNNNNNNNNNNNNNNNNNNNNNNNNNNNNNNNNNNNNNNNNNNNNNNNNNNNNNNNNNNNNNNNNNNNNNNNNNNNNNNNNNNNNNNNNNNNNNNNNNNNNNNNNNNNNNNNNNNNNNNNNNNNNNNNNNNNNNNNNNNNNNNNNNNNNNNNNNNNNNNNNNNNNNNNNNNNNNNNNNNNNNNNNNNNNNNNNNNNNNNNNNNNNNNNNNNNNNNNNNNNNNNNNNNNNNNNNNNNNNNNNNNNNNNNNNNNNNNNNNNNNNNNNNNNNNNNNNNNNNNNNNNNNNNNNNNNNNNNNNNNNNNNNNNNNNNNNNNNNNNNNNNNNNNNNNNNNNNNNNNNNNNNNNNNNNNNNNNNNNNNNNNNNNNNNNNNNNNNNNNNNNNNNNNNNNNNNNNNNNNNNNNNNNNNNNNNNNNNNNNNNNNNNNNNNNNNNNNNNNNNNNNNNNNNNNNNNNNNNNNNNNNNNNNNNNNNNNNNNNNNNNNNNNNNNNNNNNNNNNNNNNNNNNNNNNNNNNNNNNNNNNNNNNNNNNNNNNNNNNNNNNNNNNNNNNNNNNNNNNNNNNNNNNNNNNNNNNNNNNNNNNNNNNNNNNNNNNNNNNNNNNNNNNNNNNNNNNNNNNNNNNNNNGAGUAAUGCCAGUACGAGUUGGCAAUGUAUAUCACUAUUUUGAUUCAAAAGUAUGAAAUAUGACUUAGCGAUAUUUGAUGGAAUGAUGAGUAGGAUAAAUCGAUAGGCUUGCUUGGGCUUAAUAGACUACGUUUAUUGGGCCCUUGUGCCGGUCAUGGCCCGAAAAUUUGGGUCGUGACAGGGGCUUCCUUGAAACCUACCAUCACAUUAACAUCACCAUUAUGUUAAUUCACAUACUAUAAACCCUAAAAGCUAUCUCUCAACUAGCUUUCAAUUGUCACUUUAAAUGAUUAUCGAUGUUCACUAUCUUAAUCACUAUAAAAUGAAUGAACAUACUCAACAAUAAAACAGCUCAUAAUCCCAAUUACUAGCCAUUAUUCACAGCUAAAAAUCAAGCUUAGUUCAUCACUCACCCUAGGGUUUCUUUGUAGUUGAAUUCUCUUCCAAUAGCUUCCAAACAAAUGGUGUAAUUCUCUCUUUCUCUCUCUAGAAUGCCCAACUAGUGAGGAAAAGUAUGAAAAUAAGAUUUUUCAAGGGUUUUAAGAAGAGAGAGUGGAAGAAUACAAGGGUUCUAGUCAUAAAGGCACAAAGGUAUGAAAACUAGAGCUAGAGAGAGAAAAUCAUGCAAGCUCCAUAUCAAGCUUCCGUGGAGGUUGGAAGCAAUGUGAAAGAAAAAAAGGAGGAAGAAGAAAAAGCUGCUGGAAAAUGGGAGAAAAAGCUGCUGGAAGAAAAAUAUUUAUAGCCAAUCUUAUCCAUUCCACUUAAAUUACCAAAAUGCCCCUCCACCAAUUAACUUACUCUCCUCCAACCCUUUAUGAAAUCUUUUUACUCCUUUGACACUGGGACAAGGUCCAUAAUGGUCUAGACAUACUCGGGUUCAUGAACGCUUAUAAUUUUAACCCGAGGUGAAAAAUGACCAUUUUGCCUCUACCAUGAAAAUCAUCAAAAUUUUUGUUUCCUUUUCAUUUUACCCCUAAUUUCAUCAUCUAUUUAUGCCUUAGGCCUACUUAGGCCUUAAUAUUGUUUAAACUUACUUUUAUGGGUUUGGUAAGGAAAUGACAAAAUUACUCUUGAUCAGGGAUAUCACGUAUACUUCCCUUUACAAGUCUAUAAAGGUCAAGGUCUCAUAGUGUGCCCCCCCUUAAUGUAUGCAUGAUCUUUUCAAGUUAUUUUGUUAUCCAACUUAGCAAGUCAGUUAAUUUUUUAUCUAUUUCUUAAUGAAAAUAACAAGCAUUGAUUCAAACAUUUGACAGAGCAUAUUCAUGAAUUGUCUUACAAGCUUGCAGAGCUACCAGUUAUAAGUAACAAGAUAUUAUCAAUAUUUUGACCAUUUAUACCAUCAUCAGCAUAUUAUCAACAAACCAUAUCCAUUCUAGAAUCAAAUGUCAUUAACAAGCCAACAAAGAUAACAUAAAAGCAUAACAAAAGUAAGUCAUCAGCAUCCAAAUCCUAACCAUCAACAAUUAUCAUAGCAGAAUGUCAAAUUCUAACCAUCAGCAAUUAUCACAGCAGAAUGUUAUAAGUAACUAAGUAUCACACACAUAAAUUAAACAUGAAGACCUAUCAAACUCUGUUUAACUUAGUCUUCCUUCUCUCCUUUUUCUUUUUCAUCAUUAAACAAGAUAUUCAAAACUUUCACUUAAUGAAUGCAUCAAGAUUUUCCUUGAAUCUUUAAAUCAAACUUUAAUGAAUGAGAAUUAUAAGCACUCAUGCACCUAAGUCAUACAAGCUUAUAGAUAUAGUUCAAUAACUUCAAGAGUCAAGCUUGUGCCUAUGUAAGAACAAAUGUAUGGGAGUUAAAUCAUUUCAAGAAAUUGUCAAGGAUUACUCAAAUAAUGUUCAAGCAAAUUUGAUCAUUUUGUCAUAAUCAAAACUAUAAUAAUUUUAAAGCUAACACUAAUAAAGCUAGUAAGGAAUUUGAGUACAAAAAGAUGAGAGCUUUCUCAAGAAUUAUGAACGAUAAAGUGAAGUUUAAGCUCAAGAAACUCUAGCUAAGAAAUAAAAAUGUGAUCUUGGUUUUCUGCUCUUGCUAAAAAAAAGGAUUUUUUUUUGUUCACAACUUUCUUACUUGUUUUUGCUAUUUUCUUUGCUUUUCAAUUCUUUUCAAUCUCUUCAAAAGUGUGUCUAUAAUGUCCUCAGAUUGGAUAUUUAUAGGCCCCGUGAUUUCUUUCCUUUUGGAAUGAAAUUUGAAUAAACUUUUAUACAUUUUGGCCAACUUGCACAUUUCUAUCGCAUAUGUAGAAUCGAUUCUUUGUUCAUGAGUUAUCAGUUCUUCAUAAAAUCUAAAAUUUUUUGUCUCUAUAGAAUUGAUUCUUCCUUCUUGAGAUGCCGAUUCUUCCACAACUUGGCUCAAAGGUGACAUCUUUACACUUUAGUAAAAUCAAUUCUUUUAUUCCAAGGAGUCGAUUCUUCACUAUGGUCUAGUGCCAAAAUUUGAAUUUGAGCUUGCUUUUUUGGCACUCCAAUCUUAUCCAAUUGUACCAUCUCUUUAUUCUUCACCAAGUUUAUGAUUUUUUUCAUUGGUGCUUCAAGAACCAAUAUCUUCUUCCUCCAAUAUCGAUUCUUUGUCUUUAGACUUUAAAUAUUUGAUUCAUUCUCACUCAAAACCGAUGAUUGCUUCAUGGAGAAUCAAUUUUUUCAUGCUUGAAUUCUUCCUUCUGCAUUUUGUUCUACUAGAAUUGAUUCUUGCUCUCUAAGCUGUCGAUUCUUCUCAAAUCUUGAAGCUUCUAUCUUCCAAGAACUGACUUUUUCUCUUAUUAGAAUUGAUUCUUCUCAUAAUAAGGGAAUAAAUUUUUCUUUCCACUCUUUUAAGAAUCGAUUCUUUAAGGCUGGCACUUGAGUUCAAGUUUGCUUAAAACCUUUUUUUCUUUGCAAGCUAAACUUCAGAAUUCUUAAGGAUUUUCUUCAAGUUUAAAAAUAUUUCUAAUCAUUUCCAAUUCAUGUUUAGAUCAAUCAAUUUUGUCAUUUCAAAACCAAGGUAAAGCUAACAAUCUCUCCUUUUUUUUUAUGACAAAAUUAAGAGCUAAAUUUGCUCAUUGAAAAACUCCUUUUGAAUUUAUGCUUAACAUUUGAAAAGAUCCCAGAACCAGGGUAACAUUAUAAAAAGGAUUUGAAAGGAUGUUCAGAACUCCGCCUGAGUUUGUGCACUUUUCAAAAUGAUUGCAUGAUAUUUUAAAAGCCCUUUUGAAAUCAUUGUUUAGGAAAAUCCAACCAAAUAUAUGAAAAGCUUUGGCAAAUUUACUCCUAAUAUUUUCCCCUUUUUUUAUGUAAAUAGAGUUAGAAUAAUGAGAAGAAAAACUCAUAGGAAAACAAAGCAUUAGUAGUACAAUAUAAAUACCAUUUAAAGACAAAGCAUAUAGACAUUCAUAGCAAGAUAGUUCAAUCAAUUAUACUUAUAGAUGUCAAAACAAAUAAUGUGAAUCUUGCAUUAUCAAUAUCUAAAUAACAAAACCAUUUAGAUCAAAACAUUAAUCAAUGAGACGUAUCUAUGAACAUGUAGAAGUCAUCCAACAAGAAUGUCACGACCCAAAUCUAGGGCCAUGACCGACGCAAAGGUAUUGAUGGGAGUUACCCUCUUAACCCAUGCAAGCCUAAGAUGAACAAUUCAAGUCAAUACUUGGAAUUACCUCAUGGGACUCAUCACCAUGGAACUGUACAUAAAACAUAUACGAACAUAUCAAAUCACAUAAGAUUAAAUCAUAUUAGUUUACACAUUAACGUGGCCAAAAUGAGAAAGCAAUAAUCAGUAAAAUAUCAUUUAUAGGCCAUCCUAUGGCAUUUACAUAGUGUGGCCAUUACUUGGCAAAUUCCAUAUACAUAUCAUUAAUACAAGACGUAAAUAUAGUCAUAUUUAUAACAGUCAAACAAAAUGACCAAACCAAAUAGGACCAACAGAGAACAACUCAAAACAAAAGGGCUAACACCUACUUGAUGCCAUAAGAUAACCUACCAAAAACUGAUCAAAGUGUUGGCUCUUCCCAAAGGACAAUGAGCCAAGCAACUAUUGAUAUGCAAAACAAGUGCAUCUUACAUUUAUGAGUUGUAAAUAACUUCAUAAGCAGAUACGAGAAGGGGGAACUAGCUAAACGGGAGAGUGUUUGUCCAAAAUACUUUUAAAAUAAAUGUAAAUAAUCUGAUUCAAAAAAAUAACAAAGUUGCCUUUCAACUGUAACAAUUUUUCCUAAGGGUUUAGGAAUUUAAUCCUAAGCAAAAUCAAGCAUCCUAUAGUGCGAGUUAUGUGCCAAGUAUGAUCACAUAUCAAACAAACUUCAAUACCAUCGCCUCGAUGGAUACAAACUUAUUUAGAAGGAUUUUAUAAAAUUUUGUUGGAAACCAUUCUCAAACCUUUGAAAUAAAAAUUAUAGUUUGUAAAACAUUCAAGUAUUCCCAAAAAAUAAUUUAUUUAUAUUGAGGUUUAAAGCUUUUGUAAAACAAAGUGUAGUUCAAAGAAAAUGAAGUAAUGUUGUUGUCUUUAGAAAAUCUUUGAGGAAAACGAAUGAAUUUCAAAUUAACAUAAUUUGCAUUACAUUGUGUAAAUCAAGUUUGAAUACCAUAUACAAAUGCCAAAAAUCUAAACAAAUAACAACUCAAGCACCAAGGUCGAAAUCAAUGUCAAUUCCAAGAAUCGAGGUCAAAACAAAUACCAAAUCUAAAGUCCAAAGUUGAGAUAAUAUCAAUACCAAAGUCCAAAAUCCAAAACAAUUAUCAAGCUUCAAUUCCAUAGCAUAACAUAUCAUUUCAAAUAAGUCGUGGAGCACUAAGUAGCAUGGUCAACUAAAUCAAAAUAUGUCGUAGCACUAAAGGGGUCGGAUACAUAAUAGUCACCAACCGUAUAUCAAAAGUGGUAAAAGUCGUAUCAUCUACCAAACAAAACCAAAUCAAGGGGGUAAGACUCUAUCAACUACCUAAUAAAAGUUAAGCAUUGUGCACAAUGACUAAUGUCUACUGUCACUAGCUAUAGGUCCAUAACUCAAGUAGGCUCCACUAAAACAUAUGUAUUAUUUUUACUAAUAUCCAAAUACUUGAUCCCACAUGAAGAGAAGAAUCCAAUCACCAUCCAAGAAACAGAGGGUUUAAUAAAAUGAAGUCAGGUGUACAAAGUCUAUUGCCAAGCAAAGUAUAUUCUCCAUCAUCAACAAAAUAAGAAUUUGAAGCAAAUGCUAAAUCAAAUCAUCAAUCUCAAGGCAAAUUGACCCGAUGCUAGGGUCUAUGCAAGGUAAAUAACUUCGUUUUAAAUUUCCAAACUUGCAAUCAUUCAAAUAGUCAUAAACAAACAUAGAUUUUUUAGGUAUCAAACAUUUCAAAAGGAUUUUUCCCCAUGCCAAAGCUAUAUACAUAGUAACAUAUUUACAUAAGAUAUCUAGAUUUCAUAAAAUAAUCUUAAAACCAUUAUUCAUAACACAAAGUCCAUCAAAAUACGUUGUUGUAGAAUAGGCAUGCUUAAUUAUAUUAAAAUAAUUAAAAAUGUUGUAUCUACCCACUUCUUGAAACGCGCUUUUUUUUUUCUCUUGGCACCUUUCGUUAAAAGCUUGACUUUCCUAACAACUCAAAUUACUCCAAUAUCACCUAAAAAUGAUAUUUAAUCAUCAAUACUCUCAAAGUCCUAAUAAAAUGAUAUUCAAUCAUCAAUUUCGUCAACAACCUUUAAAAAUUUCAUAAUACUUUGAAUAUCCAUUUCUAACCCUAUUUAAUCUCCACUUAUUUCUAAUUAUUUCCACCAAACUUUCACCCAAACUUCAUACCCAAUAAAUAAAAAACUUAUUUUACCUAUUUGUCCUCUUUGGUGAGCCUUUAGUGGAGAGAUCUAGCCCAAUCUUGAAAACUUAAAAAAUUUAUAGCUUUUAAAAAGAGAAAACAAAAAUCAUCAAAACUAAGUUUUUUGGGAGUGAAAAUCCUUACCUUUAGGACUUAGAAUCCAAGAUUUAUUGAUAAGUUUGAAGGUUUUGAAAGGUUUGAAAUUUGAGAGAAAUUGGGUGGCGAAAUAAGGAGAUAAGAGAAGAAUGAGAAAUUUUCAAGUUUUAAGGCUUUUAAGCUUGUUUUAAGCUAACUAGGCAAUUUAGGAUUGACUAUGGAGGGUCUAUAGUCAAUCCUGGACUAGAAGGUUUUGGUUUCACUCAUUUCCCCUUCACAAAAUUGACUAUAAAGGAUCUAUACCCAAUCUUGGACCAGAAUGUUCACUUUUCACUUAGUUUUCCUUCACAAGAUCAACUAUAAGCCCUCUACUAUUGGCUCCAUUAGUUUUUGAUGAUAAUAAAACAUUCCCAUUCAUUUGUGUCUAAUUUCUUUACUUGAGUGUGUAGGAAAAUUAAUGUAUGAAAUUAAUAAAUCAAUCUUUCAAAGUGAAUAUCAAAAGAAAAAAAAAGAUAAAAAAAAUAAGACAUGACUGCUUAACUAGAAGGAAGCUCAUUAGAUGAAUAAGGAAGAAUGUUGGUUGGCCAAGAUUCAAAUUGGAGAAAUGACGGGCUGAAGAAUAUUGAGAAACAGAACCAACUUAGUAGACUAAGAAAUGAGCUAGUCGACUAAGUGCUUACUGCCAGAACUGCCAAAAAUAGGGAGCAGAAAACAGAGACGACUUAGUCAACUAAGAUAUCAGUUAGUCGACUAAGAGCAUUCUGCUUGCAAGUUUGAAAUCUGCACUAAAAGAUAGAGUAACGGCUAGAACUGACUCCUAACUGUCUCCAACGACUAGAAAACUAUUAAACUGCCAUCAGAGAUGUUUCUCCAAGUAUAAAAGAGUCUUCCAACAGUUAGAAACUAGUUUUUAGAAGUUUUGGAGGAGAUUUGAGCCAUAUAGAGCUGAAAAACCAGAAAAUCUUCUCUACACCUUGCUGCACUCAAACGCCCAUCCUUGAAUUUGUAUUAUGCACUCAACCUUGUACCAUUUAGAUCAACUUGUGAUCAUAGGUACUUUUUUUUACCUUUUUUCUUCUAUUCUUAGAGUGAGAGAGUCACUCUGAGUAGUUGUUUCAAGUUAGGAUUGCUUGAAGGUGUUAAGGUUCUAACUUAGCCUUUAAAAGUUAGGUGUUGGGUUAUAGUUGAGCUUGGGAAAAACUAGUGCAAAAGGUUUUGGCUGAGCCUUGUAAAAGCCAUUGUAAAGCUUGGUGAAAGCUUGUGAAUUUCACCGAUUCUUAGUGGAUUUGUUGGGAAAAUCCUUGGUUGGAUAAUCAAGGUAGUGGAUGUAGGUCUUGGACCGAACCACUAUAAAUUGUUGUGCAUUGUCUACUCUAUUUUUUUAUUUUCAUUAUUCUGAAAAUUAGUUCCUUAUUUUGUCAAGAGUCGAUUUGUGCUAUUCACCCUCACUCCAGCACAUAUUAUUGGGACCAACAAGUGGUAUUAGAGCUAGCUGUCUGUUAUUAAGGUCUAACACCCUUUGAGAGGAUCCAAAUGGCUCAACUAAAAUCAGUAGUGGCUGAGGGACAAUCAACAAAUAGACCACCUCUGUUUGAUGGCUCUAAUUACCCUUAUUGGAGCACUAGGAUGUUAAUCUAUAUUAGAGCUAUAGACUAUGAAAUGUGGGACGUCAUAACCGAUAGACCCUUUAUGCCCUCAACCGUGAAUGUGGUGACAAAUGAGUUGAUGCCAAAUCAAAGGUCUAAAUGGACUGAAACUGAAACUAAGAAAGCUCAAAUAAAUUUUAAGGCCAUCAACACAUUACAUUGUGCCUUGACCUCCACUGAAUUUAAUAAAGUCUCAAGCUGUUCAAUAGCUAAACAAGUGUGGGAGAAACUUAGAAUAAUCCAUGAAGGGACUUUUAAAGUAAAGGAGUCCAAAAUUGCCCUCUUAACACAUAACUAUGAAAUGUUCAAAAUGGAGCCUGGUGAAGACAUCACUAGCAUGUUAGAUAGGUUUACAAACAUCACAAAUAAAUUGAGUCAACUAGGCAAGCCUAUCCCUAAACAUGAAUUAGUAAAAAGACUACUUAAGAGUCUACCAAAAAAUUGGAAGCCUAAAGUGACUACAAUUCGAGAGGCAAAAGAUCUAAAUGUUAUCACCUUAGAUGAUAUUUGUGGCUCUCUCCUAACUCAUGAGCUAGAGCUUAAAAAGGAAGAAGAAAAAGAUAGGAGGGAACCAAAUGAAAAAAAAAAGAGCAUUGCACUUAAAGCUAGCAUCCUUGAGGAAGAGCUGGAAGAGUUGUCCUGUGAUGAUGAUGAAGAGUUAGCUUUGGUUGCAUGAAAAUUUAGAAAGCUUAUGGGCAGAAGAAAUCGGAGACUGGAUAAAAGAGGGUUUAGAAAAGAUCAAGGUGCUUCAUAAAAAAUCAGAAACAAAAAAAAAGGAGUUGAUUUGCUACGAAUUCAAGAAACUUGGUCACUUCAAGUCCGAGUGUCCAUUUAUGAAAGAUGAGACUCCAAAGAAAAAUAAGAAAUCCAAAAAAGCAGUGGCUGCUGCAUGGUUGGACAAUGACACAUCAAGCUCUGAAGCUGAAGAUGAAAAAUCUGAGGAAAGAGCAAACAUUUGUUUGAUGGCACAAAAGGAUGAAACCGAGGUAUCCUCAUCCCCCUAUGAUAUUUGCAUUAAUGAUUUAUAGGAUGAGUAUGACAGCCUCUGUGAUGAAUUUGAAAAACUUUUUUCAAAAUACAAAACAUUAAAGAAAAAGGAUGCAUCUAUUGAAAAUGAUUUGGAAAAGAUGAGACAAGAGUUCAAUUCUGUUUUUGAGCAAAGAAAUAUUUUGCAAAUUAAGUUAGGACACUCAAAAACAGAUUUUGAAGUUUUAAAAUUAGAGCUGAAUAAUAAGUCUGAUGUUGUGCAAAAAUUACUUAAUGAAAACACAGCUCUCAAAUGUUUGAAAAAUGAAUCUCCAAAAAGAUAUGCAUACCACAAUAAAAAUUCUGCUAAUGCAUUACCUAGAUGCAAUAAUUGUAGUAAACAUGGUCAUUUAUCAUAUGAUUAUUUUAAGAAAAGAAAUGUGCAGAAAAUCAGAAAAAUUUGGGUUCCUACAGGAUCCUAUAUUGCAAUUAACACUCAAGAAUCCAUCAAAGUAUGGGUACCUAUAAAGAAAAACUGAAAUAUUGUUUUGUAGGUUGAACUGCACUUAAAUGAGACAUGUUCAAGAGCUCAACUCAAGAAGAAGCAGCCUUGGUACAUGGACAAUGGCUGCUCACGGCACAUGACAGGAGAUGAAAUGUUAUUUGCUCAGCUAAACAAAAGAAAGGGAGGUACCGUAUCCUUUGGUGAUGAUUCAAAAAGUAGGAUUCAUAGGAUAGAUACGAUUGGUAAGAACUCCCAAACUCAAAUCAGUCACGUGUUGUUAGUUAAGAGUUUGAAGCAUAAUUUAUUGAGCAUUAGUCAAUUAUGUGACAAAGGAUUUAAAUUAUGUUUUGAUUCAAACAAGUGUGAAGUAAUAGAUAUAGGUACAAAUAAAGUCUCAUUUAUAAGAAAGAGAUUGAAGAAUAUGUAUGUUGUUUUUCUUGAGCAUCUUGAAAUAAAUAAUGAAAUAUGCCUUGUUACAAAUGCUGGAAAUGAUAACUAGUUAUGGCAUAGAAGAUUAGGACAUGUAAGCUUGCAUACUAUGUCAAAAUUGAUUAGAAAGAACUUAGUUGUUGGGCUGCCGGAUUUAAAAUUUGAAAAUGAGAAAAUAUGUGAUGCUUACCAACUAGGAAAACAAGUUAGAACAUCCUUCAAGACUAAGAAGAUUGUGUCAACAUCUAGACCUCUUGAAUUAUUACAUAUUGAUCUAUUUGGUCCAAUAAGCACAACUAGUUUAGGAGGAAAAUCAUAUGGCUUUGUAAUAGUUGAUGUUUAUUCUAGAUAUACUUGGGUUUAUUUUCUUGCUCACAAGAAUGAUGCUAUAUCAGUUUUUAUAAGUCAUUGUAAGAAAGUUAAGAAUGAAAAAAGACUAACCAUAGUUAGCAUAAGGAGUGAUCAUGGAGGAGAAUUUGAAAAUGAUGAAUUUGAGAAAUUUUGCAAUGAAAAGGGAUGGGAUCACAAUUUCUCUACACCUAGAACACCCCAGCAAAAUGGAGUGGUAGAGAGGAAAAAUCGAACAUUACAAGAAAUGGCUAGGACUAUGUUAUGUGAGAAUAACCUAACAAAAUAUUUUUGGGCUGAGGCUGUGAACACAGCAGCUUACAUACUUAAUAGAGUCUCAAUAAGAUCCAUGAUGUCUAAGACACCAUAUGAACUUUACAAGGGUAGGAAACCAAACAUUUCUCACCUUAGAAGUUUUGGCUGUAAAUGUUUUGUAUUGAACAAUGGAAAACAGCCCCUAGGAAAGUUUGAUGCAAAAAGUGAUGAGGCAAUAUUUUUAGGAUAUGCAUUAAACUCCAAGGCUUAUAGAGUUUUCAACAAAAGGACUCUAAAUGUUGAAGAAUCAAUCCAUGUAGUUUUUGAUGAGUCAAAUGAUUUACAAAAGGAAAGUCAUGUUGAUGAUGAUGAUGUAGAAAUCCUAGAAAACCAAAUGGAAGAAAUGAGCCUAGAGAACAAUAAGAAUAAUGAAGAAAGCUCAUCUAGAAGAGAAAAUGAAACUCCACCUCUAAAAGAUCUGCAAGAACAAAAAAUCAGCAUAGUGAUCUUCCAAGAAGUUGGAGAUUUGUAAGAGACCAUCCACAAAAGCAAAUCAUAGGUGACAUUUCUCAAGGUGUCAAAUCUAGAAAAGUAACUAGGGAGACUUGUGAAUUUUCAGCUUUCCUAUCUCAAAUUGAACCUAAAAACUUUGAAGAAGCUGAAAAUGAGGAAAGUUGGAUAAUGGCCAUGCAAGAGGAACUUGACCAAUUCAAAAGAAAUCAUGUAUGGUCACUAGUACCUAGACUUUCAAAUCACCCUAUUGUUGGCACAAAAUGGGUGUUUAGAAAUAAGGUAGAUGAGCAAGGAAAUGUAGUUAGAAAUAAGGUAGAUGAGCAAGGAAAUUUAGUUAGAAAUAAAACUAGGUUAGUAGCCCAAGGAUACAACCAAGAGGAAGGAAUAAACUAUGAUGAAACCUUUGCACCGGUUGCUAGAAUUGAAGCCAUAAGGAUGUCGUUAGCUUUCGCAUGCUUCAUGAAUUUCAAAUUGUACCAAAUGGAUGUAAAAAGUGCAUUUUUAAAUGGAUUCAUUCAAGAGGAAGUAUAUGUAGAACCACCACCAGGUUUUGAAGAUUUUGAAAAACUAGAUCAUGUUUUCAAACUCCACAAAGCUUUAUAGGGAUUGAAACAAGCUUCUAGAGCUUGGUAUGAGAGGCUUUCAAAAUUUAUGGUUGAAAAAGGUUAUGAUAAAGGCAGCAUUGAUACUGCAUUGUUUAUUAAAAGAUGUUUAAAUGAUCUAAUUGUUGUGCAAAUAUAUGUGGAUGACAUUGUAUUUGGUGUAACUAAUGAGGCUUUAUGCAAGAACUUUGCUAAAGAAAUGCAGGGUGAAUUUGAGAUGAGCAUGAUGGGAGAGUUGAAGUACUUUCUUGGUCUUCAAAUUAAAUAAAGUGAAGAAAGAAUCUUCAUCAACCAAGAAAGGUACACUCAAGAUAUGCUCAAAAAGUUCGAUAUGCUAAAGCUGAAACUAACCUCCACACCAAUGAGUCCAUCCACAAGACUUGAUCUUGAUGAAAAAGGAAAGAAUGUAGAUCAAAAGCUGUAUAGAGGUAUGAUCAGUUCACUACUUUAUUUAACAGCAAGCAGACCAGAUAUUCAGUUUAGCGUGUGUUUGUGUGCUAGAUUUCAGUCAUAACCUAAAGAAUCACACCUAACAAUUGUUAAAAGAAUUUUUAGAUACCUUUUAGAAACUCAAACUUUAGGAUUAUGGUAUUCUAGAGAAUCAUCAUUUGAUCUUGUAGGCUAUUCAGAUGCUGAUUUUGCUGGCAGCAAAACUGACAAGAAAAGUACUAGUGGAACAUGCCAAUUUCUAGGUAGCAUGCCUAUGCCAUGGUCCAGCAAGAAACAAAGUUCAGUAGCUUUAUCUACAGCUGAAGCAGAGUAUAUAUCACUAAGUAGCUAUUGUGCACAAAUUCUUUGGAUUAAACAACAAUUGAAAUACUAUGGAAUGACUAUCCAUAACGUACCAAUAUACUGUGAUAACACAAGUGCAAUUAAUAUAUCAAAAAAUCCUAUGCAACACUCUAGAACAAAACACAUUGAGAUUAGACAUCAUUUUGUUAGAGACCAUGCAGUGAAAAAUGAUGUUAAAAUUGAAUUUGUGAAUACUUUGCAUCAACUAGCUAAUAUUUUUACUAAACCGCUGAAUGAAGAUAAAUUCUAUGAAAUUAGAAGAAAUCUAGGUAUGAUUAGUCAACAGGAAUUGUGAGAAAACCUUUGGUUCAUGAACAUGAAACAGAAUGCAUUUAUUCGACUAAGAUAAAUCUUAGUCAACUAAGAGUAUUCUGGUAGCAUCAAAUAAUAAGACUUAGUGAAUAAAAUAAGGAAAGAAUAAAAUAAUAUAAAGCAUGUGUGUACCGAGUGAUAAGGAAAGAAGAAAUACUGCCUAAAGUGAAUAACCAAAAUUUAGAGGGAGUUUUGAAAUUUUGAGCAAAUAGAAUAGGGCAAUAUUUAAGGGGGGAGGUGAAUGAUUUUCUAAGAGAAAUUAAAACUACUGACAACUUCUUUUUCUCCAUUUUCUUUCCCCUAAAACUCAAAAAUCUUAAACCAAAACCCUUUUCUCUCCACUUUCUUGCCUAUGAAACCGACUCAUACCAAAACUAAAACUCUCAAACCCAAGUCUGAAAUUUUCAAAAUCAAAAUGGCAAAAACAUCUCAAAGUAGAGAAAUCAUUGAAAAGAAGAAGGGAAAGAGACCAGUGGAAGAAGGAUCAAAAAUGGAAUUACUGAAAAAGAAACAAAAAAUCACGUCUGCUUCAGUGAAAGAGAUAUCUGAGAAAUUGAAAGAAAAGAAGCAGAAAACAGAAAAAAAAAAGAAGGACAAGGAAUCCACACUUAAGAAACGUACUAGUUCUUCCUCUUCUAAGUUCAAAAAUAGGAUGCAUGAACUGAGGUUCAGAAAAAUUGAGAAUGCACCUAUAACUUAUGGCAAAUAUAAUGACUGGAAGAGUUUUAAUGAGAACUUAGAAAUUCAAACAAGUUUAUCCAACUAUUUUAAUGAAUUAAAACUGAAAGGAUAUAGCACUUUUAAGAAUAGAUCUUACAAUGCAAGUCUGGUAAAGGAGUUCUAUUCUAGCAUUGCUUUAGGAGAAAAAGAAUUAGAGGAUUCUGAUGACUAUGUCGAAAAUGGUCUGAAUGUGUAUUUGAAUGGGAAAAAAUUUGUUGUCAUUGCUUGUCACGACCCGGAACUCCCAUCGAGCCCGUGACAACCGUCGCGAUGUCCUAAUAGACAUUCAUUACCUGAAAUGCCAAUCGAAACCUAGCAAGGCAUAACAUCAGUUUUCUCGCUUCCCCUAUGAGUAUUAGUUACUAAAUCAUGUUUUAAAGUGAUAUGAAACAAUUUCAAUUCAAAAACAGUCAAAGAAAAAUUUCAACUACACAGGGGUAUUUUGGUCAUUUUUCACAAAAAUUCCAAAACUAGCUAAAAUGUACUGUAUGAGAGAAAUUUACACAUUUCAUAACCGAAAAUAAGUUUACAUAUCUAAAACAUUCAUUUAAAGUGAAAUUAUAGCUACUGGAAAAAAAUAAAAAUAAUAAAUAAAAUAUUCUAAUUUUUCAUAAAACAAUUUUUAUAGAGCACUAAGUAAAUAAUUUUUAUAGUGUCAAAGCAAAAUAAAUUCCUACAUACAGUAGCACACAUAGCCAAGUAUUCAAAACAUUUAACAAUGACAUGUGGGCCCUCGAAUGACUAAAAGUAAUGAAGGUUGUGAAGCUACAAUUUUUGAGGAUGCAAGUCCAACUGUAGCCCUCAACAAAAUGAGCUAUCUACCGACUAUCUUGAGCUGAAAUGGGUGCAAAUGAGGGUGGUGAGAUUUUAUAAUCCCAGUGAGUAAACAAAUACCAUCUAAAAUAUCUAAAGUUGAGUAAAUGGAUACAGAUAAAAUAGAUUAGCAUAAAAAUGAUUCACAACAUUUCGAACUCAUUUUAGUAAGAUAAAAUAGAUUCAUUUCACUCAAAAUAAACAACGAGGCUUAUGAUUUCCUGAAAAGCUUGGCUCGUGCCAAAAUCAUUCUUAUACUCAGUUGUCAGGGAUACCUUGGCUUGGAGCUAUCCCAACCGAGUCCACCAAGGCUGUUAAAAAGUCAUGUACGCAUAAAUCAUGUUUUUAUUUUGAAAACAUAGCCUUUCCUUGGCGUUGGCUUAGUUCACCCUUACGUGGUGGUUUGGCGUAAAGUGAACUCUAAAGUUGUACCUAGGAAGUUACCUUACACGCCUCUCUGAUCGAGGUAAGAAUAUAACAGGAUUUCGUGCCCCUCAAAAAGACUGGUCUAUAGAACCCGCCCACUGUAGCAAGCUAAACCCACCAUACAAUAAAAAUUCAACAGCAUGACAUGGCAAUUUUAUCAUUAUCUAGCCUAUCAAGGUAAACAACAAUUUAUACAUUUUCAACACAAAUACUCAUCCAGCCAUUCAUGCCCACAUUAUCAUAAGUCAUUCAAUUCAAAACAUAAUUUACAAUACAGCAAGUAGUCUCCAAUUACUCCAUUUUCAAAACCAUCGUUCAAUUUCAAGACAAUUUUAUAAAAUCAUUUCAUUUAAUCACAUUUUCCAUAAAAUCACAAAAACGAAUUAAAAUUCACUUUAGAUAAUUAAGAUGAUGAUAAGGUUACUCACUAUUUCGGGAGUCAAAUUUUGAGUACUCCGAUUCUUGAUCCUCGGGUACUAUCGCUUUACUUUUGCCAGAAAGCUCACCACCUAGACAUAAUGCACAAUAAGCCAUUUACUACAUUUGUGCUAAACCGUUGCAAAACCAAUUCAGGCUUUAUACUAAUGCAUGAAAUGGGAUGUGAAAUACUCGGGUAACUAUCUAAAUACGGUGUUCAAUAUAAAUUCAAUUAUGUACCUAAAUAAAAUGAUAUUGGCCUAAUUCAAUCUAUCACCCAAUUAAUUGGCCAAUAUGUCCAAUUUAACUCCAUUUUUCUUCUAAUUCUCCAAACCAUCAAACACAAGUCAAAUAACAUAAAAUUUAGCAAAAUCAUCUUUCUCUUGGGAAUUUCGGCCAUGGUGGGUGCAUCAAUACUAUGAUUUUUCCUACUUGAUUUUCUCACCGUAAUUCAUCAUUUCCUAACCAAUUCACUUGAAAUAAAAUCAAAUCCACCAUCCACACUCUACAUGGAAAAAUCGACCAAUGAUGGGUGAUGGGAGGAAGUGAAUUUUUCUUGUUAGCUUUUCAUGCUACACAUCACUAACUAACUAAAAACACUAAAAUACAUUGAAAUCUAACCAAAUCAAGCAUCAAAACCUCCCUCUAAGUGUUCGGCCAGCAAGGGAUUCAUCAUGAAAUCAUGUGAUUCAACCAUGGAAAAUGCAAAAGAAUGUAUGGGAAAGGUAGAUCGCAAGUCAAAAUCAAGAAAUUUUACCUUUGAUUGCUUGAUUACUUGAAAUCCACCAAUUUUCUCUUGAAUUUUCACUCUAGGGUUUUUGUUCUUUCUUUUCUUCCUUUGUUCUUGCUUUGGCCGGCCAUAAGAAUGAAUGUGGAAGAGUUCAAAUUGGCUUUAUAAAGGAAAAUAUUAAAUGGACAAAAAUUUACCAUGUGUCACCAUUCCAUUGGUC